UUUUUUGUUUUUUUUUUGGUUGAAAGACAUGUUGUUUCUAAAUAGACAACUUAUUUUAAAGGAUUUGUCUUGUAUUCUAAAAGUCACCAUCAAAUCUAUAAAUAGGGACCCCCAUGGCAUUUCUUAUUUAUUUAUUCAUUCAUCCAUUUUCUCCACUAUUUCUUCUUUUUUGUCAUUCUAGUCCUCCUUAGCUUCAAGUCUAAUAAUUUCUCUUUUCUACCAAAUCAAGUGAUUCGUUGUUUCUUAUAAGUUGAAGUGCUACUAUCACAAGAAAGUGAUUGUUGUAUCAUAUGAGACGAUUGUUAAUAAACCGUAAGCACCUGAGCAGGACAAAUUCGUCUUAAGGACAUAGAGUCAAACUUUAGCCUCGAUCAACUUUAUUUAUGAGUUCCAAUUUUCUACUUCAUUUUAUUUGUAUGUUUAUUAUAAGCACUUAUUAUCCAUAUAUUUUCAGUGAUUUAGAUUACAGUAUACGAGGAUCUAACUUUUAUUCACUAUCGCCCAUUCCUAAAUUGUACCAAGAUAUAAAUGCAAGGCAAACAAUGAGAACUUGGAGCGGCCAUCUCUCAAGAAGAUAGCAACGGAUGGCCCAAUGGAUCUGGUGCCAACCAACUUCUUGUCAUCUAACAUGCAACCACCAGAAACAAAAGGUCCUGUUCCUUCGACUGAUCCUGACAUGGGCCCAUCAUCAUCUUCCAGGCAGAUUCCUCAUGGAAACAUUUCAGAGAGCAGAGAUAGAAAAGGUACGGGUGAUAAUCGGGCUAUGAAGAUGUCAGCUGUCCUCACCCAAACUUGGAGGGAUGACUUGAAAUCUGGGCAUCUUCCGGUAUCUCUAUUUGAGUUGUUGGUGAAAGUAUUUUGCCCUUCGUUCCAGCUUCUGAGAUGUCUUUGCUCUUGUAACCAUUGGGAGGGAAGAUUAAAAAUUCUGUUGUUCUCACAUGGUAUAUAAUUCAUGGAAUCACUUCAAUUCAAGAAAGAAGCUUAUUUCUAAUGAAUUUUUAUAGAAGUUUUGGCCUUUUUAUGGUCCCCAUCUUACCAAUUCAAGCUCUGAAAGGGCAAGGAGGUAUCAACAAAUGACUUAUGGAAAGGAGAUCCUUAUGUUUUCAUUGAGUAAUAAGCAAGCUUUGAAAGGCCAAUUGUUUUCGCCUGAAAUAAAGAAAUCCUCUAUUUUCUUCAUUAGUUAUAACCAGCAAUUACAUGGAAAGGAAAGCAAAAACAUGGCGUUCAAUUGAGAGAACAUAUAGAAAAAUAAGUCCGCUACCGAUUCAAAUACCUCAACAAAAUCAACAAACAAUUCAAGCAUCCAUUUUCAUGGCUUCCCUUUCAACAGCUUUCUUCAGGAAGCUGUCCUCCUCCAGGACCAUCUGAACAGGCAGGAACCCCAACCCGUUGGCCAUGGCGAGCAUCAUUCGUUUGGUCUCCUUCUUGAACUCCUCCAAAUCCACGGCACCAUUCGCAUCAUGAUCGAACUUCACAAACAGGGAGUCGUAGACGUGAGCAAGCUCAUCUGGAUCUCUUUUAACAUCAAUGCCGAAGUGUGUUUCAAAGACCCUCAGACUCUGAAACUCUUUCAGCAUCUCUGUAAAUGAGAGGAAGCCAUCAUGAUUUGUGUCAAGAUUGGAAAAGCGGUCAUGGAUCAAACCAUUGAAUGCUUCUUCAUCUUCCACAAAGCUGACAAUGGUGGCACCGUCCAACACUUCCACACUCAUUCUCUCUUCUGCUCCUGCGCUCAAACUGGCUAGUAUCCAAGAAAAGCUCUAACCCAAGAACCAAGUAGUAAAAAAGCUUUUGAUUUUGAUGAAAAUGAAGGAUGCCAUGGUUGCAUAUAUAUAGCUGAAUAUUAGAUUAGUAGAGAAACAACCGUUAAACUUCUUGCAAAGUGAUAUGCUGGUUCAAACGCACCGAAAGUUUUCAGCCUAUUGUUUCUUUAUUGUGCCUCUGGUUUCUGAAAACUCCCACGCAAACCAAGCUAAUGGGAAGGCUCUCGUAAAUACCAUCAUCACUAUGUCGGUGAAACUGUAUCAACAUAUACAUAUACAAUGUUAGAAAUUAGGUUCUACAUGAAAAUAUUAUAUAUUCAAUCUCAAAAAAUCUGCUAUUACAUAACAAAUAUGACUUUUCAUAUGGGUCCCCGUGUCUUUGGAAAUUAAACAAUAGGCUCAUCUGAUGUGUAGAUAGUCAGAAACCAACAUGUAAUAUUGUAACGUACAUUUUAUAUGGAUUCUGUUCCUUUGGAAAACAAUAGGCUGAGUUGAUGUCUAGAAAGUCAGAAGCCGAAAGGACUUGACCAAGUCAAAGACGAGUAACUUUUUCGGUUAAGACGAUCCGCCAAACCUGAAUAUGAAAAUCAAUGUGCCCACAAAAUGGACAUUUCUGUGGGUCCUCUUGUUUUUCUUACCCACCACUAUUCCACCGACUUCCUCAAAAGUAAACCAGCAUAGUACAUAACGUGGACUUAGUAUACCUACCACACGAAAUGACUUCAUUAGUCAUUAUAAUGUUGAACACAUUUGGAGGAAAAGUGGAAAACACAUUCUUGUUAUAGCAUCGUAUCUUCGUUAGAUUCGAUAGAUGCCUAUCGAUAUUCUAGAAUUUUCCUAUCGAACAAACACUCAGUUCAAUUCCAUCUCAACCACUUUUCAAGAAAUUAUGCGGUCCUCCUCUAGGACAAUUUGGAGUACUGCAAUAACCCCUACCUAAGAAUAGAUUUCUGGGUCUUGCAGACGCUAUGGGAUCUAAUCUUGUGCAAUAUUCUCUGGCCGGUAUAAUUCUUUCAGAUUUUGAAAAUAAUUCUUUCAGAUUUUGUUUUUGAAAACAAAAACCAAGAGUAUUUUUUCAAGAUAUUGCUUAAAAAUUGUGUAAAUUUUUAAGAAUAGAGAAUCUUUCUUUAUCUUCUCACUGCAUCAAAAUAUAUUCUUCAAAUUGAUUUCAAGAAAAAAAAAAAAAAGGUUGAAUUCACAAAUGUGUGAUUUUAUUCAUCCGAAAGAAGCGCUUUUCAAUCAGGUGUGUAAAGACGUACAAGAAUAUGAAUCUCUACUGCCACUACAACUUCUAAGGUCCCAUCAUCUUCACCAACACAAAUCAAAGCCCUCUACUACCUACGUAAGUUUGAAGAGAAAAUUAAGGAAACAAGAAUCUAAAUCAGAUUACGGCACCAGUUUGGUGGAUUCCCAUUCAACAGCUUUCUUCAAGAAACUGCCCUCUUCUAGAAUCAUCUGCAAAGGCAAGAGCCCUAACCCAUCAGCCACGGCCAGCAUCAUUCUCUUGGUCGCAGUCUUGAACUCCUCAAAAUCCAACACCCCAUUUGAGUCACGAUCGAACUGCGAGAACAGAAAGCAGUAGACUCCAGCAACUUCAUCUGGGUCUGUCUUCACAUCAAUCCCAAACUCGGUCUCAAAAACCCUAAGACACUGCAGUUCUUUCAACAUCUCCUCGUAGGAAAGCACACCGUCUUGGUCUUCGUCAAGAGCGGCAAAGCUGUCAUGUACCCAACUGUUGAAUGCUUCUUCAUCUUCAACAAAGCCAUCAAUGGUGGCACCAUUCAGAAUUUCUACACUCAUGAUGGAAGCUCUUCUUCUAAUCGCUACUCUUCUGCGGAAGUUUUUUGGACUAGAGAACAGAAUGUAUAUCGGAGACGUUGAUUUCGAUGAAAGUACAGACGGGCUUGUACUCAUAUAUAUAUAUAUUGUUGUAGAGUUUGUGCAGAUAUCUAUUUGUAAUCGGUUUCUAUUUCCUAUAUUGAAUACAGUUAUAUUCUACUGAAAAUAUUUGUAUUCCUUUUCUUUUAGGGUACUAGUUAGAUUUAGAAACUUUCUAAAAUAUUUGUAUUUCCUUCUCUAAGAUGGUUCUUGCUAGAUUUAGAAACUUCAUGAAUUUUGCGUUUCUUUCUAAUGUAUUUAAUUAUGUUGAAAUUAUAAUCCCACUUAAAAUCAAAUUAGAAGAAUUUUAAGAAUUUAAGAAAUAUUAGAAAUUGUUAUUUACUUAGGUUUCUUAUUAUAAUUAAAACUUUUUGUCUAGGAAUUGAUGUCCUAAUAUAAGUAUGAUUAGUUUAUUAUAAAUAGACUUGUUAUUAUGUUGAGAAGUAGAGUGCAAUAAAUUUUUAUUUUAGCAAACUAUUAUUAAUACCCAAAUGUGUGGUUCCAACAAUUGGGAUUAGAAAAAGUGAAAUGCCAAAUCUGAGAUAGAAUACUAGGAAAAAUGCAAAAUCACAAGAAAGUUGCAAUUUUGUUAGUGAAAUUAUGGUUACAAAUAAUAAUUCAAUUCAUAUUUGACUUCCAAAAUUUAAAAGCAAGAAUUUUGAUAAUUAGUGUAAUCGUAUGUGCGUCUUAUUUAGAUCUCAAGAUUUAUGGGAUCUAGUAAAUAUCAGUUACAAUGAAAUGAUCAAUUCAAAAGAAUUCGAGGCACUAUCAAAGGAGUAAAAAGAUUCAUUGAAAGAUUCUUGAAAGAAAGAUUAAAAAACACCUUAUGCAAUAUUCCAAGUAGUAGAUGAAUCCAUAUUUGAGAAAAUCUUAUAAGCGUAAACAUCAAAAGAGGCAUGAGUUAUUUUACAAAAAUUAUAUAAAGGUGAUGAACGUGUUAAGCGAAUGAAGUUGCAAACAUUAAGAUGUAAAUUGGAGUCUCUUCGCAUGAAUGACUUUGAAUUUAUCUCAUAUUAUUUUAAUUGAGUACAAACCAUUGUUAACUAGAUGCAAGUUAAUGGUGAGAAGCUUGAUAAUCAACGAAUAGUAGAGAAAAUUAUGCGAUCUUUAAGUGCAAGGUUCGCCUAUACUGUUGUAGUAAUUAAGGAAAGAAAGAAUAUAUUCAUUUCACGGUUGAAAGAUUGAUGAGUUCAUUGUGUUUGCAUGAACCAAAAAAUUAACUCUACAAAUUUGAUGAUAAAAGUGCAAAGUGUGCUUUCAUUAGUUAUAGAAAUGUAACUAGGUUACAAACUGUAUAAUCUAGAAAUAGGAAAGUUGAUUGUGAGUAGAGGUAUUCAAUUCCAAAAGAAUGAGAGUUAGGCAUUGGCUCAAACACAAAGUGAGGAAAAAUGAGUUGUCAUUGAAGAAGACUGUGGAAAACAAUAAGAAUUAGAAGGAUUCUACAACAAAUAUUUCUACUUCAAACACACUUGCUCCUAUUAGAAGUUCUCCUAUGCAAACGAAAACAGGGUAGGAGUCUGAACCACAAGGUUGUCCAAAACGUUCUCAUAUUGCAUAUUUAAGGGAUUAUGAAGUCAUGAAAGAUAUUGAAAUUAUUGAUGAAGGUUUAGUUAACUUUUUCUAUUUGCAUAUUGUGAUCUAAUUUUGUAUAAAGAAGCAACAAGUGAUAAGCAGUGGAUUCAAGCAAUGAAUGAAGAAAUUCAAUCAAUAGAGAAAAACAAUACAUGGAAAAUAACUAAUCUACUAAUCGGAAAAAAGCCUAUAGGUGUUAAAUGGGUUUAUAAGACAAAAUAUAAACUUGAUGGUAAAGUUUAUCUAUUUAAGGUAAGAUUGAUUGCAAAAGGUUGUAAAUAGAAGCUAGGUAUUGAUUAUUUUGAAGUUUUUUCACAAAUUGCUAGACUACAUAUCAUUCGCAUGAUAAUUGCAUUUGCAGCUCAGAAAAUGUGAAAAAUUCACCAAAUGGAUAUGAAGUUCGCUUUUCUUAAUGGUGUACUUGAAGAAGAGGUUUUUGUUGAACAACCACCAAGAUAUAUUAAGGAAGGGUAAAAGAAACAAGUUUACAAACUUAAAAAGGCAUUGUAUGGGUUAAUGCAGGCACCAUGUGCUUAGUAUACACGGAUUGGUACCUAUUUAUUGUUGGAUGGAUUUCAAAAGAGUCCUUUUAAGCAUACACUUUAUAUCAAAUCAAAUUCUAAUGGUGAUAUAAUUGUUGUAUGCCUCUUUGUGAAUGAUUUAAUUUUUAUAGGAAAUUGUCAAUAGAUGUUUUAAGAUUUUAAGGAGACAACGAAACAAUAAUUUAAGAUGACAAAUUUGGAAUCCAAUCUUAUCAUGAUAAUUUAUUUUCUAUUAAGGAUGACUAAAAAUUUCCAUUUUAAUUUCUCUCACGUGCAGGAGCCUUCCUUCCUAUGGUUCUCUCUCCAAAUCUAAGCAAAAGAGAAGUGUGGUCUUCUCUCUCUUGAGGCCUAUGGAGGUUAGGGUUUCUUCUGCCUAUACCUAUGGAAGCAUACAUAUGGAAGCAUACAUAUGUAAAAUAUGGAUCACACCGCGUACAAUGGAAGCAUACAUAUGGGCCAUAAGGCUGAAAAGAAGGGAAAAAGCUGCAUAUGCCCCCUCAUGCCUAUACCUUAUCCAAAAAAUAAAUGAACCCUACAUGAGUAAAAUAUGGAUCAUUUGAUGCCAUUGAGUUUGCCCUGAUUCAGGUUUGUUUAACUUGCUUUAUGUAAUCUAGUGGCUGCUGAGCAUUUGGUUUCAAGAACAUUGCUUUGCAUGGAUACAUAGAUUCACCUCUCUUUUCAUCUCCCUAACAUCUUACUCUUAAUUUCACAUUUCAUCCUCAAAAUUUAAUUUUAUUAGAUUUCGUAGAUUUGGGCACAUUUAUAACAAUCAGCAAACGUAGCUGACGAAGACUCUGCUCCAUGCGGUUUUAGACCCAAAACGUGCUAUGACCCAACACUAUGGUGCAAUUCAGGGUUUAGCAGCUCCAGGACCAAAUAUGGUACUCCUCUCUCAUACUUCUUUUAUAUGAUUGUACGAAGAAAAUAAAUAAAAAACCAUCUAAAGAACAAAAUUCUAGGGCUUUAGCUGCUUUUAUUUUAUAAUCUUUCCUACUUUAGGAAAAUGAAUUUACUUGAAAUGGAAGUACUUUGACAGAGUUUCUUCCAUAUACUCAUUUUUUUCCCUUCUUAACCGAAUAAAAAAAUAUGUUUCUUCUCUUCUCAACCAAAUGACAUAUAUAUAGGAGCUUGUUUUGUUAUAGUUUAUCCUAUAGUUAGUUUCUAAAUUGUAUAUGCCAUUAACUGUAGCUUUAAGCUGUUUGUGAUACUGUACUUUUUGCUUAGGUUCGCCUACUUGUAGUGCCAAAUCUUGAACCAUACCUUCGACUUCUUGAACCUGAGAUGCUCCUUGAGAAGUAGAAGAAUGAGAUAAAGAGGCAUGAAGCAUGGCGUGUUUAUGGGGCCUUGCUGUUGCGUUUUGUUUGUAAUGGGUUUGUAAUGUUAUCCAGUAUGAGAAGUCCUAAGAUGGGUUAUAUGUUGCAUGUAAUGAGAACAUGUUUCUUUUAUUCUUUCUUUCUAGCGUGCGACAGGUCAAUCUAUAUAUGAUCGGCUAAAAUGUUCCCACUUUGCCAUCCCCACCAGCACGUGUUUUCAGGACCAAUGGAAGGGUAGUUACAUCACCACCAAGAGUAUCAUGAAUUUUCUUUGAUUGGCAAUAUAUACACUUACGCACACAUACUGUUGGAAAAUUGGUGAAUGAAAAGAAUAUGAAUUGUGUGUUAAUGGUGUAAUCAGAAACAAAUGUGGGACAAAUAUCCCACAUUGAAAACUCAUUAAAAGUUUCACUUUAAAGACUAGUUUAUAAAGAAUGAAACUAGUAUCCCAUAUUGGAAACUUAUAGAAAGUUUCAAUAGCUUAUAAGAGCUAUACUUGCACCUUGGGUUGGGCCCUUAAGGGCACCAAAGUUUUUAGAGGGGUAAGGACCUAUAUGGGCUUAGCUCCGAUAACACACGCGCGCCCGUCCCGACCUGGGCUGGGCUAGCAUGGCAUGGAGCCUAUUCUUUUUGCACUAAAAGUCCAACAACUUCAUUUUUGGAAGCUUGAAACUCAAAUAAGAACCGACUGCACAAUGGCGUUUCCGGUCGAGCAAGUUGACUUUUGGAAGCUUGAAACUCAAAUAAGAACCGGUUGCACAGUGGUGUUUUCGAUCAAGCAAAUGGAGCUCAGACCGAUCGGCCAUUUCUUGGACAAAAUAAGAACCGGUUGGACAGUGUCAUUACCGAUCGAGUAAAUGGGUGACCGAUCGACCGAUCCUGUAACAGUCCCAAUUUUUCAGUUUUUGCUUGAGUUUCAAACGUUAUAACAGUCAAAUUUUCAAAUUUUUGACUGUUAGAAAAUCAAAGAACAUGUCUAAUGAAGGAGACACAACCUUUGAAAGGGACACAACACUUGGUUUGCAAGGAUAUAAAUAGGAGAUUGCCCUCUUUAUAUCAGUUUUUGAGUGGUAUCUUGAAAGACAGACACCAUUUACUGUUGCAAUCAAGAACAGAGUGUCAAAAUUUUAUCUUUAGGACAUUGCAAUUUGCAAGCCUCUAAACAAACGAAUCUCUUUUUACUUCCAUUAGAAUUUUUUUUUCCUCUUUUGAAUUACUGCAGGUUUGUUCCAUUAUCACCCUAACACAUACUACCUAAAAUAUAUAAGGUUUUGUACGACUUCUAUUCCUAUAUGGUCAUUAAUAUAACCAACUAAAGAUUUGACCUAGGGUUGAUAUUAAUGUCUCAAAAUGAUACAAGUUACAGUACUGUAGCUGUUUGAUCAUUUUUCUGGUUUAGUGAUAAAGGAUCUUUUGAAAGUGUAUGUUGUUUAUGAAAUACCAUAGGAAGCAAAAGAGUACUCUAUUUUGGAGAACUAGUUUGCUAUGUACUCCUGGGUUUAUGGGUUGGGCUCUUUUUCUUACAUGCCUAUCACAGGCUUCUCUUUUGUAGUUUGUGGGUCAAGUCACAUUGUGAUGCAAUUAGGUGUUGUCAUUUUGGAAAAGGUUUUUGUUGUGAUGGUGGAAGCUUUCAUGCAAACAUCGUUAAUCAUGAACAUAAAGAUAAAACAAUAACACAUACGAAAUACAAGGUUUUAACAUAGUUCGACUAACCAUGUCUACGUUCACGGAUGAGAGAGAAUCAUUCCAUUAUAUAAUAGGGAACAUUACAGAUGAUAGAACUAAAAUAUUAAUAUUAUAGAGGACAUAACCAAAUAUAACUAUUGAAUUCCCAAAACAUCUCAUGUUUCCUUACUUUUCGUAUCCCUAUCCUACCACGAGCCAUUUCACUCCAUCGGGUACCUCCCAUUCUUUCUCACAUCUAUAUCCACCUCAUAUAGUCUUUACAGACCCAUUCAUAACUUUUUUCCCCUCAUAAUCUAGAAUAUUUAUAAAGAUAUUUCCAAUAACCUUCCUUAUUUUAUAAGGAUUCUAAUAUUACAGUAAUAUAUCAACCUAAAAAUAUUCUCUAUAAUAUUUUUACAAAAAAAGAAAUAUAUACUAAUUAGGAAUUGAGACACUUCCUAACAAUCUCCACCUUAUACCAAAUUCCAUGAAGUCACUCUUCACUGAGCACACAAAAUGAAGAUAAAAGGAAUUUUCAGUGAAAGUGGAAUCGAUUGCUCUCUUGUAGUGAUAUGAUACAAAAGGUUUGUGUCAUGGAGAGUUUGAAAAUUGACUUUAUGGAAUUUGGUCCAAGGUGAAGAUUGUUUGGAAGUGUCUUAAAUUCCUAAUUAGUAUAGAUUUUUUUUUUGUAAAGAAUAUUUAUAGGGAUAUUUCCAACAAUCUUCCUUAUUCUAUAAGGAAGUUUAAUAUUACAAUAAUAUAUUAAAUUCCUAAGGUGGAGAUUGUUAGGAAGUGUCUCAAAUUCCUAAUUAAUAUAGAUUUUUUUUUUGUGAAUAAUAUUUAUAGGGAUAUUUCCAACAAUUUUCCUUAUUCUAUAAGGAAGUCUAAUAUUACAAUAAUAUAUUAACCUAGAAAUAUUCAAUAUAAUAUUUCCAACAAUUUCACCUUGAACCAAAUUCCAUGAAGUCAAUCUUCAAACUCUCUAUGAUACAAGCUUUUAUAUCAUAUCACCACAAGAGAGCAAUCAAUUCCACUUUCACUGAAAAUUCCUUUUGUUUUCAUCUUGUGUGCUCUGUGAUCUUUUACUUUUUCAGAAAUCUUUAACCCAUGCUCUGAUACUAGUUUGUUGAUAGGCGGAAUCUUUGAUGCAAAUAUCGUUAAUUAAUAACACAAAAAUAAAAUAAUCAACACAAACAAUACACAAGAUUUAAUGUGGUUCGACGAAACAUGCCUAUGUCCAUGAAUGAAAGAAGAUGAUUUCACUAUACAAUAGAAAACAUUAUAGAGGACAAAACCAAAACAUUACCGAGAACAUAACCAGAUACAAUUAUUGGGUUCCUAAAACAUUCUAUGUUUCCCCAUUCUUCAGAUCCCUACCCUACCACUAGUUGUCUCGCUUCACUGGGUACCUUCUGUUCUUCCUCACAUCUCUAUCCACCUCUAGUCUUUACAAGUCCAUCUUUAUCUCAUUACUUUUUCCCUUCCUGACCUAUAAUAUUUAUAAGGACAUUUCCAACAAUCUUCCUUAUUCUAUAAGAAAGUCUAAUAUUACAAUAAUAUAUUAACCUAUAAAUAUUCUAUAUAAUAUUGUUUACAAAAAAAAAAUCUAUACUAAUUAGGAAUUUGGGACACUUCCUAACAGUUUUUAGGAAACAAAAGCCACAACCCACUGCGUCUUGUGUGGCUUGAUGUGAUUGGAAUGUUUGUCUCAAGAGGACCUGAAGCACAUAUGACAUAAGUAUUGCAUCACUAAAAUUUUGCAUUAUACCUUGAACAUGAGCUAGAACCUAAAACUAUGGACUCCUAAAUUAUUUAUUGUUCGGUGAUUAUAUAUGUUGGAAUUUACAUAGUUGAAUUAACACCUUUUUUUUUUUUUUGUUGAAAUGUCUUUUGUUUCUAAAUAGACAACUUAUUUUAAAGGAUGUGUCUUGUAUUCUAAAAGUCACCAUCAAAUCUAUAAAUAGGGACCCCCAUGGCAUUUCUUAUUUAUUUAUUCAUUCAUCCAUUCUCUCCACUAUUUUUUUUUUUUUUUUGUCAUUCUAGUCCUCCUUAGCUUCAAGUCUAAUAAUUUAUGUUUUCUACCAAAUCAAGUGAUUCGUUGUUUCUUAUAAUUUGAAGUGCUACUAUCACAAGAAAGUGAUCGUUGUAUCAUAUGAGAGGAUUGUUAAUAAAUCGUAAGUACCUGAGCGAGACAAAUUCGUCUUAAGGACAUAGAGUCAAACUUUAGCCUCGAUCAACUUUAUUUAUGAGUUCCAAUUUUCUACUUCAUUUUAUUUGUAUGUUUAUUAUAUGCACUUAUUAUCCAUAUAUUUUCAGUAAUUUGGAUUACAGUAUACGAGGAUCUAACUUUUAUUCACUAUGGCCCAUUCCUAAAUUGUACGAAGAUAUAAAUGCAAGGCAAACAAUGAGCACUUGGAGCGGCCAUCUCUCAAGAAGAUAGCAACGGAUGGCCCAAUGGAUCCGGUGCCAACCAACUUCUUGUCAUCUAACAUGCAACCACCAGAAACAAAAGGUCCUGUUCCUUCGACAGAUCCUGACAUGGGCCCAUCAUCAUCUUCCAGGCAGAUUCCUCAUGGAAACAUUUCAGAGAUCAGAGAUAGAAAAGGUCCGGGUGAUAAUCGGGCUAUGAAGAUGUCAGCUGUCCUCACCCAAACUUGGAGGGAUGACUUGAAAUCUGGGCAUCUUCCGGUAUCUCUAUUUGAGUUGUUGGUGAAAGUAUUUUGCCCUUCGUUUCAGCUUCUGAGAUGUCUUUGCUCUUUAACCAUUGGAAUCACUUCAAUUCAAGAAAGAAGCUUAUUUCUAAUGAUUUUUUUAUAGAAGUUUUGGCCUUUUUAUGGUCCCCAUCUUACCAAUUCAAGCUCUGAAAGGGCAAGGAGGUAUCAACAAAUGACUUAUGGAAAGGAGAUCCUUAUGUUUUCAUUGAGUAAUAAGCAAGCUUUGAAAGGCAAAUUGUUUUCGCCUGAAAUAAAGAAAUCCUCUAUUUUCUUCAUUAGUUAUAACCAGCAAUUACAUGGAAAGGAAAGCAAAAACAUGGCGUUCAAUUGAGAGAACAUAUAGAAAAAUAAGUCCGCUAGCGAUUCAAAUGCCUCAACAAAAUCAACAAACAAUUCAAGCAUCCAUUUUUAUGGCUUCCCUUUGAACAGCUUUCUUCAGGAAGCUGUCCUCCUCCAGGACCAUCUGAACAGGCAGGAACCCCAACCCGUUGGCCAUGGCGAGCAUCAUCUGUUUGGUCUCCUUCCUGAACUCCUCCAAAUCCACCGCCCCAUUCGCAUCAUGAUCGAACUUCACAAACAGGGAGUCGUAGACGUGAGCAAGCUCAUCUGGAUCUCUUUUAACAUCAAUACCGAAGUGUGUUUCAAAGACCCUCAGACUCUGAAACUCUUUCAGCAUCUCUGCAUAGGAGAGGAAGCCAUCAUGGUUUGUGUCAAGAUUGGAAAAGCGGUCAUGGAUCAAACCAUUGAAUGCUUCUUCAUCUUCCACAAAGCUGACAAUGGUGGCACCGUCCAACACUUCCACACUCAUUCUCUCUUCUGCUCCUGCGCUCAAACUGGCUAGUAUCCAAGAAAAGCUCUAACCCAAGAACCAAGUAGUAAAAAAGCUUUUGAUUUUGAUGAAAAUGAAGGAUGCCAUGGUUGCAUAUAUAUAGCUGAAUAUUAGAUUAGUAGAGAAACAACCGUUAAACUUCUAGCAAAGUGAUAUGCUGGUUCAAACACACCGAAAGUUUUCAGCCUAUUGUUUCUUUAUUGUGCCUCUGGUUUCUGAAAACUCCCACGCAAACCAAGCUAAUGGGAAGGCUCUCGUAAAUAGGCUGAGUUGAUGUCUAGAAAGUCAGAAGCCGAAAGGACUUGACCAAGUCAAAGAUGAGUAACUUUUUCGGUUAAGACGAUGCGCCAAACCUGAAAAUGAAAAUCAAUGUGCCCACAAAAUGGACAUUUCUGUGGGUCCUCUUGUUUUUCUUACGCACCAAUAUUCCACCGACUUCCUCAAAAGUAAACCACACGAUAUGACUUCAUUAGUCAUUAUAGUGUUGAACACAUUAGGAGGAAAAGUGGAAAACACUUUCUUGUUAUAGCAUCGUAUCUUCGUUAGAUUCGAUAGAUGCCUAAUCGAUAUUCUAGAAUUUUCCUAUCAAGCAAACACUCAGUUCAAUUCCCACUCAACUACUUUUCAAGAAAUUAUGCGGUCCUCCUCAAGGACAAUUUGGAGUACUGCAAUAACCCCUACCCAAGAAUAGAUUUCUGGGUCUUGCAGACGCUAUGGGAUCUAAUCUUACUUAUGCUAUAUUCUCUGGGUAUAUUGCUCCUUUGAAAAUAUUUUUUUCCGAAUUUGUUUUUGAAAACAAAAACCAAGAGUAUUUUUUUUCAAGACAUUGCUUAAAAAUUGUGUAAAUUUUUAAGAAUAGAGAAUCUUUCUUUAUCUUCUCACUGCAUCAAAAUACAUUCUUCAAAUUGAUUUCAAGAAAAAAAAAAAGUUGAAUUCACAAAUGUGUUAUUUUAUUCAUCCGAAAGAAGCGCUUUUCAAUCAGGUGUGUAAAGACGUACAAGAAUAUGAAUCUCUACUGCCACUACAACUUCUAAGGUUCCACCAUCUUCACCAAUACAAAUCAAAGCCCUCUACUACCUACGUAAGUUUGAAGAGAAAAUUAAGGAAACAAGAAUCUAAAUCAGAUUAGGCCACCAGUUUGGUGGAUUCCCAUUCAACAGCGGUGUGUGGAUUCCCAUUCACACCGCGUACAAUGGAAGCAUACAUAUGGGCCAUAAGGCUGAAAAGAAGGGAAAAAGCUGCAUAUGCCCCCUCCUGCCUAUACAUUAUCCAAAAAAUAAAUGAACCCUACAUGAGUAAAAUAUGGAUCAUUUGAUGCCAUUGAGUUUGCCCUGAUUCAGGUUUGUUUAACUUGCUUUAUGUAAUCUAGUGGCUGCUGAGCAUUUGGUUUCAAGAACAUUGCUUUGCAUGGAUACAUAGAUUCACCUCUCUUUUCAUCUCCCUAACAUCUUACUCUUAAUUUCACAUUUCAUCCUCAGAAUUUAAUUUUAUUAGAUUUCGCAGAUUUGGGCACGUUUAUAACAAUCAGCAAACGCAGCUGACGAAGACUCUGCUCCAUGCGGUUUUAGACCCAAAACGUGCUAUGACCCAACACUAUGGUGCAAUUCAGGGUUUAGCAGCUCUAGGACCAAAUAUGGUACUCCUCUCUCAUACUUCUUUUAUAUGAUUGUACGAAGAAAAUAAAUAAAAAACCAUCUAAAGAACAAAAUUUUGGGGCUUUAGCUGCUUUUAUUUUAUAAUCUUUCCUACUUUAGGAAAAUGAAUUUACUUGAAAUGGAAGUACUUUGACAGAGUUUCUUCCAUAUACUCAUUUUUUUCCCUUCUUAACCGAAUAAAAAGAUCUGUUUCUUCUCUUCUCAACCAAAUGACAUAUAUAUAGGAGCUUGUUUUGUUAUAGUUUAUCCUAUAGUUAGUUUCUAAAUUGUAUCUGCCAUUAACUGGAGCUUUAAGCUGUUUGUGAUACUGUACUUUUUGCUUAGGUUCGCCUACUUGUAGUGCCAAAUCUUGAACCAUACCUUCGACUUCUUGAAUCUGAGAUGCUCCUUGAGAAGCAGAAGAAUGAGAUAAAGAGGCAUGAAGCAUGGCGUGUUUAUGGGGCCUUGCUGUUGCAUUUUGUUUGUAAUGGGUUUGUAAUGUUAUCCAGUAUGAGAAGUCCUAAGAUGGGUUAUAUGUUGCAUGUAAUGAGAACAUGUUUCUUUUAUUCUUUCUUUCUAGCGUGCGACAGGUCAAUCUAUAUAUGAUCGGCUAAAACGUUCCCACUUUGCCAUCCCCACCAGCACGUGUUUCAAGGACCAACGGAAGGGUAGUUACAUCACCACCAAGAGUAUCAUGAAUUUUCUUUGAUUGGCAAUAUAUACACUUACGCACACAUACUGUUGGAAAAUUGGUGAAUGAAAAGAAUAUGAAUUGUGUGUUAAUGGUGUAAUCAGAAACAAAUGUGGGACAAAUAUCCCACAUUGAAAACUCAUUAAAAGUUUCACUUUAAAGACUAGUUUAUAAAGAAUGAAACUAGUAUCUUGGAAACUUAUAGAAAGUUUCAAUAGCUUAUAAGAGCUAUACUUGCACCUUGGGUUGGCCCUGAAGGGCACCAAAGUUUUUAGAGGGGUAAGGACAUAUAUGGGCUUAGGUCUGAUAACACACGUGCGCCCGUCCCGACCCGGGCUGGGCUAGCAUGGCAUGGAGCCUAUUCUUUUUGCACUAAAAAGUCCAACAACUUUAUUUUUGGAAGCUUGAAACUCAAAUAAGAACCGAUUGCACAGUGGCGUUUCCAGUCGAGCAAAUGGAGCUCAGAUUGAUCGAUCGUUUCUUGGAAAAAAUUAGAAUUGGUUGGACAAUGUCAUUACUGGUUGAGCAAAUGGGUGCCAGACCGAUCGACCGGUCCUGUAACAAUCCCAAUUUUUCAGUUUCUGCUUGAGUUUCAAACGUUAUAAUAGUCAAAUUUGAAAAUUUGAAAAUUUUUUACUGUUAGAAAAUCAAAGAACAUGUCUAAUGAAGGAGACACAACCUUUGAAGGGGACACAAUACUUGGUUUACAAGGAUAUAAAUAGGAGAUUGCCCUCUUUAUAUUAGUUUUAGAGUGGUAUCCUGAAAGACAAACACCAUUUACUGUUGCAAUCAAGAACAGGGUGUCAAAAUUCUGUCUUUAGAACAUUGCAAUUUGCAAGCCUCUAAACAAACGAAUCUCUUUUUACUUCCAUUCGACUUUUUUUUUGUUUCCUCUUUUGAAUUACUGCAGGUUUGUUCCAUCAUCACCCCAACACAUACUACCUAAAAUAUAUAAGGUUUUGUAUGACUUCUAUUCCUAUAUGGUCAUUAAUAUAACCAACUAAAGAUUUGACCUAGGGUUGAUAUUGAUAUCUUAAAAUGAUACAAGUUACAGUACUGUAGCUGCCUGAUCAUUUUGCUAGUUCAGUGAUAAAGGACCUUUUGAAAGUGUAUGUUGUUUAUGAAAUACCAUAGGAAGCAAAAGAGUACUCUAUUUUGGAGAACCGGUUUGCUAUGUCCUCUUGGGUUUAUGGGUUGGGCUCUUUUUCUUACAUGCCUAUCACACGCUUCUCUUUUGCAGUUUGUGGGUCAAGUCACAUUGUGAUGUAGUUAGGUGUUGUCAUUUUGGAAAAGGUUUUUGUUGCAAUGGUGGAAGCUUUCAUGCAAACAUCGUUAAUCAUGAACAUAAAGAUAAAACAAUAACACAUACGAAAUACGAGGUUUUAACGUAGUUCGGCUAACCAUGUCUACAUUCAUGGAUGAGAGAAAAUCAUUCCAUUAUAUAAUAGGGAACAUUACAGAUGAUAGAACCAAAAUAUUAAUAUCAUAGAGGACAUAACCAAAUAUAUCUAUUGAAUUCCCGAAACAUCUCAUGUUUCCUUACUCUUCGUUGAUUCAUGCCCAGUUGGUGUCUCAGCUGAUUUGUGUCCAGCUGGUGCUCCUUGAUUGAGGGAGUAAUCAACAAAAUUUAUAACCUAUAACACCAUACACUAGGGUAGCAAAGAAAAAGCUACUAUAGUAUAGUGGCUCUAGGAUCGUCCAUUGGGAAAGAUUAACAAGCUCUCAAUGAUACCAAUUCCAAGUGAAUUGGUUUUGUUUCAUUUCAUGGUUAGCUUAAAAAGUAAAACACAAACUUUGAUUGGUAAAGGUUUAGACUUAAACUAACUAACAUAACAAAAGUUUGGAAUAAUUUAGGAAGAAAAGCAUUCCCUGGAGAGUUAGGUUCACUGGGGUGGUUCCUCAUGCAAAAGACAUAGCUUCGGUCAGAUGGUUCAUUUCCUCGUGUUAGAGAUUCAACAUAUAGUCAAUUCUCUAACCAGUAUUGUACAGAGACUCCUUCAAUUAGAUUUCACGUUAAUUCUCUCACUGAUGCAACUUGCAAUGGUUUAAGCCUCUCACUAAGCCUUAACCAUUCAAGGUGAUCUUUAACCUUGGAUUACCCGUCAAAAGCUCGCAAGAGAUAACUAAUGGAUGUCUCCUAGGAGUCCAAAAGCUUACCAAGUGUUGGCUAUUCUAGAAAAUCCUACCUUGAAGUCACCUCCCAGAGGCUCGCAAGGGGUAAACUAGUGCAUUUCCAUGGUUGGAAAUCACUUGCCUUACCAAGUGUUGGCCCAGGUGACUCUAAGGUGUUUUAAGUUAACUAAAAACAUAGAAAUCACUAAAGGAUUUCACUUCCUCUUCAUUACUAGCUAAAACCACAAAGCUUUGCAUUCUUGCACUUGGAACCUCCCCCGGCAACCUUAGCUCCAAGGAAUUAGAAGUUUAGUUACUCAUUCUCUGGGGAAAACUCCUCAGAGAGUUCAUAACUUAGUAAUAAAAUGAAAAUACAAAGUGAGAAGGUAAGGCAGUAGAAAGAAAAUAGACUUUACUUGCUUACCCAAACUUUUUCAAAAGGAACUCCUCUCUGAGAACAAGCUCUCGAGAGGUAUAUAUAUGAACAUAAUAUAAAACUAAUUAUUACAAAGAUAUUUAGUCUUUUUACUAACUUAAAAACUAAGGAAUCAUGUAAUUGGUGGUUUACAAGGAGUAUUUUGGGAUUUAGACAACAAAAAUCUAAUGGAAAAUAUCUCCCAAUGUCGGUAGCAAAUAUCGGGAGGCUUCAGGAACCAUUUCGCAGGAGAAAAAUGGUGUCUGCGAGAUUUCGUAGACACUUAAGAGGGCUGCGAAAUAUUUUCGCAACACCAAGCUAUCUUCACAAGGCUGCGAAGUUGGCUUCUACCUUGAGGUUCCUAGCUUCCUUCUUGCGGCAUAAAUCGUGCAUUGUCAGAAGGAGAAACACCUUACUGUACAAAAAUGCUGCGAAAUCACUUCACAACAAAAGGGUGAUUUCGCAGCACUUUGCAAAAUGCUUCCUUCAGCUCAGAGUGAUUGGCUUGUAACGGCUGCAACUUCUUCGUUUCAACUCCGAAUUGCACACCGUUUGAAGCAUUGGAUUGUUGACUUCCUGAGCUUUGAAAUGGUAUAUAGCAGGCAUCAUUUGGACUUCAAAAAGUGCUCCAAAAGUGGCUGCUACGACUGUCAUCAAGAAUAUGCUUUAUGGCAGAUUCUCUUUGCUUUUUCUCCUUGCAAUCCGGAUUCACUCUUGGCAAAUGACUUUUCAACUUUGCCCAAGAUUCCUCAUAGCUCUCCUCAGACUUGACUUGCUUUGGUGAUCAAAAUACUAACAAAAAACACCCAACUUACACAAAGUGAUUAAAAUUGCUUUAAAGGGGUCCUUAACAUGCCAAUUGAGUUAAAAGGCCAAAACUACUACUCAAAAGUGUUUAAAAAGAUUAAAUAUAAGGCUAUCAAAUAGCACUUUUUGAGUAGUAAUCAUUCGUAUCCCAAUUCUACCACGAGCCAUUUCNNNNNNNNNNNNNNNNNNNNNNNNNNNNNNNNNNNNNNNNNNNNNNNNNNNNNNNNNNNNNNNNNNNNNNNNNNNNNNNNNNNNNNNNNNNNNNNNNNNNAACACUUGGUAAGCUUUUGGAUUCCAAGGAGACAUCCAUUAGUUAUCUCUUGCGAGCUUGAGAAGGGAAGUCCAAAGUUAAAGAUCACCUUGAAUGGCAAAUGCUAGGUGAGAGGCACGAGCCAUUGCAAGUUGCAUCAGUGAAAGAGAAUUAGAGCUGAAAUCCAUUUAAAGGUUACAUCUGUACAACACCGGUUAGAGAAUUAACUAUAUGUUAAUUCUCUAAUGCGAGGAAAUGAACCAAAUGACCAGAGCUCUGUUUUUGCAUAAGGAACCUCCCCUGUGAACCUAAACCUCCAAGGAAUGUUUUUCUUCAUAAGUAAUUUCCAUUACUUUCUUUUUAGUUAGCUUUAAACAAAACCUCAUUUAAACAAAGUUUGUGUUUUAUUUCUUAAGCUAACCUUGAAAUGAAAAAGCACCAAUUUACUUUGAAUUGGUAUCAGUUGUGAGUUGAAAACCCUUCCCAGUGAACGAUCCUAGAGCCACUAUGUUAUAUUAGCUAAGCUAUCCUAAUGCAUGGUGAUAUAAGUUAUAAAUUUUGUUGAUUACUCUCUCAAUCAAAGAGCACCAACUGGACAUGAAUUAGCUGAGACACCAAUUGGGAACGAAUCAAAUAACACAUACGAAAUACGAGGUUUUAACGUAGUUCGGCUAACCAUGUCUACAUUCAUGGAUGAGAGAGAAUCAUUCCAUUAUAUAAUAGGGAACAUUACAGAUGAUAGAACCAAAAUAUUAAUAUUAUAGAGGACAUAACCAAAUAUAACUAUUGAAUUCCCGAAACAUCUCAUGUUUCCUUACUCUUCAUAUCCCAUCCUACCACGAGCCAUUUCACUCCAUCUGGUACCUCCUAUGGGAUCCUCCCUAAAAAAUGUCACUUGGCUCUCUCCCCCUUAAGACGCGCGACAUAGCUCAUUCCACCUGGAUAAGAAUUCUAUCCGGCCGAUGUUCUAUCUUAUCCGGAUGUCUCACAGCUGCCAUUCUGUCUGGCCGACGUUCCACCUCAUCCGGAUAUCUCAUAUCCGGGUCCGGCCAACGUUCCACCUUCUCCGGCCGUCGGAUGAGAGAGAAGGGCGAUUCAACUUCCCUGGUCAGGUAUGUCCGGAUACUCUGAUAGCGCGUACCCGGAGAACAUCCGUAGCCGCCAUUUCAGAUUCCCCGGAUAACUUAGCUCGUCAGACACUCGCGAUUCGUCGGAUCCAUUUUCACCCACAAUCAAAAAGCAAAAUCAGAUAAUAUUGACGACCAAGUCUCCUGAACUGUCACUCAUAUUCAAUGCAAGAUAAGCUUGAUGGGAUAUUCCCAAAUCUUAUCAGAGUGCCUGACACAUUCCCAAUAUUUAAAGAGACAAGAUAUUCCUAAAUCUUAUCAAAGUGCCUGACACAUCCCCGAUAUUUAACGUCAUAAUUGAAGUGGCAGCCGCCACCUGGCACCAGAAAUGUCAUGAUUGCUUUGCCACCUUAUGAAUCGCAAUCAUGACGAUGGGACCCGCUAGCACAGCGAGGCCAUACUUUCUGACACUAUAUAAAAGGGCCUUCACACAAGAAGGAAGGUAGGCUAACUAUCCCUAAAAAAGCCUGAUAGCUUGAUCUCUUGAGCCAUGACUAACAAAACCAUCGGAGGGUGUGUCCGGACAUCCUGUCCGGACAUCUUUUUGCAGGAGGAAGGAGGAUUCACUGUAACGCGUUGAUCGAGAUUCCGUUGCUGGUGACGACUACUGUAGCAGGGGAAUUUUGCCAUCAACACCUCCCAUUCUUCCUCACAUCUCUAUCCACCUCUUAUAACAUCUCUAUCCACCUCAUAUAGUCUUUACAGACCCAUUCAUAACUUUUCCCCCCUCAUAAUCUAGAAUAUUUAUAAAGAUAUUUCCAAUAACCUUCCUUAUUCUAUAAGGAUUCUAACAUUGCAGUAAUAUAUCAACCUAAAAAUAUUCUAUACAAUAUUUUUAUAAAAAAAAGAAAUAUAUACUAAUUAGGAAUUGGGACACUUCCUAAUAAUCUCCACCUUGUACCAAAUUCCAUGAAGUCACUCUUCACAGAGCACACAAAAUGAAGAUAAAGGGAAUUUUAAGUGAAAGUGAAAUCGAUUGCUCUCUUGUAGUGAUAUGAUACAAAAGGUUUGUGUCAUGGAGAGUUUGAAAAUUGACUUUAUGGAAUUUGGUCCAAGGUGAAGAUUGUUUGGAUGUGUCUUAAAUUCCUAAUUAGUAUAGAUUUUUUUUUGUAAAGAAUAUUUAUAGGGAUAUUUCCAAUAAUCUUCCUUAUUCUAUAAGGAAGUCUAAUAUUACAAUAAUAUAUUAAAUUCCUAAGGUGGAGAUUGUUAGGAAGUGUCUCAAAUUCCUAAUUAAUAUAGAUUUUUUUUUUGUGAAGAAUAUUUAUAGGGAUAUUUCCAAAAAUCUUCUUUAUUUUAUACGAAAGUCUAAUAUUACAAUAAUAUAUUAACCUAGAAAUAUUCUAUAUAAUAUUCUUUACAAAAAAAAAUAAAAAAAAAUCUAUACUAAUUAGUUUUGGGACACUUCUAAACAAUUCCACCUUGAACCAAAUUCCAUGAAGUCAAUCUUCAAACUCUCCAUGACACAAGCUUUUAUAUCAUAUCACCACGAGAGAGCAAUCAACUCCACCUUCACUAAAAAUUCCUUUUGUUUUCAUCUUGUGUGCUCUGUGAUCUUUUACUUUUUCAGAAAUCUUUAACCCAUGCUUUGAUACCAGUUUGUUGAUCAAUAGAAUAUUUGAUGCAAAUAUCGUUAAUCAAUAACACAAAAAUAAAAUAAUCAACACAAACAAUACACGAGAUUUAAUGUGGUUCGACGAACCAGGCCUAUGUCCAUGAAUGAGAGAAGAUCAUUUCACUAUACAAUAGAAAACAUUAUAGAGGACAAAACCAAAACAUUACAGAGAACAUAACCAGAUACACUUAUUGGGUUCCUAAAACAUUCUAUGUUUCCCCCAUUCUUCGUAUCCCUACCCUACCACUAGUUGUCUCGCUUCACUAGGUACCUUCCGUUCUUCCUCACAUCUUUAUCCACCUCUAGUCUUUGUUAGUCCAUCUUUAUCUCAUUACUUUUUCCCUUCCUAACCUAUAAUAUUUAUAAGGACAUUUCCAACAAUCUUCCUUAUUCUAUAAGGAAGUCUAAUAUUACAAUAAUAUAUGAACCUAUAAAUAUUCUAUAUAAUAUUCUUUACAAAAAAAGAAUCUAUACUAAUUAGGAAUUUGGGACACUUCCUAACAGUUUUUAGGAAACAAAAGCCACAACCCACUGCGUCUUGUGUGGCUUGAUGUGAUUGGAAUGUUUGUCUCAAGAGGACCUGAAGCACAUAUGACAUAAGUAUUGCAAAACUAAAAUUUUGCAUUAUACCUUGAACAUGAUCUAGACCCUGAAACUAUGGACUCCUAAAGUAUUUAUUGUUCGGUGAUUAUAUAUGUUGGAAUUUACAUAGUUGAAGUAAGACUUUUUUUUUGUUGAAAGACAUGUUGUUUCUAAAUAGACAACUUAUUUUAAAGGAUGUGUCUUGUAUUCUAAAAGUCACCAUCAAAUCUAUAAAUAGGGACCCCCAUGGCAUUUCUUAUUUAUUUAUUCAUUCAUCCAUUCUCUCCACUAUUUCUUUUUUUUUUUUGUCAUUCUAGUCCUCCUUAGCUUCAAGUCUAAUAAUUUCUCUUUUCUACCAAAUCAAGUGAUUCGUUGUUUCUUAUAAUUUGAAGUGCUACAAUCACAAGAAAGUGAUCGUUGUAUCAUAUGAGACGAUUGUUAAUAAAUCGUAAGCACCUGAGCAAGACAAAUUCGUCUUAAGGACAUAGAGUCAAACUUUAGCCUCGAUCAACUUUAUUUAUGAGUUCCAAUUUUCUACUUCAUUUUAUUUGUAUGUUUAUUAUAUGCACUUAUUAUCCAUAUAUUUUUAGUGAUUUGGAUUACAGUAUACGAGGAUCUAACUUUUAUUCACUAUCGCCCAUUCCUAAAUUGUACGAAGAUAUAAAUGCAAGGCAAACAAUGAGCACUUGGAGCGGCCAUCUCUCAAGAAGAUAGCAACGGAUGGCCCAAUGGAUCCGGUGCCAACCAACUUCUUGUCAUCUAACAUGCAACCACCAGAAACAAAAGGUCCUGUUCCUUCGACUGAUCCUGACAUGGGCCCAUCAUCAUCUUCCAGGCAGAUUCCUCAUGGAAACAUUUCAGAGAUCAGAGAUAGAAAAGGUCCGGGUGAUAAUCGGGCUAUGAAGAUGUCAGCUGUCCUCACCCAAACUUGGAGGGAUGACUUGAAAUCUGGGCAUCUUCCGGUAUCUCUAUCUGAGUUGUUGGUGAAAGUAUUUUGCCCUUCGUUCCAGCUUCUGAGAUGUCUUUGCUCUUGUAACCAUUGGGAGGGAAGAUUAAAAAUUCUGUUGUUCUCACAUGGUAUAAAAUUCAUGGAAUCACUUCAAUUCAAGAAAGAAGCUUAUUUCUAAUGAAUUUUUAUAGAAGUUUUGGCCUUUUUAUGGUCCCCAUCUCACCAAUUCAAGCUCUGAAAGGGCAAGGAGGUAUCAAUAAAUGACUUGUGAAAAGGAGAUCCUUACGUUUUCGUUGAGUAAUAAGCAAGCUUGGAAAGGCCAGUUGUUUUCACCCAAAAUAUAGAAAUUCUAGAUUUUCUUCAUUAGUUAUAACCAGCAAUUACAUGGAAAGGAGAGCAAAAACAUGGCGUUCAAUUGAGAGAACAUAUAGAAAAAUAAGUCCGCUAGCGAUUCAAAUACCUCAACAAAAUCAACAAACAAUUCAAGCAUCCAUUUUCAUGGCUUCCCUUUCAACAGCUUUCUUCAGGAAGCUGUCCUCCUCCAGGACCAUCUGAACAGGCAGGAACCCCAACCCGUUGGCCAUGGCGAGCAUCAUUCGUUUGGUCUCCUUCUUGAACUCCUCCAAAUCCACGGCACCAUUCGCAUCAUGAUCGAACUUCACAAACAGGGAGUCGUAGACGUGAGCAAGCUCAUCUGGAUCUCUUUUAACAUCAAUGCCGAAGUGUGUUUCAAAGACCCUCAGACUCUGAAACUCUUUCAGCAUCUCUGCAUAUGAGAGGAAGCCAUCAUGAUUUGUGUCAAGAUUGGAAAAGCGGUCAUGGAUCAAACCAUUGAAUGCUUCUUCAUCUUCCACAAAGCUGACAAUGGUGGAACCGUCCAACACUUCCACACUCAUUCUCUCUUCUGCUCCUGCGCUCAAACUGGCUAGUAUCCAAGAAAAGCUCUAACCCAAGAACCAAGUAGUAAAAAAGCUUUUGAUUUUGAUGAAAAUGAAGGAUGCCAUGGUUGCAUAUAUAUAGCUGAAUAUUAGAUUAGUAGAGAAACAACCGUUAAAGUUCUAGCAAAGUGAUAUGCUGGUUCAAACGCACCGAAAGUUUUCAGCCUAUUGUUUCUUUAUUGUGCCUCUGGUUUCUGAAAACUCCCACGCAAACCAAGCUAAUGGGAAGGCUCUCGUAAAUACCAUCAUCACUAUGUCGGUGAAACUGUAUCAACAUAUACAUAUACAAUGUUAGAAAUUAGGUUCUACAUGAAAAUAUUAUAUAUUCAACCUCAAAAAAUCUGCUAUUACAUAACAAAUAUGACUUUUCAUUUGGGUCCCAGUGUCUUUGGAAAUUAAACAAUAGGCUCAUCUGAUAUGUAGAUAGUCAGAAACCAACAUGUAAUAUUGUAACGUACAUUUUGGAAAACAAUAGGCUGAGUUGAUGUCCAGAAAGUCAGAAGCCGAAAGGACUUGACCAAGUCAAAGACGAGUAACUUUUUCGGUUAAGACGAUGCGCCAAACCUGAAUAUGAAAAUCAAUGUGCCCACAAAAUGGACAUUUUUGUGGGUCCUCUUGUUUUUCUUACCCACCAAUAUUCCACCGACUUCCUCAAAAGUAAACCACCAUAGUACAUAACGUGGACUUAGUAUACCUACCACACGAAAUGACUUCAUUAAUCAUUUGGAGGAAAACACAUUCUUGUUAUAGCAUCGUAUCUUCGUUAGAUUCGAUAGAUGCCUGCCUAUCGAUAAUCUAGAAUUUUCCUAUCAAACAAACACUCAGUUCAAUUCCCACUCAACCACUUUUCAAGAAAUUAUGCUCCUUUCAAAAUAAUUAUUUCAGAAUUUGUUUUUGAAAACAAAAACCAAGAGUAUUUUUUUCAAGAUAUUGCUUAAAAUUUGUGUAAAUUUUUAAGAAUAGAGAAUCUUUCUUUAUCUUCUCACUGCAUCAAAAUAUGUUCUUCAAAUUGAUUUCAAGGAAAAAAAAAAGUUGAAUUCACAAAUGUGUGCUUUUAUUGAUCCGAAAGAAGCGCUUUUCAAUCAGGUGUAAGACGUACAAGAAUAUGAAUCUCUACUGCCCCUACAACUUCUAAGGUCCCACCAUCUUCACCAACACUAAUCAAAGCCCUCUACUACCUACGUAAGUUUGAAGAGAAAAUUAAGGAAACAAGAAUCUAAAUCAGAUUAGGGCACCAGUUUGGUGGAUUCCCAUUCAACAUCUUUCUUCAAGAAACUGCCCUCUUCUAGAAUCAUCUGCAAAGGCAAGAGCCCUAACCCAUCAGCCACGGCCAGCAUCAUUCUCUUGGUCGCAGUCUUGAACUCCUCAAAAUCCAACACCCCAUUUGAGUCACGAUCAAACUGCGAGAACAGAAAGCAGUAGACUCCAGCAACUUCAUCUGCGUCUGUCUUCACAUCAAUCCCAAAGUCGGUCUCAAAAACCCUAAGACACUGCAGUUGUUUCAAAAUCUCCUCGUAGGAAAGCACACCGUCUUGGUCUUCGUCAAGAGCGGCAAAGCGGUCAUGUACCCAACUGUUGAAUGCUUCUUCAUCUUCAACAAAGCCAGCAAUGGUGGCGCCAUUCAGAAUUUCUACACUCAUGAUGGAAGCUCUUCUUCUAAUCGCUACCCUUCUGCGGAAGUUUUUUGGACUAGAGAACAGAAUGUAUGUCAGAGACGUCGAUUUUGAUGAAAGUACAGACGGCCUUGUACUCAUAUAUAUGUAUAUUAUUGUAGAGUUUGUGCAGAUAUCUAUUUGUAAUCGGUUUCUAUUUCCUAUAUUGAAUACAGUUAUAUUCUACUGAAAAUAUUUGUUUUCCUUUUCUAUUACGGUACUAGCUAGUUAGAUUUAGAAACUUUCUAAAAUAUUUGUAUUUCCUUCUCUAAGAUGAUUCUUGCUAGAUAUAGAAACUUUAUGAGUUUUGCGUUUCUUUCUAAUGUAUUUAAUUAUGUUGAAAUUAUAAUCCCACUUAAAAUCAAAUUAGAAGAAUUUUAAGAAUUUAAGAAAUAUUACAAAUUGUUAUUUAUUUAGGUUUCUUAUGUUAAUUAAAACUUUUUGUCUAGGAAUUGGUGUCCUAAUGCAAGUAUGAUUAGUUUAUUUUAAAUAGACUUGUUAUUAUGUUGAAAAGUAUAAUGCAAUAAAUUUUUAUUUUAGCAAACUAUUACCAAUACCCAAAUGUGUGGUUCCAACAAUUGGUAUUAGAGAAGGUGAAAUGCCAAAGCAAAGCUAGAAUACCAGGAAAAAUGCAAAAUCACAAGAAAGUUGCAAUUUUGUUUGUGAAAUUAUGGUUACAAAUAAUAAUAAUUCAAUUCAUCUUCAACUUCCAAAAUUUACAAGUAAUAAUUUUGAUAAUUAGUGUAUUCAUAUGUGUGUCUUAUUUAGAUCUCAAGAUUUAGGAGAUCUAGUAAAUAUCAAUUACAAUGAAAUGAUCGAUUCAAAAGAAUUCAAGGCACUAUCAAAGGAGCAAAAAGAUUCAUUGAAAGAUUCUUGAAAGAAAAAUUAAAAAACACUUUAUGCAAUAUUCCAAGUAGUAGAUGAAUCCAUAUUUGAGAAAAUCUCAUAAGCAAAAACAUCAAAAGAGGCAUGAGUUACUCUACGAAAAUUAAACAAAGGUGAUGAAUGUGUUAAGCGAAUGAAGUUGCAAACAUUAAGAGAUGAAUUCAAGUCUCUUUGCAUGAAUGACUUUGAAGCUAUCUCAUAUUAUUUUAAUUGAGUACAAACCAUUGUUAACUAGAUGCAAGGUAAUGGUGAGAAGCUUGAUAAUCAACGAAUAGUAGAGAAAAUUAUGCGAUCUUUAAGUGCAAGGUUUGUCUAUAUUGUUGUAGUAAUUAAGGAAAGAAAGAAUAUAGUCAUUUCAUGGUUGAAAGAUUGAUGAGUUCAUUGUGUUCGCAUGAACAACGAAUGAAUCAAAAAAUCAACUCUACAAAUUUGAUGAUAAAAGUGAGAAGUGUACUUUCAUUGGUUAUGGUGAUGUAACUAGGUUACAAACUCUAUAAUCUAGAAAUAGGAAAAAUGAUUGUGAGUAGAGAUAUUCAAUUCCUAGAGAAUGAGAGUUAGGCAUGGACCCAAACACAAAGUGAGGAAAAAGGAGUUGUCUUUGAAGAAGACUUUGUAGAAAACAAUAAGAAUUCGAAGGAUUCUACAACAAGACACUUGCUCAUAUUAGAAGUUCUCCUAUGCGAAUGAAAACAAGGUAGGAGUCUAAACCACAAGGUCGUCCAAAACUUUCUCAUAUUGCAUAUUUAAAGGAUUGUGAAGUCAUGAAAGAUAUUGAAAUUAUUGAUGAAGGUUUAGUUAACUUUUGUCUAUUUGUAUAUUGUGAUCUGAUUUUGUAUAAAGAAGCAGCAAGUGAUAAAAAGUGGAUUUAAGCGAUGAAUGAAGAAAUUCAAUCAAUAGAGAAAAACAAUACAUGGAAAACAACUAAUCUACUAAUUUGAAAAAAGCCUAUAGGUGUUAAAUGGGUUUAUAAGACAAUAUAAACUUGAUGGUAAAGUUUAUCGAUUUAAGGCAAGAUUGAUUGCAAAAGGUUGUAAAUAGAAGCUAGCAUUGAUUAUUUUAAAGUUUUUUUUUCACAAAUUUCUAGACUAAAUACCAUUCACAUGAUAUUUGCAUUUGCAGCUCAGAAAAGGUGGAAAAUUCACCAAAUGGAUAUGAAGUCUGCUUUUCUUAAUGGUGUACUUGAAGAAGAGAUUUUUGUUGAACAACCACCAAUAUAUAUUAAGGAAGGGUAAAAGAAAAAAGUUUACAAACUCAAAAAGGCAUUGUAUGGGUUAAAGCAGGCACCACGUGCUUAGUAUACGCGGUUGUUACCUAAUUAUUGUUGCAUGGAUUUCAAAAGAGUCCUUUUAAGCAUACACUUUAUAUCAAGUCAAAUUCUAAUGGUGAUAUAAUUGUUGUAUGCCUCUUUGUGAAUGAUUUAAUUUUUAUAGGAAAUUGUCAAUAGAUGUUUGAAGAUUUUAAGGAGACAACGAAACAAUAAUUUAAGAUGACAAAUUUGGGAUUAAUGUCCUAUUUUCUUGGAAUUUAAGUCCAACAAACAGAUGAUGAUAUCUUCAUCUCACAAGAUAACUAUGUUAUAGAUAUUCUAAAGUGAUUCAAGAUGGAAUCAUCAUCAGAAAUCUGUACUCUUAUUGCAGAGUGACUAGAGAUGAAAAAGGAAAGCAUUAGGCAUAGUAGGAAGUCUUCCUUAUUUGAGAUCUACUAGACCAAAUAUUGUUUUUGGAGUGGAAAUUAUCAUUUGAUUUAUGGAAAAAAAAAUCAUAUUAGUUACGCUUGCAAGCGGCACUGAAUUUUGAGGUAUGUAAGUGAUACUUGUGAUCAUGAAAUUUUCUAUUCAUAUUCAAGCAACUUCAGUUUAGUGGGUUAGAUAGAUAGUGACUGGGGAGGCGAUGAAGAGACUAUAAAAAGUACUGGUGGGUAUAUAUAUAUAUUUAUUUUGGAACAAGAGCAUUCUUAUGGUCAUAAAAAAAAAAAAAAAAAACAAUAAGUUGUAGCAUUAUCAAUUACAAAAACUAAAUACAUGACAAUUACUUUCACAACAUGUCGAGUAGUUUGGUUUUACAGGAUGCUUAGACUAUAUUUAGUUCUUGGAAAGUACUAAGAAAAGAGAAAAAUAUUAAAGAAAAUGGUUUUAUCAUGUUUAGUUUCACUAUAAAAAAAUAUAAAAGAAAAUAAAAUAUAAUUAAAAUUCAUCAAAAGUUUGGAUAUUUUUAAAUUAUUUAAUCUUUAUAUAAUAGAGGGGACUAAGUGAAAUGAGUUUGAAAAAGCAUAUAAAAAAAAUUUAUUGAGUUUAAAUCUAUUUUUUAUUUUCCUUCAUUUUUUUUAUUUCCUUCUAUUUUUCAUCUCUAUUUCAUUUCCUUUGUAUUUUCCCUCAAAUUUUCCAGGAACCAAACAUAACCUUAUUGAAUUGAAGUAUGAACAAAAGGGUCGUACAAAGAUUUUGUAUAAUAAUAAGUUUGCUAUUGUAUUGACAAAGAAUUUGUUGUUUUAUGAUAGAAGCAAACACAUAAGUAUCAAAUUUCAUUAUAUUAGAAAACUCGUGAAAAAUCAAGAGAUCAACUUUAAUUUUGUAGAUCAAAGAUCAAGUUGUAGAUAUUUUUACAAAACCACUGAAAACGAAUGUGUUCGAGAAGUUAGAGAUGAUGCUUGGUGUGAUUAGUUUUACAACUCGAAUUAAAGAAGAUUGUUGAAAUUAUAAUUCGACUUAAAGUCAAAUUAGAAGAGUUUUAAGAAUUUGAGAAGCAUUAAGAAUUGUUAUUUAUUAGAUUUCUUAUGUUAAUUAAGACUUUUGGUCUAAUAGAAAUGGGAAUCCUAAUGCAAGUAUGAUUAAUUUAUUAUAAAUAGGCUUGUUAUUAUAUUAAAAAGUAAAAUACAAUAAAUUUUUAAUUUAGUAAAUAUUAUUGAUACUAAAUUGUGUGGGUUCCAACAUAUUAUACGUGGUAAUGAUAAUAUAUAAAUUUUUAAAACAAGUAAUAAUAUUAUAAAUUUGGUGUUAUAUACUACUCAAGUAUUAAAAAGUGAGCUACCUAGCUAUUUUCUCUCUUGGAAUACAUUGACAUGAAUAUAGUUCAUUACAAAUAUAAUUAAAAAUUUAAAUAUUUUUAAAUUAUUUAAUCUUUACAUAAAUGAAAUUUAAAUAGAUAAAAUAAAUUUAAAAUAUAUAAAAAUAAGUUACUGAAUUUAAAUCUAUUUCUUAUUUUUUUUUUAUUAAUAUAAUUUCCUAUCGAUCUUUCUCUUGUAUCUUCACUCACAUUUCCUAGGAACCAAAGUAGGUAAAGCUUAAUUUUGAGUGGAAGGAAGUCACCAAUCAAUCGAAUCUCAUAGCUGAAAUUCCUCCAUGAUAACUGUAGUUUAUUUAUCACUUCUCCACGAUAACAUGAAUUCAAUUCCCAUCAUUAAAGUUGCUCCAAGAUGGCAGGAGAAACAUCGUCGGCAAGUUCCCAAAGCAAACACAGUCUCGCCAUCCCAAACCACCUCUCCCAUCAAUGCUGCUGCGCAACUGCAGCUGAAGCUUCUGGCAAGCAAUUAUCCGUUGUGGAGAGCUCGAUUCGUUACUUUUCUCUGUGGAUAUGAUGGAUCACAUAGAGAUUCAUCAGCCAUGAUCAACAAAGAAUCUGAAAUCUUGUCCAAUCUUGAACAUAAGAUUUGGAAACAGUACGACCGUCUGUUUCUUCACACCGUAACUUGCCUCUGUUUCGAAGUUCGGCUAAUGAAGCUUGGUCUCGUCUUGGUUGACUUUAUGCCAACAAGUCAAGUUGAUAUUUUUGAGAACUGUAAGAAAAAAUUGAUUAUUAAAAUCUCAAAAAUAUUUUGCCAUCGUUUUUGAAGUAAAAUCUUUAAGAAUAAUUUUUAUGAAAGGAAAAUACCUCUCAAUGAUUUCAAAAAUACUUUUCAUAGAAUUAUUUUCCUUAUUCUUUACAUUUCCUAAUUUUAAAAUUAUACUCUUAAGUGGUAUUUGUUUUUUAAGCUUAAUAUUGAAUGUAAGAAUUUGGAUAAUUUGUUUUUAACUUUUUUUUUAUUACUUAUUUUUUAAAAUCUUCUGAUUAAAUAGAAAAAGGCAAAAAUAUUUGACUUUUUGUUGUUAAAAAUAAUUUUUCCAAAUAAGUGAAACAGAAUCUUAACAUGAUCCUUACUCUAUUAGUACUUAAUACUUAAUAAAAAUAAAAUAAUAAAAAAUAAUUUCAUAUUUAAUUCUAUUAAAUAGUAUUUAAAGUUAAGUUAAAUUAAGUUGUAUUUAGAUUUAAGUAAAAAGAAAAAGAAAAAAACAAACAAACAUUGCCUCAAUUGGAAUCCAAUCUUAUUAUCAUGAUAAUUUAUUUUCUAUUAAGGAUCUCUAAAAAUUUCCAUUUUAAUUUCUCUCACGUGCAAGAGCCUUCAUCCUAUGGUUCUCUCUCCAAAUCUAAGCAAUAGAGAAGUGUGGUCUUCUCUCUCUCUUGAGGCCUAUGGAGGUUAGGGUUUCUUCUUACUAUAAGUGAAAGAAUAAGACUGAACUAACCUUAAACCUUUGGGUUUCAAUGAAUAAAAUAGCACAAGUAACACUUGUGUCUUAUAUUUAUAUACCCUAAUGCACACUUAUGAUUUGGAUAAGAUCAAUCAUGGAUAAAUCCAAGUUUCAGACAUGGAGAAACAAUGCAUGCAAUACCCGGUAUUGUGUUUUUGCACUUGGGUUGUGAAGACUGCAAUGACUACCUUGUUUUGCUUCACUAUUCUAAAGCAGUUCACCUUCUGAGCUUGUGGCAGUGUUAAGAAAAAUUAGAACUAUUCUCAUGUGCAGUUCACCUUCUAAGCUUGUGGCAUCUAGUUGAACUAAUCAAUGAACCCUUUGAUCAGUUAGGCCCUGACUUUCAGGCAUUAAUAAACCUGGUGCAAACUACACAACCUAAUGCAACUCAAAUUAUACAAUUUCUUAGAAUGGUGGGUCAUCUGCCUUGCCUUUUUCUUUUUUGAUAGGCAAGAAAUUUAUUAACAGGCACCCAACAAGAAAAGGGAUCACACCGUGUACAAUGGAAGCAUACAAAUGGGCCAUAAGGCUGAAAAGAAAGGGAAAAAUCUACAUAUGCCCCCUCCUGCCUAUACAUUAUCCAAACAAUAAAUGAACCCUACAUGAGUAAAAUAUACAAAUUCAUUUGAUGCCAUUGAGUUUGCCCUGAUUCAGGUUUGUUUAACUUGCUUUAUGUAAUCUAGUGGCUGCUGAGCAUUUGGUUUCAAGAACAUUUCUUUGCAUGGAUACAUAGAUUCACCUCUCUUUUCAUCUCCCUAACAUCUUACUCUUAAUUUCAAAUUUCAUCCUCAGAAUUUAAUUUUAUUAGAUUUUGCAGAUUUGGGCACGUUUACAACAAUCAGCAAACGCAGCUGACGGAGACUCUGCUCCAUGCGUUUUUAGACCCAAAACGUUCUAUGACCCAACACUAUGGUGCAAUUCAAGGUUUAGCAGCUCUAGGACCAAAUAUGGUACGCCACUCUCAUUCUUUUUUUAUAUGAUUUUACAAAGAAAAUAAAUAAAAAACGAUCUAAAGGAUAAAAUUUUGGGGCUUUAGCUGCUUUUAUUUUGUCUCUCAGAAUCUUUCCUACUUUAGGAAAAUGAAUUUACUUGAAAUGGAAAUACCUUUGACAGAGUUUCUCCUAUAUACUCUUUUUUUCCUUCUUCUCAACCAAAUGACAUAUGUAGGAGCUUGUUCUGUUAUGGUUUAUCUUAUAGUUAGUUUCUAAAUUGUAUCUGCCAUUAACUGGAGCUUUGAGCUAGCUGUUUGCGACACUGUACUUUUUGCCUAGGUUCGCCUACUUGUAGUGCCAAAUCUUGAACCAUACCUUCGACUUCUUGAACCUGAGAUGCUCCUUGAGAAGCAGAAGAAUGAGAUAAAGAGGCAUGAAGCAUGGCGUGUUUAUGGGGCCUUGCUGGUGCGUUUUGUUUCUAAUGGGUUUGUAAUGUUAUCCAGUAUGAGAAGUCCUAAGAUGGGUUAUAUGUUGCAUGUAACGAGAACAUGUUUCUUUUAUUCUUUCUUUCUAGCGUGCGAUAGGUCAAUCUAUAUAUGAUCGGCUAAAAAUGUUCCCACUUUGCCAUCCCCACCAGCACGUGUUUUUAGGACCAACGGAAGGGUAGUUACAUCACCACCAAGUAAGAGUAUUGAUAAGGCAGAAUCCUCUCCUGAUUGAUUCUUUCCUUGAUCUUAGAUUAUUUUUUAUUAUGUAUAUUUAUCUUUUCCUAGUUUGUAGGAUCUCUCAACUGUAUAUACAAUCUAUAUAAUGAGAAACAAUUACCUCAAUAAUUAUUGAGGAUUUCAACCAUAUUUACACGGGUUCUCAAACCUUUAUAUGGUAUCAGAGCAGGUUUUAAUUUAAUUUUUUUUUUCCGAUCCUCUUCAUGGCUGCAUCGUCGUCCUCAUCAUCUCCACUUCUGCUCAACACGAUGGUGCAUAUGCUCACCAUCAAACUGACCUCCUCUAAUUAUUUUUUAUGGAAAAAUCAGUUUAUCCCUCUGCUGACCAGCCAAGAUCUUCUUGGAUUUCUGGAUGGUAGUGUCCUAGCUCCUUCUCCAAAGGUUACUGGUUCUAAUGGCACCACUUAGGUGAAUCCGGCCUACACCUCUUGGUUGACUACUGAUCAAACUCUCCUCAGUCUUCUCUAUUCUUCUCUUACAGAGGAAUCUAUGAGUGAGGUACUUGGUCUGAGUCAUGCGCAUGAGGCCUAGACCACUCUUGAAGCCUCUUUUUCUCACAGAUCCAAGACUCAAGGACUCCAACUCAAGGAUGAGCUUCAACUGAUGCAGCGAGGCUCGAAAUCCAUGGCAGAAUUUUCUUGACUCUUUAAAGGGCUCUGCAAUCAAUUGGCGGCAAUUGGUCGUCCCAUUGACGACUUGGAUAAAGUCCACUGGUUCUUGAGAGCCUUAGGUCCCGAUUAUAAAAUUUUCUCAACUACAAUGCUUUCCCAGCUUCCAUUACCUUUUUUUUGCAGAUAUCAUUCCAAAAGCUUUGAGUCAUGAGAUCUUUGAGCGAUCAGUGUACCAACAAUCUAUCAACUUAGCGUUCUACGCUCAACGAAAUAAUUCUACCAGAUUGAAAAACACCAAGAGUGGGAAGCCCAAACAUUCCAUUGCCUCUGCCUCAAAAUCGUCCCCCUCUUCUCUUGUUUCUUGUCAAAUCUGCGACAAAGAGGGCCACAUGGCUAAACGAUGUUGGACAUUCCUUAAUCUCAAGAAAAAGCAAUUUGCCAACCUUGCUGAGGCUUUCACAGCUUGCUCAAUUCCGGACUCCAACGACUCCGCAUGGUAUCCAGAUUCUGGUGCAACCUCUCACUUGACAAAUGAUCCCGAGGGUGUAGAUGUUCCUACUGUCUACUCUGGUAAUGAACAGGUGAUGGUUGGUAAUGGUCAGUCCUUUUCCAUUUCUCACACUAGUUCCCUUUCCACUCUUGUUCCCCAAAGCUCUUUAUUUUUAUCCAAUGUUUUAGUUGUUCCUGGCAUUAAGAAAAAACUUAUUUUCAUUAGUCAACUUACAAAGGAUAAUAAUUGUUGUGUCAUUUUUUCUCCCUCUGGUUUUACCAUACAGGAUUGGGUCACAAGAGCAGUGUUGGGGGUCAGCAGAUGUGAGAAUGGCUUGUAUGUGCUCGAUCAAAAUCAUCAUGCUCUUGCUUCCAUCGUUUCUUCAAAUAAGUUGUGUGCCUCUGUUCCCUUGUGGCAUGCUCGACUAGGCCACCCUAGUUUUCGUACCAUUAACUCUCUUUCUAAGUCUGGUUUUAUUUCUUGUAGUAAUAAAUUGAUGGGUUUAGAUUCAAGUUUAUGUGUUGGAUGUAACCUUGGCAAGAGCCAUCGUUUACCCUUUUCAUUUAAUAAUAAUUGUUGUCCUUUGCCUUUUGAUCACUUACACUAUGAUUUAUGGGGUCUUUCACCUGUUUGUUCUCUUACUGGUUUUCGUUAUUAUGUAGUGUUCAUUGAUGAUUGUACCAGAUUCAGUCUUAGAUUAUUUGUUAUUAUAUAUAUUUUAUCUUUUCCUAGUUUGUAGGAUCUCUCAACUGUAUAUACACUCUAUAUAAUGAGAAACAAUUACCUCAAUAAUUAUUGAGGAUUUCAGCCAUAUUUACACGAAUUCUCAAACCUUUAUAAGUAUCAUGAAUUUUCUUUGAUUGGCAAGAUAUACACUUACGCACACAUACUGCCUAAAUAUAUAAGGUUUUGUAUGGCUUCUAUUCCUAUAUGGUCAUUAAUAUAACCAGCCAAAGAUUUGACCUAGGGUUGAUAUUGAUGUCUUAAAAUGAUACAAGUUAUAGUAUUGUAGUUGUCCAAUCAUUUUGAUGUGAUUGGAAUGUUUGUCUCAAGAGGACCUGAAGCACAUAUGACCUAAGUAUUGCACAACUAAAAUUUUGCAUUAUACCUUGAACAUGAGUUAGACCCAUGAAACUAUGCACUCUUAAAAUAUUUAUUAUUUAUUGUUUGCUGAUUAUAUAUGUUGGAAUUUACAUAGUUGAAUCGAAAUUAAGAUUUUUUUUUAUAAAAAAAAAGACAUGUUGUUUCUAAAUAGACAAAACUUGUUUUAAAGGAUGUGUCUUGUAUUCUAAAAGUCACCAUCAAAUCUAUAAAUAGGGACCCCUCAUGGCAUUUCUUAUUUAUUCAUUCAUUCAUCCAUCCAUUCUCUCCACUCUUUUUUUUUUUUUUUUUUUGUCAUUUAAGUUCUCCUUAACUUCAAGUCUAAUCAUUUUUCUUUUCUACCAAAUCAAGUAAUUCAUUGUUUCUUGUAAUAUGAAGUGUUACUAUCACAAGAAAGUGAUCGUUGUAUCAUAUGAGACGAUUGUUCAUAAACCGUAAGCAUCUGAGCGGACAAAUUCAUCUUAAAGACAUAUAGUCAAACUCUAGCCUCGAUCAACUUUAUUUAUGAGUUCCAAUUUUCUACUUCAUUUUAUUUGUAUAUUUGUUAUAUGUACUUAUUAUCCAUAUAUUUUCAGUGAUUUGGAUAACAAUAUAUAGAGGAGCUAACUUUUAUUCACUAUUGCCCAUUCCUAUAUUGUACGAAGAUAUAAACGCAAGGCAAACAAUGAGCACUUAGAGCAGCCAUCUCUCAAGAAGAUAGUAAUGGAUGGCCUAAUGGAUCUGGUGCCAACCAACUUCUUGUCAUCUAACAUGCAACCACUAGAAACAAAAGGUCUUGUUCCUUCAAUUGAUCCUUACAUGGGCCUGUAGACAUAAAAAAAAAAUUAGUGGAUUAAUUACCACUAAUUUGGUCUUCAAAAUGAAUAAUUUUUUUUAAAAAAUAUCCUUUUAUGGAUAAGUUUUCUUAAUCUCCAAUUAUAAAAAGGAUUUAUUAUUAUUAUUAUUAUCUUGUUGGUAAAACUUGCCGAAGAGGGAAAUUUGUUAAAAUCAAGGAACAAAAUCCCUUGAAUAAGCAACUAAAAUUCGGGAAUUUGAAAUUCAAAAUCUCUAUUUUCACCUAUAAAUAGAGGUGUCUUCUAUCAAGAAAGGAGAAAAAAAAUCAGAAAAAAAUAAUCCAGAAAGUAAAAUCUUAAAAGAGAAAAUCCAAAGGCGACUUCGUAUGGGAAAAGAGGCUUCACAACAAAAAAAAAAAAAAAAGCUUCAUUAGGCUUCACAACAAAAGAAAAAGCUUCAUCAAAUCUCCUACAAGUUUGGUAAACGACAAAAAAAUUGUUACACGUGUUCUUCGCUAUUCAACAAGGUCAUUUGGGAAUAAGCUACUUAUGACCCUCGAUUGAUCUUCGAAAUCAAGAAAACACCAUCGUCAUCUUCCAAAGUGUGAUCAAGGCAAAAGAAUCAGAUGGAAAAUAUUUUUUUGGAAAUAAUAUUAUUUUUGAGAUUGUACCCACAAUAUUUUAAUUUCAAUAAAUAUUUUGUUCGCAUUAUUUUCCUAUUUUGUUUUGCUAAUUUUUGCAGGACCAAAAAAUUUACGAAAUUGGCCCAUCAUCAUCUUCAGGCAGAUUCUUCAUGGAAACAUUUCAGAUAGUAGAGAUAGCAAAGGUACGGGUGAUAAUCGGGCUAUGAAGAUGUCAGCUGUCCUCACCCAAACUUGGAGGGAUGACUUCAAAUCUGGGCAUCUUCCAGUAUCUCUAUUUGUGUUGUUGGUGAAAGUAUUUUGCCCUUCAUUCCAGCUUCUGAGAUGUCUUUACUCUUGUAACCAUUGGGAGGGAAGAUUAAAAAUUCUGUUGUUCUCACAUGGUAUAUAAUUCAUGGAAUCACUUCAAUUCAAAAAAGAAGCUUAUUUCUAAUGAAUUUUUACAGAAAUUUUUGCUUUUUUUAUGGUCCCCAUCUUACCAAUUCAAGCUCUGACAGGGCAAGGAGGUAUCAACAAAUGAUUAAUGGAAAGGAGAUCCUUAUGUUUUCAUUGAGUAAUAAGCAAGCUUUGAAAGGCCAAUUGUUCUCACAUGGUAUAUAAUUCAUGGAAUCGCUUCAAUUCAAGAAAAAAGCUUAUUUCUAAUGAAUUAUUACAGAAGUUUUUGUUUUUGUGUGGUUCCCAUCUCACCAAUUCAAGCUCUGAAAGGGCAAGGAGGUAUCAAUAAAUGACUUAUGAAAAGGAGAUCCUUACGUUUUCGUUGAGUAAUAAGCAAGCUUGGAAAGGCCAAUUGUUUUCACCCAAAAUAAAGAAAUUCUAGAUUUUCUUCAUUAGUUAUAACCAGCAAUUACAUGGAAAGGAAAGCAAAAAUAUGGCGUUCAAUUGAGAGAACAUAUAGAAAAAUAAGUCCGCUAGCGAUUCAAAUACCUCAACAAAAUCAACAAACAAUUCAAGCAUCCAUUUUCAUGGCUUCCCUUUCAACAGCUUUCUUCAGGAAGCUGUCCUCCUCCAGGACCAUCUGAACGGGCAGGAACCCCAACCCAUUGGCCAUGGCGAGCAUCAUUUGUUUGGUCUCCUUCCUGAACUCCUCCAAAUCCACCGCCCCAUUCGCAUCAUGAUCGAACUUCACAAACAGGGAGUCGUAGACAUGAGCAAGCUCAUCUGGAUCUCUUUUAACAUCAAUACCGAAGUGUGUUUCAAAGACCCUCAGACUCUGAAACUCUUUCAGCAUCUCUGCAUAGGAGAGGAAGCCAUCAUGGUUUGUGUCAAGAUUGGAAAAGCGGUCAUGGAUCAAACCAUUGAAUGCUUCUUCAUCUUCCACAAAGCUGACAAUGGUGGCACCGUCCAACACUUCCACACUCAUUCUCUCUUCUGCUCCUGCGCUCAAACUGGCUAGUAUCCAAGAAAAGCUCUAACCCAAGAACCAAGUAGUAAAAAGGCUUUUGAUUUUGAUGAAAAUGAAGGAUGCCAUGGUUGCAUAUAUAUAGCUGAAUAUUAGUAGAGAAACAACCGUUAAACUUCUUGCAAAGUGAUAUGCUGGUUCAAACACACCGAAAGUUUUCAGCCUAUUGUUUCUUUAUUGUGCCUCUGGUUUCUGAAAACUCCCACGCAAACCAAGCUAAUGGGAAGGCUCUCGUAAAUACCAUCAUCACUAUGUCGGUGAAACUGUAUCAACCUAUACAUAUAUAUUCAAUCUCAAAAAAUCUUCUAUUACAUAACAAAUAUGACUUUUCAUAUGGGUCCCCGUGUCUUCGGAAAUUAAACAAUAGGCUCAUCUGAUAUGUAGAUAGUCAGAAACCAACAUGUCAUAUUGUAACGUACAUUUUGGAAAACAAUAUAUAGGCUGAGUUGAUGUCUAGAAAGUCAGAAGCCGAAAGGACUUGACCAAGUCAAAGACGAGUAACUUUUUCGGUUAAGACGAUGCGCCAAACCUGAAUAUGAAAAUCAAUGUGCCCACAAAAUGGACAUUUUUGUGGGUCCUCUUGUUUUUCUUACCCACCAAUAUUCCACCGACUUCCUCAAAAGUAAACCACCAUAGUACAUAACGUGGACUUAGUAUACCUACCACACGAAAUGACUUCAUUAAUCAUUUGGCCGGAGGAAAACACAUUCUUGUUAUAGCAUCGUAUCUUCGUUAGAUUCGAUAGAUGCCUAUCGAUAUUCUAGAAUUUUCCUAUCAAACAAACACUCGGUUCAAUUCCCACUCAACCACUUUUCAAGAAAUUAUGCGGUCCUCCUCUAGGACAAUUUGGAGUACUGCAAUAACCCCUACCCAAGAAUAGAUUUCUGGGUCUUGCAGACGCUAUGGGAUCUAAUCUUACUUGUGCUAUAUUCUCUGGGUAUAUUGCUCCUUUGAAAAUAAUUUUUUCAGAAUUUGUUUUUGAAAACAAAAGCCAAGAGUAUUCUUUUCAAGAUAUUGCUUAAAAAUUGUGUAAAUUUUUAAGAAUAGAGAAUCUUUCUUUAUCUUCUCACUGCAUCAAAAUACAUUCUUCAAAUUGAUUUCAAGAAAAAAAAAAGUUGAAUUCACAAAUGUGUGAUUUUAUUCAUCCGAAAGAAGCGCUUUUCAAUCAGGUGUGUAAAGACGUACAAGAAUAUGAAUCUCUACUGCCACUACAACUUCUAAGGUUCCACCAUCUUCACCAAUACAAAUCAAAGCCCUCUACUACCUACGUAAGUUUGAAGAGAAAAUUAAGGAAACAAGAAUCUAAAUCAGAUUAGGCCACGAGUUUGGUGGAUUCCCAUUCAACAGCUUUCUUCAAGAAACUGCCCUCUUCUAGAAUCAUCUGCAAAGGCAAGAGACCUAACCCAUCAGCCACGGCCAGCAUCAUUCUCUUGGUCGCAGUCUUGAACUCCUCAAAAUCCAACACCCCAUUUGAGUCACGAUCGAACUGCGAGAACAGAAAGCAGUAGACUCCAGCAACUUCAUCUGGGUCUGUCUUCACAUCAAUCCCAAACUCGGUCUCAAAAACCCCAAGACACUGCAGUUCUUUCAACAUCUCCUCGUAGGAAAGCACACCGUCUUGGUCUUCGUCAAGAGCGGCAAAGCGGUCAUGUACCCAACUGUUGAGUGCUUCUUCAUCUUCAACAAAGCCAGCAAUGGUGGCGCCAUUCAGAAUUUCUACACUCAUGAUGGAAGCUCUUCUUCUAAUCGCCACUCUUCUGCGGAAGUUUUUUGGACUAGAGAACAGAAUGUAUGUCGGAGACGUCGAUUUCGAUGAUAGUACAGACGGGCUUGUACACAUAUAUAUAUAUAUUUUUGUAGAGUUUGUGCAGAUAUCUAUUUGUAACCGGUUUCUAUUUCCUAUAUUGAAUACAGUUAUAUUCUACUGAAAAUAUUUGUAUUCCUUUUCUAUUACGGUACUAGCUAGUUAGAUUUAGAAACUUUCUAAAAUAUUUGUAUUUCCUUCUCUAAGAUGGUUCUUGCUAGAUUUAGAAACUUCAUGAAUUUUGCGUUUCUUUCUAAUGUAUUUAAUUAUGUUGAAAUUAUAAUCCCACUUAAAAUCAAAUUAGAAGAAUUUUAAGAAUUUAAGAAAUAUUACAAAUUGUUAUUUAUUUAGGUUUCUUAUUAUAAUUAAAACUUUUUUUCUAGAAAUUGAUGUCCUAAUGUAAGUAUGAUUAGUUUAUUAUAAAUAGACUUGUUAUUAUGUUGAGAAGUAGAAUGCAAUAAAUUUUAUUUUAGCAAACUAUUAUUAAUACCCAAAUGUGUGGUUCCAGCAAUUGGUAUUAGAAAAAGUGAAAUGCCAAAUCAAAGCUAGAAUACUAGGAAAAAUGCAAAAUCACAAGAAAGUUGCAAUUUUGUUAGUGAAAUUAUGGUUACAAAUAAUAAUUCAAUUCAUCUUCGACUUCCAAAAUUUAAAAGCAAGAAUUUUGAUAAUUAGUGUAAUCAUAUGUGUGUCUUAUUGUGAUCUCAAGAUUGAUGGCAUCUAGUAAAUAUCAGUUACAAUGAAAUGAUCGAUUCAAAAGAAUUCGAGGCACUAUCAAAGGAGUAAAAAGAUUCAUUGAAAGAUUCUUGAAAGAAAGAUUAAAAAACACCUUAUGCAAUAUUCCAAGUAGUAGAUGAAUCCAUAUUUGAGAAAAUCUUAUAAGCGAAAACAUCAAAAGAGGCAUGAGUUAUUUUACAAAAAUUAUAUAAAGGUGAUGAAUGUGUUAAGCAAAUGAAGUUGCAAACAUUAAGAUGUAAAUUUGAGUCUCUUCGCAUGAAUGACUUUGAAUUUAUCUCAUAUUAUUUUAAUUGAGUGCAAACCAUUGUUAACUAAAUGCAAGUUCAUGGUGAGAAACUUGAUAAUCAACGAAUAGUAGAGAAAAUUAUGCGAUCUUUAAGUGCAAGAUUCGCCUAUACUGUUGUAGUAAUUAAGGAAAGAAAGAAUAUAUUCAUUUCACGGUUGAAAGAUUGAUGAGUUCAUUGUGUUCGCAUGAACCAAAAAAUUAACUCUACAAAUUUGAUGAUAAAAGUGAGAAGUGGGCUUUCAUUGGUUAUAGUGAUGUAACUAGGUUACAAAUUGUAUAAUCUAGAAAUAGGAAAAUUGACUGUGAGUAGAGAUAUUCAAUAUAUUCCUAGAGAAUGAGAGUUAGGCAUGGACUCAAACACAAAGUGAUGAAAAAUGAGUUGUCAUUGAAGAAGACUUUGCGGAAAACAAUAAGAAUUAGAAGGAUUCUACAACAAAUAUUUCUACUUCAAACACACUUGCUCCUAUUAGAAGUUCUCCUAUGCGAACGAAAACAAGGUAGGAGUCUGAACCACAAGGUCAUCCAAAACGUUCUCAUAUUGCAUAUUUAAAGGAUUAUGAAGUCAUGAAAGAUAUUGAAAUUAUUGAUGAAGGUUUAGUUAACUUUUUUCUAUUUGCAUAUUGUGAUCUAAUUUUAUGUAAAGAAGCAACAAGUGAUAAGCAGUGGAUUCAAGCAAUGAAUGAAGAGAUUCAAUCAAUAGAGAAAAACAAUACAUGGAAAAUAACUAAUCUACUAAUUGGAAAAAAGCCUAUAGGUGUUAAAUGGGUUUAUAAGACAAAAUAUAAACUUGAUGGUAAAGUUUAUCGAUUUAAGGUAAGAUUGAUUGCAAAAGGUUGUAAAUAGAAGAUAGGAAUUGAUUAUUUUGAAGUUUUUUCACAAAUUGCUAGACUACAUAUCAUUCGCAUGAUAAUUGCAUUUGCAGCUCAGAAAAUGUGAAAAAUUGACCAAAUGGAUAUGAAGUUCGCUUUUCUUAAUGGUGUACUUGAAGAAGAGGUUUUUGUUGAACAACCACCAAGAUAUAUUAAGGAAGGGUAAAAGAAACAAGUUUACAAACUUAAAAAGGCAUUGUAUGGGUUAAUGCAGACACCAUGUGCUUAGUAUACACGGAUUGGUACCUAUUUAUUGUUGGAUGGAUUUCAAAAGAGUCCUUUUAAGCAUACACUUUAUAUCAAAUCAAAUUCUAAUGGUGAUAUAAUUGUUGUAUGCCUCUUUGUGAAUGAUUUAAUUUUUAUAGGAAAUUGUCAAUAGAUGUUUGAAGAUUUUAAGGAGACAACGAAACAAUAAUUUAAGAUGACAAAUUUGGAAUUAAUAUCCUAUUUUCUUGGAAUUAAAUUUCAACAAACAAAUGAUGAUAUCUUUAUCUCAUAAAAUAACUAUGCUAUAGAUAUUCUAAAGUGAUUCAAGAUGGAAUCAUCAUCCAGAAAUCUGUACUCUUAUUGCAGAGUGACUAGAGAUGAAAAAGGAAAGCAUUAGGCAUAGUAGGAAGUACUCUUCCUUAUUUAACAUCUACUAGACCAAAUAUUGUUUUUGAAGUGGAAAUUAUCAUUUGAUUUAUGGAAAAAAAAUUCAUAUUAGUUACGCCUGCAAGCGACAGUGAAUUUUGAGGUAUGUAAGCGAUACUUGUGAUCAUGAAAUUUUCUAUUCAUAUUCAAGCAACUUCAGUUUAGUGGGUUACAUAGAUAGUGACUGGGAAGGCGAUGUAGAGAUUAGAAAGAGUAUUGGUGGAUAUAUUUUUUAUUUAUUUAUUUUUAUCUUGGAACAAGAGCAUUCUUAUGGCCAUAAAAAAACAAGUUGUAGCAUUAUCAAUUAUAGAAACUAAAUACAUGACAAUUACUUUCGCAACAUGUUGAGUAGUUUGGCUUUACAGGAUGCUUAGGCUAUAUUUGGUUCUCGAAAAGUACUAAGAAAAGAUAAAAACAUUGAAGAAAAUGGUGUUAUUAUGUUUAGUUUCACUAUAAAAAAAAUAUAAAAUAAAAUUAAAUAAAAUUAAAAUUCAUCAAAAGUUUAGAUAUCUUAAAAUUAUUUAAUCUUUAUAUAAUAGAGGAGACUAAGUGAAAUGAGUUUGAAAAAACAUAUAAAACUAAUUUAUUGAGUUUAAAUCUAUUUUUAUUUUCCUUCAUUUUUUUUCUUUCCUUCUAUUUUUCCUCUCUAUUUCAUUUCCUUUGUAUUUUCCCUCAAAUUUUUUAGGAACCAAACAUAACCUCAUUGAAUUGAAGUAUGAACAAAAUGGUCGUAUAGAGAUUUUGUGUAAUAAUAAAUUUGCUAGUAUUGACAAAAAAUUCAAUGUUUCAUGACAAAAGCAAACACAUAAGUAUCAAAUUUUAUUAUAUUAGGAAAGUCGUGAAAAAUCAAGAUAUCAACUUUAGUUUUGUAGAUCAAAAGAUCAAGUUGUAGAUAUUUUUACAAAACCACUGAAAAUGAAUGUGUUUGAGAAGUUGGAGAUGAUGCUUGGUGUGAUUAGUUUUACAAUUCGAAUUAAAGAAGACCGUUGAAAUUAUAAUCCGACUUAAAGUCAGAUUAGAAGAGUUUAAAGAAUUUGAGAAGUACUAGGGAUUGUUAUUUAUUAGAUUUUUUAUGUUAAUUAGGAUUUUUGGUCUAAUAGAAAUGAGAAUCCUAAUGCAAGUAUGAUUAGUUUAUUAUAAAUAGGCUCGUUAUUAUAUUAAAAAGUAAAAUGCAAUAAUUUUUAAUUUAGUAAAAUAUUAUAGAUACUAUGUGUUGUUCCAACAAAUUAUACGUGGUCAUGAUAAUAAAUAAAAUUUUAAAACAAGUAAUAAUAUUAUAAAUUUGGUGUUAUAUACUACUCAAGUAUUAAAAAGUGAGCUACCUAGCUAUUUUCUCUCUUGGAAUACAUUGAUAUGAAUAUAGUUCAUUACGAUUUUAAAAGUUAUUUUAAAAGUGAGCUACCUACCUAGUUAUUUUAAAAGUUCUUCACAUCGAGGUAAUAAAAUUAAAUGUUAUGUUUGGUUAUAAGAAAAUACUAUAAAACAAAAAGACAAUUAAAAAAAAUCAUUUUUUUUAAUUUGAUUGUACUAUAAAAAAUAUAUUAAAAAAACAGAUAUAAUUAAAAUUUUAAAUUAUUUAAUCUUCACAUAAAUGAAAUUUAAAUAAAUAAAAUAAAUUUAAAAUAUAUAAAAAUAAGUUAUUAAAUUUAAAUUUAUUUCUUAUUUUACCUUCUUUUUUGUUCCUAUUUUCUUUUCUUGUAUCUUCACUCACAUUUCCUAGGAACCAAAGUAGGUAAAGCUUAAUUGUGAGUGGAAGGAAGUCACCAAUCAAUCGAAUCUCAUAGCUGAAAUUCCUCCAUGAUAACAGUAGUUUAUUUAUCACUUCUCCACGAUAACAUGAAUUCAAUUCCCAUCAUUAAAGUUGCUCCAAGAUGGCAGGAGAAACAUCGUCGGCAAGUUCCCAAAGCAAACACAGUCUCGCCAUCCCAAAUCACCUCUCCCAUCAAGGCUGCUGCGCAACUGCAGCUGAAGCUUCUGGCAAGCAAUUAUCCGUUGUGGAGGGCUCAAUUCGUUACUUUUCUCCGUGGAUAUGAUGGAUCACGUAGAGAUUCAUCAGCCAUGAUCAACAAAGAAUCUGAAAUCUUGUCCAAUCUUGAACAUAAGAUUUGGAAACAGUACGACCGUCUGUUUCUUUACACCGUAACUUGCCUCUGUUUCGAAGUUCGGCUAAUGAAGCUCGGUCUCGUCUUGGUUGACUUCAUGCCAACAAGUCAAGUUGAUAUUUUUGAGAACUGUAAGAAAAAUUGAUUAUUAAAAAUCUCAAAAAUAUUUUGCCAACGUUUUUGAAGCAAAAUCUUUAAGAAUAAUUUUUAUGAAAGGAAAAUAGCUCUCAAUGAUUUCAAAAAUACUUUUCAUAGAAGUAUUUUCCUUAUUCUUUACAUUUCCUAAUUUUAAAAUUAUACUCUUAAGUGGUAUUUGUUUUUUAAGCUUAAUGUUGAAUGCAAGAAUUUGGAUAAUUUGUUUUUAACUUUUUUUAUUUAUUACUUAUUUUUUAAAAUCUUCUUAUUAAAUAGAAAAAGGAAAAAAAAAAUUUGACUUUUUGUUGUUAAAAAUAAUUUUUCAAAAUAAGUGAAACAGAAUCUUAACAUGAUCCUUACUCUAUUAGUACUUAAUACUUAAUAAAAAUAAAAUAAUAAAAAAUAAUUUCAUAUUUAAUUCUAUCAAAUAGAAUUUAAAGUUAAGUUUAAGUUGUAUUUAGAUUUAAGUUAAAAAAAAAACAAACAAACAAACAAACAUCACCUCAAUUGGAAUCCAAUCUUAUCAUGAUAAUUUAUUUUCUAUUAAGGAUGACUAAAAAUUUCCUUUUUAAUUUCUCUCACGUGCAAGAGCCUUCCAUCCUAUGGUUCUCUCUCCAAAUCUAAGCAAAAGAGAAGUGUGGUCUUCUCUCUCUUGAGGCCUAUGGAGGUUAGGGUUUCUUCUUACUAUGAGUGAAAGAAUAAGAUUGAACUAACCUUAAACCCUUAGGUUUCAAUGAAUAAAAUAGUACAAGUAGAAAUUAUAAGUCACUUAAUUAUAAACAUUUAUACAAUCUUGUACUUUUACAAAAACACUUGUGUCUUAUAUUUAUAUACCCUAAUGCACACUUAUGAUUAAAAAAUAGAUUUUCCAGAAAGCAUGUGCUACCAAAGAAUGUAAGUUCGAGCAUGGAUCACAGGAUCCAUGGAAAAAUACUAGCUCUCUUGUAAUCAAAUUUUGAAAUUGACUCAAUACUCUAAUGAAGUAAGUCAACUUCACUCUAAUAUCCUAUUACAUUAAAAUCCAGCAUCAAGAGCCCUAACCCAUCAGCCAUAUACAUAUGUCAAUGUUGUUAAGAGCCCCCAUUAAUAUUAUAAAUUCUAGCUUCAAGAUCCAAUAUUAAGAAAAGUUUAAAACUAGUUUGACAUAUACAUAUGUUAAGGUUGUCUUUAAUUUUACCAAUGAUGGAAUCUUGUUUGUAUGAUAUCAAGGUUUCUUCCCUUUUUCUCAAAAUUGAAUUCAACAUAUGUCAAGGUUAGGUGAAAUAAAUAUCAAGGUUAAUUUAUAUUAUGUCAAGGUUGUCUUAUAUUUUUGUCUCCAUGGUUAUUCCAAUCAAUGUCAAAGUUUGGUGCUAUAUAGGUCAAGGUUUCUAGGUACAUAUGUCAAUGUUAAAUUCUAUGUAUAUCAUGGAUGUCUCACAUAAGUCAACAUUUGGUGUGACAUAUAGCAUAUUUGGUAUAUAAUGUAAUAGUUGCUAUUAUAUGUUAAUGCUAGGCCUGGGUCAUCUCUCAAGGUUGCCUACGGAAAUUUGAAUAUUAUUUUAUUUUAUUGUUAGUUUGUAAUGAAAAAUGAACCUAUUACUAUAUAAACCUUGUUGCCAAAAUAAAUUUAAUACAUGUUUAAGUAUAAUAAUAACAAUCAAGAUAAAUAGCCAUAAAUUUUGGUAACCAUAAAUUUAAUAUGGUUAGAUCACCUGAUGGUUACCUUGUCGUAAAGAUAAAUAGCCAGAGCGAAGACUUAUGAGGUAAGAAGUUUUGGUAACACUGAUAGAUUCAUUAUCAGUCCAAUGCACACGCUCCUUGUGGCGCAAUGCCAAGUGGUCCAACUUUACGCCUUUGCAAGACAUUAUCAAAGCUUGAGCUUGCAAAUCAUCAAAACACUUAGCAGAAAACUCGAUGGUGUAAUAAGUCAUCUGUGGGGAUGGUUCUAAGAAGGAGAAAUGAAAUGGGUAUCAAAAUAUUCAGCUAACCAUCCGUAUAAAUAAUGAAUAAGGAAAAUAAAUGCAUUAGUCCCAAGCUUCGAAGAACAAGCAAUUUCAUUGAAACUGUUGUAAAUGCUUGCUAACACCGGAACAACAAAGCUAAAUGUCUCUCCUUGAACCAUUCUACUAGCUACCUUGAAGACUCUAGGACGAAUCAAGUUGACACCUUCUCAAGGAAGAAUGAACUUGCAUAACCAAUAUGCCAAGAAAGUGGCCAAGUAAGUCUCUUUAACAUCUGCUUCGGCUACGCUAAGGUUGUCAAAAACUUCCAUCUUUAACUGAGUACAAGAUUUAACAUGAUCAAUUUCCCCGGAUGGGUUAUGAGUCUUGUUAGGCCUCUGUGCCUUAUUCAUUGUACUUUUCUUUGGAGGUUUUGCAUACUUCAUGGAGCCUUUGUACCAAAAUGACACCCAAGAGGCUAACUUGAUUGAAGACUUCCCUUUCGUCUUCGAGCAAAUUCGAUGAUAUGCAAGGAAUAAAUUUCAACAACUUGGUGGGAGUAAGGACUUUGUUGCAUCAUUAGAUAACUCUUCCGCACUCUGUACCAUCUCAUCAUAACAAAAUCCAAUGAUGGGUAGUCCAGUUAUACGAUACAAGUUCCAAAGGGAGAUGGAAACCUCUCCAAUGGAAGUAUGUAAGGUGUUAGUGGUAGGACACCAAUGUUCGCAAAAGGCCCUAAUCAUAGAGGCAUGACGAUCAUAGUUGAUAAGGAUGCAAAAAUAGCUUCAUAAAGCUUACAUCCUUUAAGAAAUGGUCCAUGUCGACCCAAUACCUCCUCAACCCAUUCCCAAUAUCCUUCGGUAAAGAAAGAUUCCCCAAGUACUUUGAAUGAGCUUCCUUAUUUGGCUUCUCCGUCAUGAACACGAGAACCCAACAAUCCAAAUUCAUCAUGAACUGCAGUAGUAGUUAGGUGAGAGAAAUUCAACAACAAAACAUUAAAAACAAGUUUCACCUUAUUAAGUUUUGAAUUGCUAAUAUUUGUAAGCUUGCAAGAUAUAACUCGGGACCAAGAAGAAAUGUGUAAUGGGUCCUUUGUCACUAGUACUGACAAAGAUUGAAGGUUAGUAAGUGACUUAUGCACUAACAAGGUAGUUCCUUUCUCAAAAUCUUCACUAUCAUUCUCAAGAAUGGUUACUGUCUUCUCCUUGAAACAUUUGAAGAACGUCAUUCUACACACACACACACACACAAAAAGGUUGAAAGAGUGAUGAAUAAAAUAUGAGUCUAAGUUUUUAGAUGUCAUUAUGCAUUUAAAUCAGACCAAUUCGCAUGGGUAAAGACCUUAGCACUCAAGUCAUAUUAAAUGUUGAAAGUACAAUACCGUGUAGCAUCAGGGCCAUAACUUGUUUGUAUAGAUACCAAUUAUUAUUCUGCUUUUAAUUAAAUGUUAAAACUUGAAUAUCACUAUGCAUUCAAGUCAAACCAAUUUGCAUGAGUGAAGACUUUAGCACAUAAGUGUCGAAAAUACAACACCAUGUAGUAUCAGGGCUAUCACUUGUUUGCAUAGAUACCAAUUAUUAUUAUGAUUUUAAUUAAAUGUUAAAACUUGAAUAUCACUAUGCAUUCAAGUCAAGCUAAUUUGCAUUAGUAAAGACUUUAGCACAUAAGUGUCGAAAAUACAACACCGCAUAGCAUCAGGGCUAUAACUUGUUUGUAUAGAUAUCAAGUAUUAUUUUGGUUUUAAUUAAAUGUUAAAACUUGAACACCACUAUGCAUUCAAGUCAAGCCAAUUUACAUAGGUGAAGACUUUAGUACAUAAGUGCUAAAAAUACAUCGCUUCGCAUCAAGGCUACGAUUUAAUUACAUGAUGAUCAAAUUUUAAAUAUUCAUAUUUUUUUAUAGAUAUUUAAUUUUAUUAAAAAAAAAUUCUUUCAAAUAUUAAGGUAAUUUAAAAAUUAAUUAAUUAAUUAAAUUACUUGAAAUCAAAUUCGCCUUUGCGAAUAAUGGAAGCUGACACGCAUUCGGAAUAAGUCUUUACUAAGUCAUUUUCUUCCUUUAAAAAAAAUGUUUGAAAAAAAAAAAUACACGUAUCAAUAUAUAUAUAUAUAUAUAUAUAUGGAAAAUAUUAUGGAGGGUUUGACUUUUUCAUGUAAUAUAUGCUAUUAAAAAAACAAAAUAUCUCCAUUCACUUUUCAGGAGAUCACGUGAAUGGCUUUACCCCAUUAUAUAUAUAUAUAUAUAUAUAUAUAUAUAUGCCAAUGAUGCAACCACCAUGACUCACGUCUCCACCUACAUUAUGGCUCCGUCCCUAUUGACUUGGGCAUGAAUGGCUUUACCCCAUUAUAUAUAUAUAUAUGCCAAUGAUGCAACCACCAUGACUCACGUCUCCACCUACAUUAUGGCUCCGUCCCUAUUGACUUGGGCAUGAAUGGCUUUACCCCAUUAUAUAUAUAUAUAUAUAUAUAUAUAUAUAUGCCAAUGAUGCAGCCACCAUGACUCACGUCUCCACCUACAUUAUGGCUCCGUCCCUAUUGACUUGGGCAUGAAUGGCUUUACCCCAUUAUAUAUAUAUAUAUAUGCCAAUGAUGCAGCCACCAUGACUCACGUCUCCACCUACAUUAUGGCUCCGUCCCUAUUGACUUGGGCAUGCACCCACCAAGCUCCAAUAUAUAUAUAUAGGAGGCUCGGUCCUCAUUUGUAAGCACGUUCAAUUUAGGCUCCUAUGUUCUCCCUUCUCUCUUCUUUCUCUCUCAUCAUGUAAUCCCUUCAAGCCUUCAAGCUUUCAAGCUUUCUUCAAGCUUUCCUACCUUUGUCCAUUGUAAGAUAUUUCUCCUUAUGUAUAAUAUAAGUAUGUUUUGAUUACCUCCUAUAUGGAUGCCGUUGUUAGCCGUGGAUAGGCGUUUGUUAGGCUGUAAGAGGGUUGGGGUGACGUCUCAUAAGGUCUGUCAAUCUGCUAUUAGGCUCUAGAUCAAAAACCCUAAAAUGAGUUCAAUUUUCCGAACCAUGUCUAGGAGAUCCAGUGAUUCUCAAGAUACUGUUGUAAACAGUGAAGAGAUCAAUUAUCUUAAGAUCCAAAAUGAUUUAGAUGAUUGGAAGUUACCCAAGGUGUCUAAUCAAGAAAUUUAUAAGAAAUGAACCUUUAAGUUCUUCACAGAUUAUACCAUUAAGACCUCUGAAAUGUCAGUCAGCUUAGAACAAGAUAACCAAAUCAUAAGACUUCUAGAUAACAGAUCCAUUGAUAAGCAUAAGAAAGAUGGUUAUAAUUUCAUACACUUUGUUAUGAUUCAAGUAGCAGCUAAGCCUUUGACAAGAUUAGGUUUAAACACCUCUAUUGUCAUGUGUUUAAGGGAUAAUAGGCAUCUCGAAUAUCGAGAUUCUAUUAUAGGCACAGUCCAAGCUGGAAUGAAUGAUGGCCCAGUUUAUUUCCAGUGUUAUCCUAACUUCACAGUUAGAAUAAGAGAUGCAGACAUCUUAGAUUCCGUUGUUCUGCAUAUUAAGACUCAUGGCUUUAAGAUCAAACCAGGAAACAGUCCUGUUUCAAUCAUAACCAGGUUUGCCUAUAAGAGCAUGAACACAAGCGUUGGAUCUGGGGCUCUUUGCACCAGUCCUAAAGGUGAGACCACUUACUUUCACUCAGAUAUGCUAGAUAAGUCAGAUUUCAUCAUCCCCAAGAAGAUCUUGUGGAAAGAUGUUGAUUUCCCUGAAAAUUGGCAUUUUGCUAAUGCUGUUCCAGCCAUAGCACAGCGUUCUGAAAGUAUUGAACAAAUAGUUCAAUAUCCAGAUGGAGGAGGAGAACUCGUUUUUUCCAAAUCUUUCAGACAUUCUAACAGCCCUAGAGUUUCUAUUUAUGAACCCUCUAGAGCUUCAAGCUCUUCCAUCCCAGUUAGAACCACUAGGGAAGAAGAAGGAUCCAGCUCAGGAAAUCCUAAGAACGUUAAGCUAACAGGUGUCAGAAGUUACACCAAUGUGGCUAGACCAUUUUACUCUGAGGAAAAUGAGUCUACUCAGGAAUCCCAACAGGAUGAGUCCCCUGUUAUGUCUCCUACCUAUUCCCAGAUGAUUAACACUACAAGCCUAAGUGAUAAGGACUUUGAGAUCAACAAGGAUCUCUUAAGAAAGGACUUCUAUUCUGAAGUCAAUAAGCAAAGAAAUGAUUGGUUCUUUAGCACUGUCCCUAAGGUCAUUAGAACCAUUUACCAAGAAGAGUUCUAUGCCUACUUAAGACAAGAAAAGAAAAAUAUUAAGUUUUGGAUUUGGUUUGAACUCUUCAAACAAGAAGAAUAUCCAGAUUAUCCUUGUAAGCAUAUCAACAACACCUCUACAAAAGCUAAGAUAUGGAAAACCAAUGACAACAUUGUUAUAGAAUCCAUUCAUCCUCCUGAAGCUAAGAUAGAAAAGAAUAUUAAUGGAACCAUAGUCACAGCUUCACCUUUUAAGACUAAGCUAGAGGAUAAAGGAACUGCUAGUGCAUCCGAUAUUAGAAGGAUUAUGGAACAAAUCAAUUAUACUAAUAUGUUUCUCAUAACCCUUGGAAAUCAAGUCAACAGAGUUGAGGAGAUUAUUGAAACUCAGGAUCACCUUAAGAAGCCUUUUGUUAAGAAUGAUAAUAAGCCUUUGUUUAAGCCUUUUGAAUUAUCUAAGAAAUUCCAGGAAAAUCCUCAAAUCACUACAAGGAAAAAGAUAUAUGGUGACAUUUAUAAUAAGUCACUAUAAAUAUAGGGUGUCACUACAACAUAGCGUCACCUUAUCCACUGACACCAUAGAGGGUAUCAAUUGGUGACGUAUUUGGGAGCGACACCAAAGUAGAUAAAUGGUGACACAUUNNNNNNNNNNNNNNNNNNNNNNNNNNNNNNNNNNNNNNNNNNNNNNNNNNNNNNNNNNNNNNNNNNNNNNNNNNNNNNNNNNNNNNNNNNNNNNNNNNNNAACAUUCAUGUAUACUUGCAUUUCAUAUGCAUAAAACCGGCUAACCAUAAAAUGACACAAGAGUUGCAUCCAAAAACCCAAAAUUCUCAAUUCCAAAUAAAGUAACAUUUAUGUCCUAUAAUGUAUGACAUAAGAGUCAUAUCUAAAAACCUAAAUCUUGUUGCCUCUUUCUCCUUUCUUUUUAUUCUUCAUAUUGUCCUCCCAAGAGUGUAUACCUGCAUUUCAUAGUUUAAUGAGUUUUAGAGUUCUUAUUGAAAAUAAAAAUGUGAUGUUAUAAACAAUAAACAAAUCUAAGUACUAAUAUUUUCUUUUUCUUUUUCCUUUUUCUCAUUUUGGUAUAAAAAUAGUUCGUAAAGAAUAAGUAAUGUUAUACAAUAUCAAUGGAAAAUUCAAUCAUAUAACAACUAAGGGACUUACCAUGAAUGAUCACGAUACAUCAAUAUGAUUCAUGAUUAGUUAUAACACAAAAGUAAUUUAUUUUUCUCUAAUUUCAUCAAAUUCUACUUGAAAAUAUGUUUUAUUUGUCAUCAAACUAAAAUCAAAUGAGAAUAACAUUAAUAUCACAAUAAUUGAAAGUAUGAAAUUAUGUACAAUUCAUUAAACGAGUAAAACCUUUGAUGCAAUAACUGUAAAAUCAACAAUUAUUUCUUUAAUGAAUCUCAUAACAAAGUAGUCAUAUUUGAACUCAGUAUUAUUUUUUUACUAUUAAAUUAUUUUUAAACAAAAUAACAAUUAUUAAUAUAUUGGUUCAUUUUUAAAUACUUUCAUAAGAAUAUAUUUUAACUACAAGUUAUUUUAAUUUAUCAAAAGAUUUUUAGGAAAUGAGCUAUUAUCCAUUUAUUAUUUUCUUAUUUUUCAAAAAAUAUUUUCAGUCAUUUCAUACACGUUUUCAACUACUAAAAUUAUUGUUUUUAUAGAAUAAACAAAGAAGCCUACACUUCUCCUCCACUCACUAAGUCAACUAUUACAAUCACCAUAAUAUUUUAUUCACCUACCAAUAUCUCAUUCCAUUUAGAUAUUGAAUAUUUUAUUCCAUUUAGGUGACUCUCAACACAAAGAAAAGUAGGAAUGUCUUCUUAGGUUAACUAAACAAAGACUUUUUUUUUUACUUUACAAUAUGUAUAAAAAAAACAAUUAUUUAUUACAAGGAAUGUGGUAGAAAGGUCAUUUCAUUUUUAAAGACUUUUUUAGAAUUUCUUAAACAUUUACAAAAAAUAGAAUCUAACAAUUUUAUUUCUAAAAAAAUUGAUCAAUUCAAAAAAGAAAGAAGAAUGUUAUUUUUUAAGAAAAGUUAAUAAACCACUUUAUUCUUGAAUUAUCUAAACAAAACUUACUAAAAAAUAUUUUAUCCCAAAUUUAUUUUCAAAACUUUCUUAUUGAAAACUAUCUCAUAUAUAAAUUAUUUUAUUAUAUAGAGAAAUUCUUAUUUUAUUCUUUUUUUUAGAGAAAAAUUCACUUGUUUAUUAAAUAUCAAAGAAGUCUAUUUUUAUGUCUAUUAUAUAUAUAUAUAAAUUCUCUUAUUUUCAUACAAGAAAUUUCCAUUUAUGCCUAAAAUACUUUUAGAAAAAUCAUUGCCAACAAAAUUUUAUUUUUAAAAUUAUUUUCAACAUUCUUAUUUAAAAAAAUUAUCAUUGGAUUAUUUUCAAAAAGGAUAGUCCUAAAAAAAUUAACCAUUUAUAACCCAAUUUAAACUCAAAAAUUAUCCCCAAUAUUAUUUUAUAUUCCUAAAUUAUUUUCAAACAAAAUAACAAUUAUUUAUAUUUUGAUUCAUUUUUAAAUACUUUCACAAAAAUAUAUUUUAACCACAUAUUAUUUUAAUUUAUCAAAAUAUUUUUAGGAAAUGAGUUAUUUUCCAUUUAUUACUAUCCUAUUUUUCAAAACAUAUUUUCAGGCAUUUCAUUCACAUUUUAAAAUUUCAAAUACUAAAAUUAUUGUUUUUAUAAAACAACAAAGCAUGUAAAUUUCAACUACUAAAAUUAUUGUUUUUAUAGAAUAAACAAAGCAACAUACACUUAUCUUCCAUUUACUAAUUCAACUAUUACAAUCACCCCAAUAUUUUGUUCACCUACCAAUAAUUCAUCCCAUGUAGGUGACUCUAAAAAAAAGUCAUAUUUAUAAUACCUUUUACGACUCUGAUACCCAAUAUUCUAUUCUAUUUAGGUGACUCAAUACAAAGAAAGUGGGAAUGUUUUCUUAGGUUAACUGAAGAAAACCCUAAAUAACUUAAGUGCUUUUGGAUUAAUUGAGUAUCAUCUUGUAGCAGAUGUCAAUCUCUAUUGUUAGACUUCACCAAAAAGCUCCUAGCACAGUGGAAAAAAGUAUCAAAUAUAGUCAAGUCUUCAAUAAAAUACUAUUUCAUGCGAAAAAUUACUACAAACUAGUGUAUCUCUCAUUCUCAAUUAGACAAAAUUUUUAAAAAUAAUUCAUUUUUCUUGUUUUCAUUUGUUUUGGGGCUUAUUAGCAAUGAAACAAAAAAUAUGUUAGAAUGUUAAACCUAGUUUUUACUUCCUUGGAACUCGAUAAAAAACACCAUUUACAAAACCCACAUCAUAGAUAUACUAAAUCAAGAGAUAUAAAACAAUUAUACUAACAAAGUUUUUUGCAUUAAUAAAAAAAAAUGAAGAUGAUAGAUAAGAGAUUUUGACUUACCCGAGAUUUUACGAAGCAAAGAAUAUCAAUUAUGGGUGUGCCGACCAUGGGUGUGAGAAGAAGGAGAAGAAAACGAUGGUUAGGGUUAAGCAAUAAGAUCUUUUAUAUUAGUUAAUGUAUAUAUGGAAACAAUGGACUUUUCAUAAAUUGUUCCUACUCACUAUUUUUAAAAAGGGCCCAUUGAGUUAUAAAAUUUAAAACUUUUUAUUUCAUAUGGUGUCACUUCCAAAAAAUAACACCAUAAAUCUGAAAUUAGCAUCAUCUAACUAUCCUAAUUGAAGAUUUUUUAUAUGAUGUGUCACCUUUAUAAAUUUUAAGUUCAAUGGUGUCAUUAUUUUAAAUGCGACACCAUAAAUAGUGACAUCAUAUAUUAUUUUUGUAGUAGUGAAUUGAUCAAGCUUUCAUUGAUAGAAUAAGCCAAAAGGUUAAAGAUAAUCUUGUUAUCCCUGAAACACCUCAAACUUUUAUCCAUGAAACACCUCUACCUUCCUAUAGGAGAAUCCUUUUGGUUAAAAGGGAUAUUAGUCCAAAAGCAAAGGAUAAUGGACUAAUUAGGUUAACCAGAGAACCUUCUAUCCAAAACCCUUUUAAGGAUCAUAGUGAUAAACAAGAGAUUAUCCUUAAUACCCUGACUAUUAAAGAUCUUCAAGAAGAAAUAGGGCAGUAUAGAAAGGAUAUUAAGAACCUAAGACAACCUACAAACUCAGAAUUCCCUAUCCCUCAUGAUUAUAUCAACAGGGUAGGUUUUUACCACAGUAGUCCUAAAAAGGAAGACUUUGAAGAAGUUCUUGAAUCUUCACAAGACAAUAAUGAUAAGAUAAAUACAUACUUAAAUACUAUUAGUAAAGUUAUCUUCCAAAGAUGGGAAGUCUCCCUUACUAUAGUAAUUAAGAAUAAAUUUAUCUUUGAUAUUAUUACUUUAAUUAAUUCAGGUGCAGCUUUGAAUUGUCUACAAGAAGGUCUUGUACCUACCCAAUUUUAUGAGAAAACCAGGCAAGCCCUUUUUGGUGCUAAUGGUAAAAAGCUUAUUAUCAAGUACAAGCUAUCGAAUGCCCAUAUUUGUAACCAAGGCAUUUGCAUUAAGCAAACCUUCAUUCUUGUUAAAGAUCUCAAGGAGAAAGCUCUCCUUGGAGUCCCUUUCUUAAGCUCCAUCUUCCCUAUGUGGGUAGAUGAUCAAGGUAUAAGAACUAAGCUUUUAGAUAAGGAAAUUCUGUUUGAAUUUGCCAAUCCACCUGGAGAAAGAAGUAUAAACACCAUAAAAGAUCAGGUGAUUAAGGCUAAGCAAAAUCAUAUUAAUCUCUUAAAACAAGAGAUUGCUCUGGUUAGAAUAGAAGAUCAACUGAAGGUUAAGAAAACCCAAGAUAUAUAUCUAUAUAUAUAUAUAUGUAUGUAUGUAUAUAUAUAUUUACAUAAAUAAAAAACUUACAAGUUUGAAGAGGUGAAGAUUUCUCGUGAUGAACUCAAGUCGAAUUUCUCAAGUUGGAUCAAAAGAGUUCUUUGAAAAAGUUCAAAUCAAGUUUCUUAAUUAUUGUCCCCUUUAUAUAAAAAAAAAAUGUAUAUAGGAAUGACAAAUUAAAAGAUGACUGAAAAUGUAAAGUAAGAAGGAAAACAAAUUAGAAGAAGAUUCAAAGUGUUAAAUAAGUAGGAAAACUAAGUGGAGUUUGAAAAAAAAAAUGGAAAAGAAAUAUUUUUUUGGAAAAAAUAGGAAACUUCCUAUUAAAAUAUUUAUUUAAAAAAAAAAAUUACUUCAGGACUCACCCCAUCCACAUGACAAUGCAUAUAUGUGAUGCAUCUUGAAGGGGGGAGACAUUUGUAAACAUAAAAAAAUUAGUGGAUUAAAUUACCACUAAUUUGGCCUUCAAAAUGAAUAAAUUUUUUUUAAAAAAAAAAUCCUCUUAUAGAUAAAUUUCCCUAAUCCCCAAUUAUAAAAAAGAAUAAUAAUGAGAAGAAGAAAAUUAUUAUUAUAAUUAUUAUUAUUUUGUUGGUAAAACCUCUCGAGAAGAAAAUUUGCUAAAAUCAAGGAAUUAAAUCCCUUGAAUUAAGCAACUAAAAUUUGCGAAUUUGAAAUUCAAAUUCCUAUCUUUACCUAUAAAUAGAGGUAUCUUCUAUCAAGAAAUGAGAAAAAAAAUCAGAAAAAAAAAUCCAGAAAUGUGACUUCGUACACUUUCAAAGUGUGAUCAAGGUAAAAGAAUUGAGAGAAAAUAUUCUUUUAGAAAGAAUAUUAUUUUUGAUAUUGUACCCACAAUAUUUUAAUUUCAAUAAAUAUUUUGUUCCUAUAAUUUUCCUAUUUUGUUUUGCUAAUUUUUGAAUAUUUACAAAAUCAUCUUCCAAGCAGAUUCCUCAUGGAAACAUUUCAGAUAGCAGAGAUAGAAAAGGUACGGAUGAUAAUCGAGCUAUGAAGAUGUCAGCUGUCCUCACCCAAACUUGGAGGGAUGACUUGAAAUCUGGACAUCUUCCGGUAUCUCUAUUUGUGUUGUUGGUGAAAGUAUUUUGCCCUUCAUUCCAGCUUCUGAGAUGUCUUUGCUCCUUUAACCAUUGGGAGGGAAGAUUAAAAGUUCUCACAUGGUAUAUAAUUCAUGGAAUCGCUUCAAUUUAAGAAAGAAGCUUAUUUCAAAUGAAUUUUUACAGAAGUUUUUGCUUUUUUAUGGUCCCCAUCUUACCAAUUCAAGCUCUGACAGGGCAAGGAGGUAUCAACAAAUGACUAAUGGAAAGGAGAUCCUUAUGUUUUCAUUGAGUAAUAAGCAAGCUUUGAAAGUCCAAUUGUUUUCGCCUGAAAUAAAGAAAUCCUUUAUUUUCUUCAUUAGUUAUAACCUGCAAUUACAUGGAAAGGAAAGCAAAAACAUGGCGUUCAAUUGAGAGAACAUAUAGAAAAAUAAGUCCGCUAGCGAUUCAAAUACCUCAACAAAGUCAACAAACAAUUCAAGCACCCAUUUUCAUGGCUUCCCUUUCAACAGCUUUCUUCAGGAAGCUGUCCUCCUCCAGGACCAUCUGAACAGGCAGGAACCCCAACCCGUUGGCCAUGGCGAGCAUCAUUUGUUUGGUCUCCUUCUUGAACUCCUCCAAAUCCACCGCACCAUUCGCAUCAUGAUCGAACUUCACAAACAGGGAGUCGUAGACGUGAGCAAGCUCAUCUGGAUCUCUUUUAACAUCAAUACCGAAGUGUGUUUCAAAGACCCUCAGACUCUGAAACUCUUUCAGCAUCUCUGCAUAGGAGAGGAAGCCAUCAUGGUUUGUGUCAAGAUUGGAAAAGCGGUCAUGGAUCAAACCAUUGAAUGCUUCUUCAUCUUCCACAAAGCUGACAAUGGUGGCACCGUCCAACACUUCCACACUCAUUCUCUCUUCUUCUCCUGCGCUCAAACUGGCUAGUAUCCAAGAAAAGCUCUAACCCAAGAACCAAGUAGUAAAAAAGCUUUUGAUUUUGAUGAAAAUGAAGGAUGCCGUGGUUGCAUAUUUAUAUGGUUGAUUAUUAGCAGAGAAACAAGCGCCAAGCUAAUAGGAAAGUAAUAUGCUGGUUCAAACAAACAGAAAGUUUUCAGCCUAUUGUUUUUCUGUGCCUCUGGUUUCUGAAAACUUCCACGCAAACCAAGCUAAUGGGAAGGCUCUAGUAAAUACCAGUAUCACUACAUUGGUGAGAUUGCACCCAAUGCAUUAUCGUAGUGCUCAUAUGUAUUGCCAUAGUACACCUUGUUAUGACAAAAAUUAGCUUGGAUUAUCUGGGCUUAAAAUUGUGAUUAUACAAUUAAUAAGAGGAGUCUACUGCAAAAUAAUAUGAUAUCACAAAGCUAAUCUCAGAAAAUCUGGUAUAAAAAAACUAGUGUUAUAUUUCAUAUGGGUCCCUGUUUCUUUGGAAAUUAAACAAUAGGCUCAGCUGAUAUGUAGAUAGUCAGAAUUAAUGUCUAGAACGUCAGAAGCCGAAAGGACUUGACCAAAGUCAAAGACGAGUAACUUUUUGGGUUAAGACGAAGCGCCAAACCUGAAUAUGAAAAUCAAUGCGCCCACAAAAUAGCCAUUUCUGUGGGUCCUCUUGUUUUUCUUACCCACCGAUAUUCCACCGACUUCCUCAAAAGUAAAUCACCAUGGAACAGAACGUAGACUUAGUACACCUGCCACACGAAAUUACGAAAUUACUUCAUCACUCAUUAUAGUGUUGAACACAUUUGGAGGGAAACACAUUCUUGUUAUACAAUCGUAUCUUCGUUAGAUUCGACAGAUACCUAUCGAUCUUCUAGAAUUUUCCCAUUAAACAAACACUCAGUUCAAUUCCCAUUCAACAGUUUUCUUCAAGAAAUUAUGCAGUCUCUUUCUGAUAAUUUUUAUUUUUGUUUUUUUGGUCCAUAUAACGCGCCGAUCAACAAUAUUUUAAAUGAUAUUUUAAGAAAUCAAACCCAAGAAAGCUCAGAAACCCUAGAUUUCUGGGUCUUCCAGACGCUAUGAGAUCUAAUCCAACUUCUGCUAUAUCCCCUGGAUAUAUUGUUCCUUUGAAAAUAAUUCUUUUAGGUUUCUUGAAAACAAAAACCAAUAGUAUUUUUUCAAGAUAUUGCUUAAAAGUUGUGUAAAUUAAAAAAUGGUACAACUUUUAAGAAUAGCGAAUCUUUCUCUAUUUUCUAACUGCAUCAAAAUAUGUUCUUAAAAAAAAGGGUGAAUUCACAAAUGUGUGAUUUUAUUCAUCCGAAAGAAGCGCUUUUCAAUCAGGUGUGUAAAGACGUACAAGUAUAUGAAUCUCUACUGCCACUACAACUUCUAAGGUUCCACCAUCUUCACCAAUACAAAUCAAAGCCCUCUACUACGUACGUAAGUUUGAAGAGAAAAUUAAGGAAACAAGAAUCUAAAUCAGAUUAGGGCACCAGUUUGGUGGAUUCCCAUUCAACAGCUUUCUUCAAGAAACUGCCCUCUUCUAGAAUCAUCUGCAAAGGCAAGAGCCCUAACCCAUCAGCCACGGCCAGCAUCAUUCUCUUGGUCGCGGUCUUGAACUCCUCAAAAUCCAACACCCCAUUUGAGUCACGAUCAAACUGCAAGAACAGAAAGCAGUAGACUCUAGCAACUUCAUCUGGGUCUGUCUUCACAUCAAUCCCAAAGUCGGUCUCAAAAACCCUAAGACACUGCAGUUCUUUCAACAUCUCCUCGUAGGAAAGCACACCGUCUUGGUCUUCGUCAAGAGCGGCAAAGCGGUCAUGUACCCAACUGUUGAAUGCUUCUUCAUCUUCAACAAAGCCAGCAAUGGUGGCACCAUUCAGAAUUUCUACACUCAUGAUGGAAGCUCUUCUUCUAAUCGCUAUUCUUCUGCGGAAGUUUUUUGGACUAGAGAAUAGAAUGUAUGUGGGAGACGUCGAUUUCGAUGAAAGUACAGACGGGCUUGUACUCAUAUAUAUAUAUUGUUGUAGAGUUUGUGCAGAUAUCUAUUUGUAAUCGGUUUCUAUUUCCUAUAUUGAAUACAGUUAUAUUCUACUGAAAAUAUUUGUAUUCCUUUUCUAUUAGGGUACUAGUUAGAUUUAGAAACAUUCUAAAAUAUUUGUAUUUCCUUCUCUAAGAUGGUUCUUGCUAGAUUUAGAAACUUUCAACACUCAUGAUGGGAACUCUUGCUCUAAUUGCCACUCAUCUGCGGAAGCUUUUUCGACUAAAAAACAGAAUGUAUGUGGGAAACGUCGAUUUUGAUGAAUGUACAGACGGGCUUAUAUACAUAUAUUUGCUGUAGAGUUUGUCUAGAUAUCUAUUUGUAACUGGUUUCUACGCAUAUCGUCAUGAAUAUAGUUCAUUAAUAUUAACUUAAUGCCUCGGUUAUUUUGAAAUCUUUUGAUAUUUGAUUAUACAAUGAAAAAAAAAAUCAAAUAUAAUUAAAAUUAAUUAAAAACAUAGGUGUUUUUAAAUUAUUUAAUUUAUGUAUUGAUGAAAUUUAAAUAAAUAAAAUGAAUUUAAAAUAUUAUAUAAAAAUAAUUUAAUGAUUUUAAAUCAAUAUUUUUAUUUUACUUUUUAUUUUUUCUAUUUUCUUUCUCCUAUAUUCUCAUUCACAUUUUCAACCAAACAUAGCAUAAACCUUACUAUUGAGUGAAAGGAAGUCUCCAAGUUAACCGAAUCUGAUAACUGAAAUUCCUCCAUGAUAAUAAUAGUUUAUUCAUCACUUCUCCACGAUAACAUGAACUCAAUUCCCACCAUUGAAGUUGCUCCAAGAUGAUAGCAAUUGACUGAAAUUCCUCGGGAUGAUAGCAGCUAAAUUCCAACUAUAUUCUCUCUGUAUAUCCAAUACGUUUGUAAUGCCAUCAAUUAUGGCUAUAACUGAUUCCUUUUGUUCUUUGAUAAUACAAAAAAACAAAACAAGAUUCCUUUAAAGUCUUUAUGGUAUCUGUUGUGGAGAGCUCAAUUCCUUGCUCUUCUCUAUGGAUAUGAUAUUCUCUGGUAUAUUGAUGGAUCGCAUUGACGUCCAUCAGCCAUGAUUAGCAAAGAAUCUAAAAUCUAGUCCAAUCUUGAACACAAGUGAUUUAAGCAUCUUUAAAUGAGUUUUUUUUCUUAGCAUUUUUAUAAAGCCUGAAUAGCAUUCUGAAAUUUCUGCCAAACACAUCACCAUAAAAUUUAAUCUUUGCCAAACACCUGCCACACUACCCAGAAGAUGUCGACUUCGAUCUGCUAAGAAAGUACUGAAAAUCUAUCGAUGAGAGACCAAAGAGAUCUCAAAGGCACCGUCGGUGAUCCUAAGCCUCCCAAAAAGUCAUACCCGCAACAGCACCAUUGAUUAGUACCCACAACUCUGCCAUCUCAUAGCCCCGAACACAAACCUAACAUCAACAAGUCAUUCCUCAGCUUGUACUUACAUAUAUAGCCGAUGACCUCACCCUAAAAACAGAGAAGGUUUAAGCUUGAAGCUCGAAAGAGACACCCAUAAUAACAACACAAGAAUAACCCUUUUUUAGCCAUCUUCAAUGAGAUCUACCACCAUCCAUGCUACGAGGGUACUAGCCAGGAUGAGAUAUUGAUAACUUUCUCCUUCAUUUUCCUUUUAGUGUUUAUUUAUUAUGUUUGGUUCCGAAAAAUACUAAGAAAAGAAAAAAAAAUGUAAAGGAAAAUGAUUUUUUCAUAUUUGAUUAUCUUAUGAAAAUUAUUAAAGAAAAUCAAAUAUAAUUAAAAUUAAUUAAAAACUUAUGUAUUUUUAAAUUAUUUAAUUUUUAUAUUAAUAAGUUAAAAUAAAUAAAAUGAGUUUAAAGUAACAAAAAAAAAUAAUUUAUCAAUUUUUAAUCUAUUUUUUUAUUUUCCUUAACUUUUUCUUUCCUUCUACUUUUCCUUUAUAUUUUCUUUCCCUUCCAUUUUACUUCAAAUUGUUUGGAACCAAACAUAGGCUUUGUAAAUCAAUAUUCCUUCUUUGUUUUUUUUUUUUUUUUUUGUUAAUAAUUGUGUUUUACUCUUUGGAUUUCAUUUUGAUUUUAUAUUAUUUUGUUGCUUUAGAAAUUCUCAGCAAUGAAUGCUCGGCCUUCUCUACAUCUCGGGAUGCCGCACUUCCAGAAGGGCAUGAAUCCAUGAGAAACUUAACGAAAGAUAAAUCCUUUUUUCUAGCAGCAAUAUGAAGUGCAGUGUCGCCUUGGGAGUUUUGCUCUUUGAUAAGGUCUGAACACCGUCCCACGAUGUACUUGGCAAGCUCAUAGUGUCCAAAGCUUACUGCUAUGUGCAGGCAUGUGUUGUUCCCGGGGCUAACUUGGGAGAGGAUUUCUUCGUGUUGAAGUUCCUUUUUGGAGGAUAUCGAGCGUAAAAUUUGAAUAAAGCCAUCAAGAUCUCCUUGGAUGGCCUGCUUGUACAAGUGGCUGUCCAUUAAUAUCCCAGGCUCCACAUCUUCAUCAGCGGGGGCGGGGAGUUUUAGUAUGGGAGUAGCACUUACAUUUCUUGGAUAAGGCGUCCAUGCCAGCUCCCGAUUUUGUGCGAUGGCUCUCACGCUUCCUUCCAUUUCCGAAUCUGAGCUUAUCCGUGUCAUGCCUGCGCCGAGUGCCACGCUCGACUCUACUUGAUCCCGCUUCUCGGCCAUGUUUUAUUGAGCAGAGAAUCCCAACCUCUCGCCUACCCACAAACACAAGUUUAAAAGGAGGAGGACGCUCCUUUCCUUUAUGCAAGCAUCCCAUAUUUCAAAUGAUUCCGAUAAGAGAAUCCGUACAACCCCUUACUUGGUACUAUACUUCAAUAUUAUCCAAACAUUUAGCAUUCUCAUUGUAAUUUCAUCUUGAGUUUUCAACUUUAAUCCAAUCCCAAUACACACACAUAUAUGAUAUAACUUUACUCUUUAAAAUUUUUAAAUUCUUAAUUUUUCAAAAUGUCCAAAUUUAAACUUUAAUUUUAAUUUUUAAUCUUUAAUUCUUAAUUAAUUUUUUAAGUUUUCAAUUCUUUAACAUCUAAAAUUAUCGAUUAUUUUAAAUUUUAGAAUUUAUAAUUUCUAAAAAAAUUUUAAAUAUGCAGUUUCAUUAUUUUUUAAAAUUUAUAAUUAAUUUUGUAUUGAAAUAAUCUUAAAAUAUUCACUUGAACCGACAAAAAAAAUUUUCUCCACAUUUUCAAAGAUCAAGAUUUGGGAUGAUAAAAGUAAAAGAAAGAUGAAGAAAACACCUCAGUGGAUUCAUACUUGGUUGUGUCCUUAUAUAAUUUUGUCAAAGGGUUUAGUAAGACAAACAAACUAAUUCACUAUAAGAUGAUUUAUACGUAUCUUAUACCAUACCAUUAGUACAUAUGUAAUUACCAUAAAUGUCUUAUAUAAUUAUGGGUGCAAUAUGAUAAAAAAUUAUUAUUAUGUGUUAAUUAUUAAACUUAAAUAGAAAAAAAAAUUAUUGGUUAUAUCUAAAAUAAAAAAAUAGAGAAAAAAUAGAAAAUUUAUUUUUUAUAAACAAUCAUAAGAGAAAAUUUAAUAUUGAAUUUUAAGAUGUAAUUGCUUUUAAUGUUACAUACCUUUUAUUUAAAAGAAAAAUCAUAACAAAUAUAAUAUAAAAAAUAUAAUAAAAAAAGGGAUGAGACAUAUUGAGAUAAUAAAUUAAUAAUGGACUUUUAGUUCUAUUUUUUAUUUUGGUUUUUAUUUUUUAUUUUUUAUUUAUUUUAUUAUUAUUAAUAUAACAUUUUACUUUUAUUUUUAUUUUCUUAUUUUAUUUUAUUAUUAUUAAUAUAACAUUUAAUAAUGUUGCAGAAAGUAGUUGACAAAACAAUGUUACCAAAUAUAUAUUUUUUUCAUUUUUAUUCUCAUUUUUACUUAAAUUUGAAAUUGAAUCAAAUUAUCAUUCUCACCUAAUAUUCUUAUAUAUAUCUAAAUAUAAUAAUUUGAAUUACCAAAUUCAUUCAUAUUCAAAAAAUAAUAGGAAUGAAAACAAAAUAUUCAUUUUCAUUCCAUCACUAUAUACCAAACACACCAUUAGAUCUUUUAUUAGCAUUAUUUUUGUUCAUCUUUUAGUUUGAUAUUUUUAUGUCUUAUUCGCUCGAUGAGAACAUUUUUAAUUAGGGCUAGACAUACUUAUCUCAUUAUCAAUGCGCAUAUCAUAAAGUGCAAUAGGGUAUACUCAUCCUUCACUCCUUGAGCCACCCUUUUAAGCCAUUUCUAUUUAUCUUAUCAUCAACUAAACCAAAGUCAUGUCAUUAGAUCAUCUUUCCUUAGUCAUCCAUUAGCCUUAAGUCAUACCUUCAAAUAUCAUCUUAGUCAUCAUCAUACCUUCAAUAUUAUCUUAGUCAUCGACAACCCCAAACCAUGCCUUCAACUAGUGAUCUUAAUCAUCUAUUAGCCGCUAAUCACGCCUUCAAUCACUCUUAGUCAUCAUGACUAUGAACCCAACUGGACACUAUCAAAAAGACUUUUUGAAGAAUCACCAACCAAGUGAUUAUUUUUAAAAAUUUAUCAAAUAACUAAUUUUUGUAAGAAAUUGCUUGAAGGUGUGUUUACCUCCUUCCAAAAACAUUGUCAAAUAGGCUAUAAGAUUCAAGGGCAUACACGCUCCUCAAAUUUUGGGAAAAAAAAAAAAUUCUCUUAAAUAAUUAAAAAAAAAUUAGGAAAGUGAAUGGGAACUAGAAAUUUCCCACUUCAAAUUAUAUAAAUUUAAUUUUAAAAUUUUAGAGGAUAAAAAAUAAUGGUAGUUAAAAAAUUGUGUGUUUUUUUUUUUUUUUUUUUUUUUUUUUUUUUUUUUUGGCCUUUGAUUGUUUAUUAAAAAAUUUUUAGGGGGGGCCUUCUUUAAUUUGGUUCCCCCUAACAUGCUUUUAUAAUGCUUUACCACUAAUUAAGCAUUUGCAACAAGCUUUACAAAAAGUAUAAAAAUAUUAAAAAAACCAUUUAAAAGGGAAAACUAAAUUAUAUAAAGUUUUAUGUAAUUUCCAAACCCAAAAGGAAACCAAAUAUUUAAAUAUGAAAAAAUUCCUCCAAUUGGAACCCUUUUUUCUUUUUUUUCCUUUUCCCCUCCCUUUUUUUUUCCCCCAUUUUCUUUUUUCCCCUUUUUUUCCUCAAACCUUACAACAUAAAAGUCUUGCAGUCUAGAGCCCCAGUCCAUCAAUCUCAUUCCCCCAUUUAAGAACAAUCCCAACCCCUUUUUUGGAUGAUCUAGAGCUAUAAAAAGCCUAUGUNNNNNNNNNNNNNNNNNNNNNNNNNNNNNNNNNNNNNNNNNNNNNNNNNNNNNNNNNNNNNNNNNNNNNNNNNNNNNNNNNNNNNNNNNNNNNNNNNNNNUUUUUUAAAAUUUUUUAAAUAAUGAAUUUUUUUAAGAAAUUUCUUAAAGGUGGGGUUUCCUCCUUCCAAAAACAAUUUCGAAUAGGCUAUUAGAAUCCAGGGAAUACAACCUCCCCAAAUUUUGGGAAAAAAAAAAAAAUUUUUUAAAUAAUUAAAAAAAAAUUAGGAAAGGGAAAGGGAACUAGAAAUUUCCCAAUUCAAAUUAUAUUAAUUUAAUUUUAAAAUUUUUGAGGAUUAAAAAUAAUGGUAGUUAAAAAAUUUGGUGUUUUUUUUUUUUUUUUUUUUUUUUUUUUUUUUUUUUUGCAUUUGAUUGUUUAUUAAAUAAUUUUUAGUGGUGGCCUUCUUUAGUUUGGUUCCCCAUAACAUGCUUUUAUAAUGCUUUACAACUAAUUAAGCAUUUGCAACAAGCUUACAAAAAGUAUAAAAAUAUUAGAAAAACAAUUUAAAAGGGAAAACUAAAUUAUAUAAAGUUUUAUGUAAUUUCAAAAGCGAAAAGGAAACAAAAUAUUUAAAUAUGAAAAAAUUCAUCAAAUUGGAACCCUUUUUUCUUUUUUUUCGUUUUACCAUCUCUUUUUUUUUCCACUAUUUUCUUUUUUCUCAUUUUUUUCGUCAAACCUUACAACAUAAAAGUCAUGCAGUCUAGAGCACAAGUCAAUCAAUCUCAUUCACCAAUUUAAGAACAAUCCAAACACCUUUAUUGAAUGAUCUAGAGCUAUAAGAAGCAUAUGUACCAACCUUUGACUCUACCAUUAUAUAAUCGCACCUUUAUCAAAUGAUGUAGAGAUAUGUGAAGCACAUGUUCCAACCUUUGACUCUUCAUUAUAUAAUGUCACAUACACCAUAAAAUAAUAUCAUCGUGUUUGGAUUAUACUAUAAUGUCACAUGCACCAUAAAAUAAUAUCACCGUGUUUGGAUCGAGUAUAAUCAUUUGGUCAAAGUACAAUAUGUUUAAUAAACAGAUUAUUUGAUUGAGUCAUUUUAUGUAACAUAAAUUUAACCUGAAUCGAUAAAUUUAAUAAUUUUAUUAUAAUAAUCAUAAUUAUUUUAAAUAAAUAGAUAAAUUGAGUUAUAAAUAUAUAUCAAACUAAAAAGUUAAAUGUAUUGACUUUAAAAAAAAAAUAUCAAUUCAAUUUUAUUGUUAAAUGAAUUAUGAUACAUGGUAUUUGUUUAGUAAAUAGAUCAUAUUUAGAUUCAUACUUUUAAUCCAAUUAUAAUUUUUUUUUGUAUCGUGUUAGAUUAAUUUCUUAAGUUCACAUGGGGUAAAUCAACAUGUCACCAGUUGAAUUGUUUUUCAUUUUUUCCUACUCCAUAUUACUUCAAGUGUCCAUCUUUGGUCGUUCUUCAUUUUUUAAUAUGUGGGUUAUAUGUUCUCUCAUGGAAUUUUUUAAAUUUUAUCUUUUUUCACUUUUUUAUCUUUUUACAUUUAUUAAUUUUAAUUAUUUAUUAACACUUUAAACCACUGGCAAAAUUGCUAAGACUAUUAGCAAUUAUUUAUUAUAUAUUAUUAUUAUUUUGUUUUAAGGUGUGUGUAAAGAAUUGAUAUUUUCCCCGAGCAACAUUUUUUGAAAGUGAAAAGUCGAAACAUCUUAAAAUUUCUAUAUGUUUUUGUAUGACUAAUUCAUUUUCUUAAAAGAUGAAACAAAGAUUUAGAAAAAAAAAAAGAAAAAAUCCAUCUAAAAUUCUUAGAAUAGAAAAUCAAAAUUCUUUGGUCAUUGAAACCUCCAUGUGAGAAGUGCUCGCGAGAGUAACGUAGCUCUGUCCAAUGGUGGAGCCAAUAAUUUAAUUCAAAUGGGGUAACUUUUAAUGCAUAUAUUGAUCUUAGUCCAAGGGUGUAGACCUGUCAUUGUUAAGGGAGUAAUAUGAGUCCUGGGUUUGAAUAGCAAGAAGUAGAGUUGGGGUUAGAACUGUAAAUAAGGUCAAUUCAGUUGAUUUUUAGAUUAAAAAAAAAAAUGAACAAAAUCAAUAUAGUUAGUUUCAUAUGUGAUAAAAACCAAACUAACCAGAUUUAGAGUGAAAAAAUCGAACUAAACCAAACAUUUUAAGGUCAAUUUGAUUCAAAUUUUGUUGAUCGGUUUUAACCCAACUUAUUAAUCUUUUUUAGUCCUAAACCUAAUUGUAGAUUUGUGGCAUUUUUUUAUAGCCAAAUCCUAUUAAUUUGAGUUUAUAUUAGGUCCUAAGUCUAAUUUAUUUUUAAAAUUAAUUGAAACUAACUUGGAUUUGAUGAUAAAAAUAUAGUAAAUGUAUUUAGAAUUAAUUUAAACACAAUAUAAAAAGAAUGAAUUACUUCAAUAUAAUCUAAUAUAAAAAAAUUUAUCGAAUAUCAAACAAUUAUAGAUAAAUUUUAGAAUAUCAGUUUGAUUCGAUUUUUAUCAGUUAGGAGAUAAAAAAAAAAAAAAAUUAAAAACUGAACCAACAAGAUCAGUUUUCAAAAUUCUCAAAUCGAAUCAACUUUUUUUAUUUUUGGAAAUCAAACUAAUUAUAUAAUUGGUUUUGCUUGAUUUGAAUUGAUUAUCGAUUUUUUCAAUUUUUCUUAGACCCCUAAACCCCUAGGCCCUAGCCCGUUCCCACACCCACAAGUUCUACCCCUAAUUAGGGGAUUUGAAAAAUAAAAAAUAAAAAAUAAAAAUUUCAAAUAAUAUUUUUUAAAAUAAACUAUCAUAUUUUAGAAAAAUAUUUUUUUUUAAAUGAAUCUCGAAAAGUUAUCGAUGCGAAGCUAUGCGAAUUAGAUUUGGUAGUUAUGGUUGUCGCAUAAAGUCCCGACAUGAGUUAAUGAUGACGGGAUCAUACACAACAUGGCACAAACCUGUUUCAUUAUGGAUGACACUUGUUAUGAUUUUGACCGUAUAGUUAAUAAGCCUACUGUCAGCCCCUUAGCCUAUUGACCCAAUUUUGGAGGAAAGGGCCUCAUGGGUAGACCUUACACCCAUGGGAGCAUAGAUAGAGAGCAAAGAUGGCCUGGAGGUUUGGUAGUUCAAACCCCAGGAGUUAAAAUGAGGAGACCAUGUGCGAGCCAGAUAGGCACCACGGGCAAGCCAGACAGACACCACGUGCGCACCAUGGACAAGCCAAAUAGGCACUACGCGCGCACCGAGGGCGAGUCAGACGCGCACCACUUGUGCACCAGACGGGCACCAUGUGCCCACCAGACGAGCACUACAUGUGCACCAGGUGAGUACCGCAUGCGCACCACAUGUGCACCAGACAGACACCGUGUGCGUGCCAAACAGGCAUCACGCGCGCACUACAUGCACACUAGGCAAGCAUCGUGCACGCACUAGGCUUAUGUGGGCUAUGGAGUUAGUGCGGAUGGAGGGUGAGGCUUAUUUUAGAAUAAAAUUUAUAACUAUUUAAAUAUUUCAUUAUGUCUCCUCAAGCAUGUAUGAUGUCUCCUCCAAACAUCUUGAGAAUGGCUUGUAUUGCUCUUUACGUGGGAGAAGGGUAGGUGACUCAAAUGAGCAUCAAGGAAAAACCUUGACCACACCAAUAGGGCACCAUGGCACAACCUUAGGCGUGCUUAGGACACACAGAUGGCACUCAAGCACGCACACAUGGACUCCACGACAUGUGUGGUGUGUACCCUAUGGCCGCAAUGGCAUGGGGCUUGGUACGGCCUACCUCCUCCCCACACUAGCACAAGGGCACCUGAGGUAUUCCUCCAAUAAGGCAUUGAUCCUCUCUGUCUGCUUAUCAGUCUGAGGACGAUUGGUUGUGGAAAACUUCAACUUUGAACCCAAGAGUUUGAACAGUUCCACCCAAAAUCGGCCUAUGAACCUUGCAUACCGAUCACUCACUAUGUCUCGAGGCAACCCAAAGUGUUUUACCACAUAGUUAAAGAACAACCUAGCCACUUCCUCCGUAGGGCAUGCUUCAAGAGCAGGUAUAAACACAUAACACUUAAAAAAUCUAUCCACAAUAACAAAGAUAGAUUUGAAGUCACGAAUCUUUGGAAAUCCGAUGAUGAAAUUCAUGGAAAUGCUUUCCCAAGGUUUUUCUGGAAUGGGGAGGGGUUUUAGCAAACUACACGUGUUUUAUGAAAUCCAUUAUGAUGAUGUCAACGUACACGUGUUUUAUUUUUUUAUUUUUUUAUUAUUUUAUUUAUCAAAACUAUUUAAUUCUAUUUCAAUUUUUUUUCUUUAAAUAUAUAAUACAUGGGCUUUGACAGUAUAUAUAUGUUGGGCUUUGUGGAGCCUAGUUUUGUUUGAUCCGGUUUGAUAACCCGACCCGAAUAAAUUGCAUGGCUUUUUAAUGGGAGAUUUACUGAGGCCUGUUGGGCCCGUUUAGCCCAUUGUGGAACCACCUUUUGUAAUUAGGGUUUUUUAGUGUGGUGUGGUUGUCGUGUUAUAUAUAGAGAGAAAAUAUUGUAGCCGUCGUAGUGGUACUCUGUAUUCUUCCCUAAUAAUAGUGAUAUCCCUACAACUCCAUGGACGUAGGCAAAUUGCCGAACCACGUAAAUAUUGUCUUAUGCGUGUGAUUGUUUUUCUUUGGCGUGUGUUUUCUCUAUUUUUUUUCUCACAGGUUGAGAAUUCAGUUUAAUUCCCUACAACUGGUAUCAGAGCCUAGGGUUACAUUUGAGUGGGAGCAAUGGCAGAGAAAGCAGGAAAGACGCCUGGAAUAGAAAAGUUUGAUGGCACUGACUUUGUGUAGUGGAGGAUGCAGAUUGAAGAUUAUCUCUAUGGGAGGAAAUUGCAUCUGCCUCUUUUGGGGACAAAACCUGAGAGUAUGAAGGCUGAGGAAUGGGCGCUUCUUGACAGACAGGUUUUAAGAGUUAUUAGGUUAACUCUAUCUAAGUCUAUUGCACACAAUGUUGUAAAGGAGAAGACCACAGCAGAUCUGAUGAAGGCUUUGUCCGAUAUGUAUGAAAAGUCGUCCGCAAACAAUAAGGUGCAUCUGAUGAAGAAAUUGUUCAAUUUGAAGAUGGCAGAGAAUGCAUUAGUAGUACAACAUCUGAAUGAAUUUAAUACAAUCACAAAUCAAUUAUCGUCUGUAGAAAUUGAUUUUGAUGAUGAGAUUCGUGCUCUGAUCAUCUUGGCUUCUUUGCCAAACAGUUGGGAGGUAAUGAGGAUGGCAGUAAGCAAUUCUAUAGGAAAGGAAAAGCUCAAGUACAAUGAUAUACGAGAUUUAAUUCUAGUUGAGGAGAUUCGCCAAAGAGAUGUAGGCGAAACCUCAUGAUCUGGUUCUGCCCUAAACCUUGAGACAAGAGGCAGAGGUAAUGACAGAAAUUCUAAUCGGAGCAAAAGCAAAUCUAGAUCAGGCCAACAAGUACAAUGCUGGAACUGUGGGAAAACAGGUCACUUUAAAAGGCAAUGCAAAAGCCCUAAGAAGAAGAAUGAAGAUGAUUAUGCUAAUGUUGUAACAAAAGAGGUACAGGAUGCAUUACUUCUUGCAGUAGACAGUCCACUUGAUGAUUGGGUUUUGGAUUCAGGAGCUUCGUUUCAUACCACUCCACACCGAGAAAUCAUACAGAAUUAUGCUGCAGGUGAUUUUGGUAAGGUGCAUUUGGCUGAUGGUUCAGCCUUGGAUGUUGUGGGUCUAGGAGACGUCCGGAUAUCAUUGCCCAAUGGGUCUAUUUGGUUACUGGAGAAGGUUCGACAUAUUCCUGACCUGAGGAGGAAUCUGAUUUAUAUUGGAUAACUUGAUGAUGAAGGACAUGCAAUACUAUUUGUUGGUGGUACUUGGAAGGUUACAAAGGGAGUUAGGGUAUUGGCUCGUGGAAAGAAGACUAGUACUUUGUAUAUGACCUCAUGUCCAAGAAACACAAUUGCAGUUGCUGAUGCAAGUACUGAUACAAGCCUAUGGCACCGCAGACUUGGUCAUGUGAGUGAGAAAGGGAUAAAGAUGUUGUUGUCAAAAGGAAAACUACCAGAAUUGAAGUCCAUUGAUUUUGACAUGUGUGAAAGUUGCAUCUUAGGAAAGCAAAAAAAUGUGAGUUUUUUGAAAACUGGCAGGACACCGAAGGCUAAAAAAUUGGAACUAGUACACACUAAUUUGUAGGGGCCUUCUCUAGUUGCAUCCCUUAGUGGUUUACGGUACUACAUCACUUUUAUUGAUGACUCAAGCAGAAAGGUAUGGGUUUAUUUUCUGAAAAAUAAAUCUGAUGUAUUUGAAACUUUUAAGAAGUGGAAGGCCAUGGUUAAGAUAGAAACAAGUUUGAAAGUAAAAUGUUUAAGGUCAGAUAAUGGAGGAGAGUACAUAGAUGGAGGGUUCAGUGAGUAUUGUGUUGCACAGGGAAUUAGGAUGGAGAAGACCAUUCCUGGGACACCACAGCAGAAUGGUGUGGCUGAGUGCAUAACAGAACUCUCAAUGAGCGUGCUAAAAGUAUGAGGUUGCAUGCUGGACUACCAAAAACUUUUUGGGCUGAUGCUGUUAGCACUGCAGCUUACCUGAUAAACCGAGGACCAUCAAUUCCCAUGGAGUUCAGACUUCCUGAGGAGGUUUGGAGCGGUAAAGAGGUGAAGUUUUCACAUUUAAAAGUUUUUGGUUGUGUUUCUUAUGUUCAUAUUGAUUCUGAUGCUCGUAGUAAACUUGAUGCAAAGUCAAAAAUAUGUUUUUUCAUUGGCUAUGGUGAUGAGAAAUUUGGCUAAAGGUUUUGGGAUGAACAAAACAGGAAAAUCAUCAGAAGUAGAAAUGUGAUAUUUAAUGAACAGGUUAUGUACAAGGACAGGUCAACUGUAGUGUCAGAGAUAGAUCAAAAAAAAUCUGAGUUUGUCAACUUAGAUGAAUUGACUGAAACUACUGUCCAAAAAAGGGGUGAAGAAGAUAAAGAGAAUGUAAAUUCACAGGUAGAUAUGAGUACACCCGUAGCUGAAGUUUGCAGAUCUUCCAGGAACAUUAGACCUCCGCAACGUUAUUCACCUGUUUUAAAUUAUCUCCCAUUGACUAAUGGUGGUGAGCCAGAGUGUUAUGAUGAAGCCUUGCAAGAUGAGAAUUCAAGCAAGUGAGAGUUAGCCAUGAAAGAUGAGACGGAUUCCUUGUUGGGGAAUCAGAUAUGGAAUUGACUGAAUUGCCAGUAGGAAAGAAAGCUUUGCACAACAAGUGAGUAUACAGAAUAAAGAAUGAGCAUGAUGGUAGCAAAUGUUACAAGGCCAGAUUAGUUAUUAAAGGGUUCCAGCAGAAGGAGGGCAUUGACUACACAGAGAUAUUUUCUCCAGUUGUGAAGAUAUCAACAAUCAGACUUGUACUGGGAAUGGUGGCUGUAGAAAACUUACAUCUUGAGCAGUUAGAUGUGAAAACAACAUUCCUUCAUGGUGACUUGGAGGAAGACCUUUACAUGAUUCAGCUAGAAGGGUUCAUUGUUUAGAGACAAGAGGAUCUAGUCUGCAAACUGAGAAAGAGCUUAUAUGGCCUUAAACAAGCUCCUAGACAGUGGUACAAGAAGUUUGACAGUUUUAUGCAUAGAAUUGGGUUCAAGAGAUGUGAAGCUGAUCACUGUUGCUAUGUUAAGUUUUUUGACAAUUCUUACAUCAUAUUACUGUUGUAUGUGGAUGAUAUGCUUAUUGCAGGGUUUGGCAUUGAGGAUAUUAAUAGUCUGAAGAAGCAAUUGUCCAAACAGUUUGCAAUGAAGGAUUUGGGAGCUACAAAGCAAAUCCUUGGUAUGAGAAUUAUUAGGGACAAGGUUAAUGGUACAUUGAAGCUUUCACAGUCAGAGUAUGUGAAGAAAGUUCUCAGUAAGUUCAACAUGAAUGAAGCUAAACCAAUGAGCACACCCUUGGGUAGUCAUUUCAAACUAAGCAAAGAACAGUCAUUGAAGACAGAAGAAGAAAGGGACCAUAUGAGCAAGGUGCCCUAUGCCUCAGCUAUUGGCAGCUUGAUGUAUACUAUGGUGUGUACAAGGCCAGACAUUGCACAUGCAGUGGGAGUUGUGAGCAGAUUCAUGAGUAGGCUUGGAAAGCAGCAUUAGGAGGUAGUCAAGUGGAUUCUAAGAUAUCUGAAGGGUUCAUUAGAUAUAUGUCUUUGCUUCACAGGUGCAAGUUUGAAACUCCAGAGUUAUGUAGAUGCUGAUUUUGCUGGUGAUAUUAAUAGUAGAAAGAGUACUACUGGGUUUGUUUUUACUCUAGGUGGUACAGCUAUAUCAUGGGCUUCAAAUCUACAGAAGAUUGUUACUUUGUCUACUACAAAAGCUGAGUAUGUUGCAGCAACUGAAGCUGGAAAGGAGAUGAUUUGGAUACAUGGUUUCUUAGAUGAAUUGGGUAAGAAGCAGGAGAUGGGCAUUCUACACAGUGACAGUCAGAGUGCAAUUUUUCUUGCCAAAAAUUCAGCUUUUCAUUCAAAGUCGAAGCAUAUACAAACAAAAUGUUACUUUAUUCGUUAUCUUGUUGAAGAUAAACUGGUAAUACUUGAGAAGAUUUGUGGAUUUAAGAACCCGGCAGACAUGUUGACUAAGGGUGUCACUAUUGAAAAGUUGAAGUUGUGCGCAGCUUCAAUUGGUCUUCUAGCUUGAGGACAGGAGGAUGAGUUGCAGGGAUGAGGGAUUGUUUCUUGGAGGAUAGCAGUUUGAUGUUGGUGAUUAAACUAGUCUCCAAGUGGGAGAUUUGUUGGGCUUUGUGGAGCCUAGUUUUGUUUGAUCCAGUUUAACGACCCGACCCGAAUAAUAUUGCAUGACCUUUUAAUGGGAGAUUUACUAAGGCUUGUUGGGCCCGUUUAGCCCAUUGUGGAACCACAUUUUGUAAUUAGGGUUUUUCAGUGUGGUGUGGUUGUCGUGUUAUAUAUAGAAAGAAAAUAUUGUAGCCGCCAUGAUGGUACUCUGUAUUCUUCCCUGAUGAUAGUAAUAUCCCUACAACUCCAUGGACGUAGGCAAAUUGCCGAACCACGUAAAUACUGUCUUGUGCGUGUGAUUGUUUUUCUUUAGCGUGUGUUUUCUCUAUUUUUUUUGUUUCUCACGGGUUGGGAAUUCGGUUUAAUUCCCUACAUAUAUACGCAUUCUUUUUAAUACUUUUAGUUUUUUUAUUCUAAAAUUUUUAAUUUCUAAUUAAAUACUAAUAUUAAUAAUAAUGAUAAUUCGUUUUCAUAGUCAUGGAUUAAGAUCACAAUUUCUUAAUUCUUUUCUUUGAAUCAUAACUCCACAAAAGUAAUAUUUAAAUAAAAGAAAUGACAUGAUCUCGAUUACCCCAAUCCCAUUGGUAGUCUCUUUUACUAUAUUUUUCAUUAGAAAAAUGUUAAAAUAUCAUGAUAAUGUUUAUAAAACAAAUAUUUAAACCAUUGAAUAUAUAAUAUAAGAUUUAUGUUAUCAAACCAAAAUAAAAAGGAAUUAAAUCAAAAUAAGGUACAUACAAAUGAGAUAGAGUAUAAAUAAUGAGAUCUAAAAAUUUACGGAUAACACUAUCUAAUUGGUGGUGUGUUUUCGAUAAAUAUCGAAAAAUUAUAUUUAUGUAUUAUAACCGAACCCUUAUCAUUAUUUACUAUCAUACCCACAUUAAAAAAAAAAAACUAUAUAUAGACCUUAUUGGGAAUUUCAAAAAAUAAUUCUCUAAUUAUUUCUUGAGUCAAUUAGUUUUCUUUAUUUCUAAAAAAAAUAGAAUAAUUUUUAUAUGUAAUAUUUUAUUUAUAAUUAUUUUACAUAUUUUUAUUUUUAUGAUUAUUCAUUUAAAUUACUUAAAAAAUAAGUAGAAAUAAUUUAAAUAUAUCCUCAAAAAAUGCUAUCAUUUUAAAAUAAAUUUUCAAAAAAGGGUUUUCUCAUAGAAAAAAAAAACAAAAAGAAAAUUAACAAACAUAGCAUUUUUAGAACGGAAUCUUAGAAGGUAAAAAAAAUCAUCGAACAUGUCUUGUCUUCUAGUCCAAAAAAACCAUUUUUAAUUUUAAAAACAAAAAUCUAUUUUUAGAAAACAUUUCUUUUUUCCUUCAAACUUUCCAACAUAGAAGCACGUGACCUAUACAUUAAACAUCAUCAAUCGGCAUAUUUCCAUCAAUGCUUAGAUAUUCCAUGUGAACCAACACAGUUGGAUAUGGAGUGGGUGGGAGGCAUGAAGCACAUGCCCCAAAAUUAAUCAGCCAUUUCUUUUCCAAAAUUUUGACCAAUAGUUCAAUCAAUUUCUUUUACAUAGUCUCAUAUUUUGACUAAAUUAAUUUCAUUUACACACCCUCGUGUUUUGACUAAACACAUCUCUUUGUCGGUAAUUUAAUUAUUCCUAUUUCUAAGGCUCACAAUCUGUGAUCCAUCAUUAGUGGAAUCUGAUUCGCGCCUUCUUAGGAAAAUAUACACUAUCUUAGGAAUACAUAUAUUGCAAUAAUAUUCCUUAAGACUCCCCCUCAAGUUGGAGAGUGAAUAUCAUGAAUUCCCAACUUGUUGCAUAGUGUUACAAAUUGAUCCUUCCCCAAAGCCUUUGUAAGUACAUCUGCUAAUUGGAAGAGAGUGGGAACAUAUAAAGGGCUAAUCAUUUCGGCUUGCAGUUUUUCUCGAAUUAUGUGACAAUCUAUUUCAAUGUGUUUUGUACACUCUGUGAAAAAAAGGAUUUGUUGCAAUGUAUAAAGUUGUUUGAUUAUCACAAAACAAUGGUGUAGGUACCGCCUAUGGGACUUUUAAAUCCGAUAAUAUAUAGUAUAGCCAAGUCUUCUCCAAACAUGUGUUAGCCAUAGCUCGAUAUUCAGCUUCUGCUGAGGAUAUAAAAACAUUGGUUUGUUUCUUGGAUUUUCAUGAGAUGAGAUAAUUUCCAAGGAAAACACAGUAUCUUGUAAUUGAUCUUCUUGUAGCACGACAACCUCCCCAAUCUGAAUCACAAAAAUCUUUUAAGGCAAGAUUACUGGUGAAAGGGAAUAGUAAACCUUGACCAGGAGCACCUUUGAUGUACUUGAGAAUUCGUAUGGUAGCAUUCCAAUGAGGUUUUUGAGGCUCAUGCAUGAAUUGACUUAGUAUUCGAACAGAAUAAACUAUUUCAGGCCUAGUGAGGAUAAGAUAAAUCAAUCUACCAACCAAUCUUCUGUAUUUAGUUAGAUCAUUAAGUAAUGCUCCAUUUGUGCGAGUAAGCUUCAAAUGUUGUUCCAUUGGAAACUUGUCUGGGUGUGCACUUAGAAGUCAUGAAUCUUGCAAAAUGUCUAGUGCAUAUUUUCUCUGAGACAUGAAAAUACCUUUCUUCAAAAGAGAGAAUUCAAUGCCCAAAAAAUAUUUCAAAUCUCCAAGAUCUUUGAUAGGAAAGCUUUUGAGAAGAAAUUUUUUGAGACAUUCCAUUUUUUGAAGACCAUUUCCUAUGAGAAGUAUGUCGUCGACAUAAAUAAGGACUGCAGUAAAUGAAGUACCUUGAGCCUUGGUGAAAAUAGAAUAAUCAACCUUUGAUUGGUGAUAACCAGCUUUUUGGAUGGUUUCUGAAAAAGUGAAAAACCAAUUUCUGGAUGCCUGCUUGAGUUCAUAAAGGGACUUGUAAGCCGACAUACAAUGUUCUCUCUUUAUCAACGAAGACAAUGUGGAGGUUCCAUGUAAACAACUUCGUGCAAGUCACCAUGAAGAAAAGCAUUUUGGACGUCUAAUUGGUGUAUAAACCAAUGUUGGGCAACAAUAACAAUAAGAAGACAACGAAGUGUAGUGAGUUUGGUUGUAGGAAAGAAAGUGUCUAGAUAAUCAUCAGACUCAUAUUGAAUGUUGUAGACCCAUUUGCAACCAACAUGCAUUGGAACCAAACUCCAUGUAUUAUUUUGUUGUAAUGCCUCUAAUUUUGCAUGCAUGGCUUGUCGCCAAUGUGGAUCAAGGAUAGCCUGAGCAUAGGAUGUAGGUGCAGUGUGACCUCUAAUGUUAACUAGAAAAGCACAAUGGGCAGAAAAGAUACGAGAGUAGGAAAGAAAAUGAGAAAUAGGACGAGUACUUGAUGCAGAACUUGGUGUCGAGGUAGAGUGAUUGAUGUGAGCAAAUACUGUGUAGUCUUUAUGCCAUGUCGGAGGUUUCUUGGGAUGAAAUGAGUGUCGUAGUGGGAGAAUAGGAGGAGUGGUGGGUUCGAGAGGGCGUGAAAUAGGUGCAAUGAGUUCAACUUUAGGGGAAUGUGCAAAAUAUGGGAUGGAGUUUCAGGUGGGACAAAGAUGUCAGGGGCAAUAUGUGUGGGUGUUGUUAAAGAGGGCUCAUCUGUGUUAAGCGACUCUUGUUGUUGUGGUUGUGGAGAUGGAAUGUGAGUGGAAAAGGGUGCUGGAGAGGGCCAACACUGAGGAAUGUCUGGGGAAAAAUGGGGCAACACAAAAUUGGGAGUGGGUGAAGUUGAAAUAGAAGAGAAAGGAAAAAUGAUCUGAUAAAAUUUGACAUUGCAACUGACAAAAAAUUUCUUAAUCUCCAAAUCAUAGAGUUUGUAACCCUUUUUACCAUUGGGGUAGCCAACAAAGAUGCAACAUGUGGCACAGGGAUCAAAUUUAUGAGUAGAAUGAACAACAGUUGCAUAACAUAGACAAACAAAAACUUUCAAGUAAUCAAGUGAUGGUGGACAAUUAUAUAACAACUCAAAAUGUGAUUUAGUUUAUAACAAAGGUGAUGGUAGUCAAUUGAUGAGGUAGACAACUGUCAAUACAAAUUCACCCUAAAAAGUUAAGGGUAACUGGGAUUGGAAAACUAAUGCACUUGCCUCAAUGAGAAUAUGGCAAUGUCUGCGUUCAACAACUCCGCCAUGAAGUCGAAAUAAAUUUCUCAUGGAUAGGAAUUCAGAAUCAUUGUCCACCCUAAUGGCUUUAAUGCAAGCAUGAAAUUGAGAACGAGCAAAAUCAAUAAAAGAUUUUAAAAUUUGUUGUGUUUCAGAUUUAUACUGCAUAAGAAAUAUCCAUGUGCAUCUUGUAAAGUCAUCCACAAUGGUGAGAAAGAAACGUGCCCUUGAAUGUGUGGGAACUUUGUGUGGACCCCAACUAUCACAAUAUAACAAAUCAAAUGGAGCUUGAAGAAUAUAGAAGUCUAGUUUGUUUAGCCAUGGGACAAACAAAAUAAUUAUUAUCAUUAGAGAUAUCAUUGGAAGGCAACAAUGGAGAAACUAAUUUAAGACAAAAUGGUGAUAGAUGGCCAAGACGCAUAUGCCACAAAUUUGAAGGGUGAGAAACUUGAUGAGCAAUAGGUGUUAUUUGCAACAGAGACAUGUAAUAGAGACCACCUCGUUGUUUAGUCGAGUCAAUCACCUUCCCCUUGGUCAAGUCCUACAAGACAAAAAAUGGGAAACAAAAUGACACAAUAGUUCAGGGCGCGCAAUGGUAACUUUACUCAUAAACAUCAAAUUUAAGCGAAAAAAUGGAACACACAAAACAUUCUCUAAGGUGAUAUUUGAAUUGAAUGGUAUGGUGCCGAUUGAAGUGAUUGGGACAAAAGACCCAGUGGGUAUUGGUGAGCAUUUUGUUUGAGUGAAAUUUGUGGAAUCAAAAGUGAUGUGAUCAGUGGCUCCACUAUCCAGAAUCCAAGGCUUGGUGAAUACAUAAUUAAUUGAGGUAGUGGAAAAAAUGAACACACCUGUAGCAUUUGCAUAAGCAUUUCUAUUACCGGAAGCCUGGUUUGGAAUCAUCAUGGACACAGCACGGGCAAGUUGUUGAAGUUGGUCUACGAAAACCCUAUGUAAAGAGUCCAGCAGGUUGGAGAAUUGCCAUGUGCAGAUUGGGAAAAGUCUGUUGCAUUAACAAUAGGGUUGGAAUUCUUGAUACCUACGUUGUUGCUGGUGUGGUUGACUUUGUCGAUUGCCUUGAGUUCUUAUGUUGUUGGGAACCCAUGUGUCAUUUUUAAACCUGCACCUUUCUUCAGUAUGACCUCUUUUAUCACAAUAUUUGCAAUGAAAUUUUAGAGUCCCACAAUUUUCAAUUAUAUGACCUACUCUAUUGCAGUAUUCACAGUACUUGUCUUUAAAAUUGUUUGGUCAAUUCUGAAUUGCAAUAGCAAUGGAAAAUUUUUCAGUUGAUUCUGAUGUCAUUUGUCGUUGUGUUUCAUCUUAAACAACAAGAGAGCAGGCUUGACAUGCAUUAGGCACUGGUGACAUCAUAGCUACUGUUGCUGUAGGUGUUUGAAUAUGUGGAAUGAGAUUUUUCUGACACUGUUUGAACUCACUUGUUAUGGUGUUUGUAAGAAUUUUGGAGCUUUGAAAUCAAGCACAUUUCUUAAUAAUUAUUAUAUAUGAUUUAAAUGGAAAUUAUGAUGGUAAAAUUGGAUUCCAAGUCAGAAUAUAAUUUUAAAAUAUAUAUUAAACCUAUUAGUCAUGGUAAAACAAUAUUUUUCGUCAAAUUUUACAACAUAAAAAGUCAUGCUAACUAGAUAUUAAACAUUAAUUGGGUAUCAUUCAUCAAUGCCUAGCUCGAUCCAUCUCAAUCACCAUACGUAGCACCUUUAUUAAAUAAUGUAAACAUAUGUGGACGACAUGUAACAACCUAUUACAUAAUCCUCUAUUACUGAAAAUUCUAUUUUAAUAGAGGGAAUACUCGCUCGGGCACGAGUCAUCAUGUCCGAGAAUAUGCUUUCCAUAAUCGGCCGCCGCGCUGCUUUUUACUGCAAAACAAACGCGGAAUUUGUCGUAUCAACUGUUUAACAAUUUUUUAAAAAUAAAUAAAUAAAAUUUUAACAAUAUUUCUACUUCCUACAGCAAGAAAAAAUAAUAAUUACAUGUGGGUAGCCCUUUUAUUUUUUUAUUUUUUUUCCUAACAUGGAAGUAAAAGGAAAGGGUUCCAGAGAGGAUUUCCUAAACUCACUUGCUUCACCAGCCAAAGCACAAACUUGAAAUGAGAUGAAGAGAACAAGCACCAAGGCAAAAGCGAAAAGAAGAAACAAAGAUUUAGAAGAAAAAGUCAUUGACAAGUCUCGGAGCAGAAAACUGAAAGCCCUAUGGGCUCUGUGAGAAGUUCUGGCAAGGCCGAUGCAGCUCCGCCCCUAUUUAUAGGGGGAUUUUGAGAAAAAAAUAAAUAAUAAAAAACAAUAAUUUUAAAGAAUUUUUUUUAAAAUAAAAAAAUAAAAAAAUCAUUUGUAACGACUAUACUUUUUAUGAAGUCAUCGAUGUGAAUAGUGGUUGUAGCAUCAAUGUCCCCAUUUGAGUUAAUGAUGAUGGGAUCAUGCACAACGUGGCACAAACCCAUUUCAUCAUGGAGGACACUUGUCAAAAUUUUGAUAUUUCACUAAUGGAUGAUGGUUGUUAUGAUUUUGACCCUUUAGGUCAGGUCCACAUGUUUGGUUAAAGGAAAAUUUAUUUUAAACAAAAAAUAAAAAUAAAAAAUUUAUUUUUAUAUAUUAUUUUAAUUUUUUUACUCAUUUAUUUAAUUAUUGAAUUUAAAAAUUAAAUAAUUUAAAAUACAUAUAAAUUUCUAAUUAAUCCUAAUUAUAUUUAAUUUUUAUAAAUAUUUUUAUGGAACAAAAAUUAACAUUUUAACAUUUUUACCAUCACACCCAUAUUAAAAAGAAAAACAACAAUAACAAUAUAAAUCUUAAUUGGAAAAAUUUUUUAAAAUAAUUCACUUAUUAUUUUUUGAAUCAAUUAAUUUUCUAUAUUUCCAUACCUUUAGGAUUAUUCUUUAAAAUGACUUAAAAAAAAUAAAAAUAAUUUAAAUAUACUCUCGGAAAAUACAAUAAUUUUAAUAUAAUUUCUCAAAAGUCAUUUUUCUAUAAAAAUAAAUUUAACAAACAUUAAUCUUAGAACACUUAAAAAGUCCUAAAAUAACGAUUUUUCUUUCCUAAAAAGUAAAAAAAAAAAAAAAAAAAAAAAUCAAAUAUGUCUUGUCUUCAAAUCCCAAAAUAACUUUUUUUUUUUAAUUUUAACAAGAAAAAUCUAUUUUUAAAACAUUUAUAAUCAAACUUUUAGGUUUUAUUUAGAAACUGUUUUUGAAAACCAUUUCAAAAAAUAAAUUUAAAAAUGUUUGUGAAAUAUUUUUUUUAUUGUUUUGUAAAAUAAAAAAUCUAUUUAAUUAUAAUUUAUUUUUUAUAUUUUAAAAAUAAUUUUUAUAUUUAGUAUUUUAUUAUUAAUUAUUUUUUAUAUUUAUAUAAUUAUUUUUUAAAAUAAUCCUUAAGUUAUGUUUGGUCCCAAAAAUUAAUAAGAAAAAAAAUAUUAAAAGAAUUUUUUUUUCAUAUCUGAUUUCAAUAUGAAAAAUAAAAAAGAAAAUCAAAUAUAAUUAAAAUUAAAUAAAAUUUUAUAUAUUUUUAAAUUAUUUAAUUUUUAGGAAAAAAAAAUAUAAAUUUGUUUUUAUUUUUCUUCAUUUUUUUUCUCAUUUUUCCUCAUAUUUUUCCAAAACCAAACAUAAAAAUAAAAUUAAAAAUAAUUAAAAGAUAUUAUUUAAAAUAGUAUAUUUAUUUAUUUUUAAAAUAAAUAAAAAAUUUUAUUGCGUGACAUGUUUCUUAUUUUAAAUAAAAAAACUUUAAAAAUAGUUAUCAAUGAUACCCUUACUUUCCUUUUCACUUUUUUUAAAAAAAAACUUAUAUUUUUUUUCUCUGUUUGUUUCCUCGAACGUGACGUGACGUUGAUAUUAAACAUCAUCGAUCAGCAUCAAUGCAUCACUCAUUGGAUACCAUAGAUCAGAAGUCAACCAACGCCAUUCAUCCACACAGUUGGACAUGGACUAGGUGGAAAACGUGAAGCAUGUACCAACCUUAUCUUUACCAUUAUAUAGUGGUACACAUACCACAAAAUUAUUCCGCCAUUGAUGCAUAACACAAUUUGUUGGAUCCAUACCAUAGCUACUGUUGCUACUGGUGUUUGAAUAUAUGGAAUGAGAUUUUUCUGACGUAUUUGAACUCACUUGUCAUGGUGUUUGUAGGAAUGUUGGAGCUUUGAAAAAGUCAAGUAAUCAAGCACCAAGGUGCUCUGAUACCAUGUAAAAUAAAUAGUGGUUGAAUGACUGUAGACCCCAUUUUGGGGUUCAUUCUUCUUGCAUUUUUGUGCGGCUCAUUCCUACUAGGUGAAGGGCUCUUAGUAGUAGGGUUCAAAGUAUCGGCCAAGUCCGGUACGACUCAGCUAAGUCGUAUCCGUCUUGACACCUACCACGACGAAACUGAUACCAGAUACGGUAUAAUGCACGAACUCGGCUGGGAAUCAGUUAGACUUGACUGACUCGUUUGAGUUUUCGAGUUAACUUGGUUGACUCGGUUAGGUUAUAGAGAAUUUUCAAAAUUUUCAUAAAAUUAAAAAAAAAUUAAUCAGAUAUUACCCUUUCAAAAGCAAACACCUAUUCUAAAAUUUUAAACAUCAAUGAGAAGAUCAAAGAAGACGAAGAAGAAAAAACCUAAAUCGUAACCCGUUCGAAAAUAAGCGGAGACACCAUCGAAGGAUGAGGGCAUGAUUUAUGAUUUACUUACCUGAUUUUCCUCAAAAUCGAGCAUUACCAGAGGGUGGAGCUUUGGUGUCAGCAGUGGUGACUCGUCAAGUGGACUGAAUCUUUCACCGGCGACAUCAACAAGAUAACCCCCUCACAGUCAGAUUGCUCCCCCUCCCAUGUUAAGUCUUGCACGGUUGCAAAUUUGCGAUUGCAGGUGGUAUCGUUUGUUGUGGGUCCUGAUAGCAAUGGUGGCGAGGGUGGGAGAUUGGGAGCUCAAAUUAGUAAAGUGAAAAACUGCUUUUUAUAUGAAUUUAGAAUUGAGUCCCAAUUUACAUGGAAAAUACGUUUCAUAUAAACACUUUAAUAUGAUUUAAUAAUAACAUAUUAGGAGAAUUGAGUAGUUGAUUUGCUAAAGUAAAAUGAUAUGAAAGGUAUAUAUAUGAGGUUUAAUGAUAAAUUAAAGUGUUUAUAUGGCAAAGUAAGAAUUAAAUCCUCAAUUUUUAAUAUUAUUAUAAAUAACUUUGAGCUAAAUGUGAAAAAAAAAAAUUGUUUUAUUAAAAUUUUCAGCUUAUUUAAUUAUAUCUAUUUUGUUUUUUAAUUUAUAUAAUAUUUUUAUAAUUUUUUGAAAAUUUUAAUUAUUUUAUUUUACAUAUUGCCCGAUACCGAACCGAGACACCGAUACCGAUAUGCCUCGUGACCCUUCGAGUCAAUGACCGAUACCGUAACUUUGAACCAUGCUUAGUAGCCCACGUGUUGCCUCAUGGUUGGACAGUAGAGAAUCACAAUUAGUGGACUGAAGACGGAAUGGGAGGGUGACACGUGUCAUGGAAUAUUCUGGAAGAAAAGCUGCAAGCCGUUGGAGCAAGUUGGGGGAGCGUAUUCUAUUACCUGUAGAGAAGAGAUAUUUUCUGAGGAAUUUUCUUUUUUGGCUUGAGAAGUUACAGAGAGGGCUGGAGUAGCAAGUUUACUGGGGGAAAUGAGAAGAUAUUUUUCAGGGUUGUUAUAGAGGAGCGUGGAGUGGCUUGGGGGAGCAAGCUUGCUUGGAGGAAAAGAUUAAGGGAACGAGGACUGGGAGAGAUAGCUGAAAAAUGGAAGCAAGAAGUCAAGGAAAUCAGAAAAGCUGAAGAAGGAGAAGCAGAGGAAAGUUGUGUUGUGGAUUACCAGGUAAGGCCAUUUCGAGCUUGAUAUGUUUUCAUUUCAUAGUGUUCUGCUUCAUUCUUUGUUGAUCUCUAAGCAUUAUUUGUUGUUUGUUGUGGACAUCAAGGGCCAUAAGGUGGUUCUGGUUUGUUGAGAUAUUAGGAAUGCUUUUCGUAUAUCAUUCUUUCCUUAUAUUAUUUAGUAUUGAGAUAUUAGGAAUGUUUAAAUAUUAGAAAAGUUGAGAUAUUAAGAAUAUUGAGAUAUUAGGAAAGUUGAAAUAUUAGGAUAUUAGUUGUUAUUUCCUUAUAUCAUUCUUUCCUUGUAUCAUUCCUUCCCAUUCUUAGAAUGGUGAUUACCCUCUAUAUAUUCUCUGUACAUGAACGAAUAAAAGUAUGAAUGGAAAAAACUACCAUUUAUCAAUUUGAAGAUGGUAUCAGAGCCAUGGAACUGAAAUCCUGGAUAUUUGGUCGCUAUGGUAGUCCGACAGCGAUCAUCCAUCCUAAGACAAGCCCUGAUAUUGAUAAGUCAACCUUCAAAUGCACUCACUGUAAUAAGAUUGAUCCCACCAAUCUGGAUAUCCCACAAUUUCAAAGCAACGACUCUUGGUAUGACCAGGAAAACAAUGAGGAACCGAGGGUUUGAACCAUGGACCUUUAGAUCAUGUUUAGGCCAUCAACACUUUGUUAUUAAUGAUAAUAAUCGUGAUCAACGGAAAAAGGAUUCCAAGAAAACCUCGAUUGCAACUGUUGCCGAAAUAAAAACAGAGGCUAAUGUUGCUGAGAAAGCCUCUGCAUUGGUAGCCGCUACAGAUCAUGGUAGUAAGUUUUUAAAUACUUUUACACCUGUUAUUAAUAGUACAUGGAUAAUUGAUUCUGGUGCUACAGAUCAUAUGACUUUUGAUUCUAGACAGGUUUCACCCCUUAGACCUUCCUCACAAAAAAUUGUUUCCAUAGCCAAUGGUAACACAACCCCAGUCAUUGGGGAAGGAUCCUUAACUCUUACUGAUACUUUGAAUUUGGAUUCUGUUUUAGUUGUUCCAUAUUUAGAUUACAAUCUUUUGUUAGUUUCUCAAAUCACCGCAGCCUUAUCUUGUAUUGUCAUUUUUUGGCCUGAAUUUUGUGUGAUUAAGGACAUCCAAACAAGAUAGACGAUUGGUUGUGGUAUUAAGCGGGGAAAACUCUAUUACUUGGACUUGCAGUCAAAGGAUUCAAAUAAGUUGUAACAAGCCUUGAUGGCAGAUGGAUCUGAGGGGGAGAAGAAAAAAUCUGAAAUUUGAUUGUGGCAUCGACGUCUGGGACAUGCUUCCUUUGGUUAUUUAAAAAAAUUGUUUCCUAGUUUGUUUGCAAAGAGUGAUAUUUCUGGUUUCCGUUGUGAUAUUUGUGAAUUGGCUAAAAGCCAUCGUGUUUUGUUUCCGUUAAUUUUGAACAAAAGUCCGUUUCCUUUUAUGGUUAUACAUUCUGAUGUUUGGGGCCCAUCCAAAGUCCCAACUUUGAGUGGCUCACGUUGGUUUGUUACUUUUAUUGAUGAUUGUACCAGAAUGACAUGCUUAUGCUUGAUGAAGACCAAAGAUGAAGUGAACUUGUUGUUUCAAAAAUUUCAUAAAAUGAUUGAAACUCAAUACAAUGCAAAGGUUCGGGUUCUGCGUAGUGAUAAUGGUGGAGAAUAUCAAAGUUCUGAUCUUUAAAAGUAUUUGGAAGGACAUGGCAUCAUUCAUCAGAUUACUUGUUCCAAUACACCCCAGCAAAAUGGAGUCGCUGAAUGGAAAAAUCGGCACUUGUUAGAGGUUGUUCGUGCUUUCUUGAUAGCAGCAAAAACACCGAUAUCUUAUUGGGGAGAAGCUCUAAAUAAGUAAAUAAAAUUAAAGAAGUAUUUGGUAAAACUUAAUACUUAUUAUUUAAUGAUUUAAAUUGAUUUUAAGUUAAAUUUCAACUAAAUUGCUAACUUAAAAUUUAUUGUUUGAUUCUUAUUUUUAAUAUUAAAGUUGAUUGAUAAAACUAACUUAAAAUUUAUUUUAAAUCAUCAAAUUGAUAUAUUUAUUCUCAUAAAUUAUAAUUAGGGUAAAAAAUGUUGAACAAAUAAUAGAAGUCAAAGGAGAUCAUAAAGGUAAUUAGGACAAAUGAGAUAAACAAGUAAAAUAAAAAUAUGGACUUAAAAAUAAAUUAAUUAUUUUUACUUUUUACUUAUUACUUAAAAUUAUUUUUUACUUUGAAUUAUAUCGUUAAAUUAUUUUAUCAAAUAUACUUAAUUUAUUUAAUGAUUUAAAUUAAAUUAUUAAAUUACUUUAAAUUAUUAAAUUGAUUUACCACACACCCACUAACUCUAAAACCGUUCAACAAGAUAUACAAAUAUCAUUAUUUUCAUCUUAAUAAAAUGAGUUAUAUAUAUACCCAGCCAAUCAUGGGUGCAUUUUGAAGCUCAGCUGUGGCAUAUGAUCCCUACCGAGUUAUAUAGUCAAAGAUAAAAUUUCAGGGGCAAUUUGAAUAUUGAUGAAUCAUCUAAGAAUUUUAAAUUAAAAAAUUAUUAUAUUUUGAAAAUUUUCCAAUUAUAAUCUCAAUAUCAAUCAAUCAAUCAUUCAAAUAUAGUUAUUGAAAGCUAAGCAUAUUAUGCAAAAAUGAUAUAAUUUAUUAGGGCAAAAUGUUAGUAGAACAUAAUUCAAGGAAAAAUAAAAGCAUAUAAAAUUAUAUAUUUGUCAUAUAUUAAUUGGAAAUAAAUUGAAUGUUACAAAAUUAAUAAAAUAAAUUUCAAAGUUUAUAAAAAAAAUUGUGUAGAAGAGAAAUGAGAAAUAUACAUUUAAAUGUUGAUUGAAAUAAAAAUAAGAUAUAUUACUCUAUAGUUGACAUUAAUUGUGGAAUAUUGUCCAAUUGUUUAAUAACGUAACAAAAAUAACUAAUCUACAAGGGACAAUAAUUUUUCUCUAAAAAAAAAUUCCAACUAUUCUUAAAUCAAGAAUAAUUAAUUUUAAGAACCAAUUAUGAAAAUAUAAAAAAAUUCUAUAAAUAUUCUUCAAAACUAUCUGUAAAAGAUGAAUAAAAUUUUAGAACUCUUUAAUUAAUUGGCUUUAAACCAAAAUUUUAGCAUAUCAAAGGAAAAAAUAAAAUAUUAACAUAUCAGUUAAGUAGAUAAAUAAUUAUUAAUGGUUAACUUUUCAUUUUGUUUACAGGAACAUAGUCCAAAGAAAACCAACUAAAGCCAAAACUUUUUAGUAUGAAACCAUAAGUUUCAAUAAUGUGUUAAAUUGAAACUUGAGAUUUAACUCUUUACAUUCUCGAAACCUUUUUGAAGAACAUAAAAUUAUUAUAGAUAAUUUUUUUUGUCUUCAAAACCAUAGAAUUUUCCUAACCAAAACCUAGAGUAUGUAUGCCUACGGAAAAAUUGUUGUGUCACCACAAUAUAUUCAAAAUCAACUUAUUCAUACUUAAAGGUUUGAGCUUUAAUUGGUUUUGUUUGGUUCAUCUUCUUGUAACAAAAUAGAAAGUUAGUCAUUAAUAAUUAUUUGUCUAGUUAAUUAAUUUGCUAAUAUUUAAUUUUUUUUCUUUUUUUUCAAAUUUUGGUUUAAAGCCGAUUAAAGAGUUCUGGAAUUUUACCCAUUUUCUUUAUUUUCAAAAAACAUUUUUAUAUUUUGACAAUAAUUAUUCUCAAGGUAAAUUAUUCUUGAUUUAAGAAUAGUGUAGACCCCCCCCCCCAAGGAGCUGGAGGAGGACUUUUCUUUUAUUAUUUUCUUUACUGUUCUUCCGGACGGCUCUCGAGUGGGCCGCCUUCAGGCAGCUGAUGGGAGGUUGGCUCGGGCAGAGAGGGGACUGAAGUGGGCGGCUCUCGGUGCGGCGGAUGGCAGGUAUACGGCUGGCUUGCUGAGGAAAACUGGAAAAAGGAGAGGUGGACUUUUCGGGAGCAGAGGAAGGAUCAAAAGGGGGGAGCAGGGGACGGCUGAAAAAGAAGGGAGACCUGUAGAGGAAGAGGAGGAAACCAGGCAGAAGGAGCUCCCUUGUGCGCGGUAAAUUUCCAUUUCUUAACGCCUACUUCACCAUUUGAUAAUGUAUGCAUGAUAUCUCCUUGUUUGCUGUGGACAUCAAAGGCCACAGGUUUGGUUUUGGGUUGAACCCGUUUGUAUGCACACUAUGCUCUGUUCCCGUUUUCAUUUCUCUUUGGUGCUCAUCUCUGUACAUGUAUGGUCGUCAUCAUCCUCAUGCUCCCCUAGUGCACCUCAUUUUCCUUCUUUGAAUUUCAUGGGUCUUUCACGUCAUAAGCCUCCACUACCACCUCUUCUCUCCCUACUGUUUCCCUACCACGUUCAUACCCAUCAUGUCUAGGGUGCUUCACCAGCUGCCUGGCGUUCAUGCCCACCAUAUCUAUUAUCAUUCAUCCUUGUCGUCCCGUCAAGCUGCCUCAUCAAACCCAUUUUCCUACUCCCCCAUAUCCAUACUCAUAUACCCGCACCCCGCCAUGCAAAGACCACCCCUGACUCUCAUCUCCGUUUUCCAAUGCCUGUAAAAGUCAUCCCCUCUCACCUUAGCAUGCCCAUGUACAGCUACUUCACACCCUGCCAUAGCCUCCAUCUCUCUCAAAACCUUCAUCGGAUACAUACCAUCCUGACCACGUCUUCUCCGUCAAGCAUCUUCUUGCCUGCGCGUUCCUAGUGGUCUCCACGCUGUCGCAAGUCGGAUCAACCCCGAGGUCGCUGGCCGGAAUCCCAAGGUCGUUGUCGAUGGAGGCGAUCUAGCUGGAGGGUUCGCUGUCGAAGUGCUAGCUGAAGAUGGCAUCGAUAUUGUUCUCGGGAGAGUGGAGCUCGGAUAACUGCCAGCUCCAUGGCCGCGUCACGCCUCCGUGCUUGGUCGGAGAGUCCAGUCCUCCUUUGGAUACCACCGACCGGCGUGCCACCAGAACGAAGAUGACCCUUCCCCCCGGACGUCGGCGUCGACAGCAGCCGGACGUGGAAGCCCCCCACGAGCGCGUCAGGAUGGCUCGUCGCGGAUGGCCCGUCGCGGAUGGCCUAUCACUUCCUCAAUCGCCGCCGUUUGCUUCGUCACCACGCAGCCACGCGCUUCUGCCGCCGGCACCGCCGUCGUCAAUGGUCUUUCUCCUCGAGAUGGGCGCGCCAUCCCCUCCAGCCGGAAAGCUAUGAAGUGGGUGCGCAAGGACCAGGCCUGCUGGAGACAUGCAUGCAUGCACGCGUGGAGGGCCCAAUACCCAUGGGCCUCACCUGAAGGAUCUCUUCCACCUUGGGCCUGCCUUUGAGUGCAUCCCGUUUAGCAUACUCACCUGGAUAUACAAGCCCAUUUGGCUACUUCAGCUCUAAAAUAAAUUUUCAAAUUUCUAACCUUAGGAAUUUAUUAAUGUAUUCAUCUUUUUUUUUUGUUUUUUUUUUAUUUUUUUUUUAUCAUAUUUUAUUUUUAUCAAUUUAGAUUAGCUCGACUUAAGCGUAAUUAAAAGACAAAUUAUUAAGGUUGAAUAUGGUUUUUAAAACUUAAAAUAAUUUAUAUUUUAUCUUCAUUGCUUUAGUUUUGCCUAAUCAUCAUGUAUGAAAAUUUCUAUAUAAUCGAUUUAUGUUGAUCUCAAUGAAUUUUCUACAUUCCGAAUUUUAAGUCCCAUAUUCAAAACCUAUGUCUUUAGAAACCAUUCAUAAAAAAUCCGACAUCCUAAAUUAAUUUUCAAUGCCGAAUAUUCGACUGUUUAGAAACUAUUCUUGGUAUUAUUAUUAUUAGUCCGUACUCAUGUAUUUAAUUCCUUUUAAAAAUUCCAAUCACUAAAAUUCACUUCUUCAAAAAUUCGACUUCCUAAAUUAAUUUUCAAUUUCAAAUAUCCGACUAUUUACUUUCAUCUGUUUAAAUAUAAUUCUUGUUAUUAUUGUUAUUAGUCCGUAUUUAUGUAUUUAAUUCUCCUAAAAACUCCAAUCAUUAAAAUUCAAUUCUUCAAAGAAACCUGACUUCUUAAAUUAAUUUUCAAUCUCAAAAUUUCCACUAUUCAAUUUCGCUCACUUAAAUAUUAUAUUCGUUAAUUAUUAUUAUUACUUCAUAUAUAUUUAUUCAUCCUCUUCUAAGAUUCGCACUCAUUAAAGUCCAAUUCCUUCAAAAUCGCAUAUCCUAAUUUAAUGUUCAAUCCUAAAAUCCCACUACUUGUCUAAAUGUCCUUUUCUUUAAUUAGAAUUAAUAUCCUAUCUUUAUUUAUUUAUUUAUUUAUCAUCAACCCAAACUUCCAAAAAUCUCAUGAUUAUUAUUAUUAUUAUUAAUUCAAACUUUCAGGACCUUAUUAUUAUUAUUAAUUCAAACUUCCUAAACUUCCAAUAUCCAAGCCCAAUUUAUAAAAAUUCAACCUUCAAAUAAUACUUCAAAAUUCCGAUCUUUAAAACUCAAUUUCGAUUUCCGAAAAUUAUUAUACUCACUUUAAUCUAUUUAAUUAUUAUUAUUUUGAUUAUUUAUUUCAAAACUCCAUUUUAAAUCAAAUUCUCUAAAACUUCCGAUUUUCCGAAUCAAAUUCCUAAUCCCAAAAAUUCUCAUGUUCCCACUAAAUUAUUUGAUCAUUGGUAUUUUAUUUAUUUAUUUAUUUCAAAACUCCGUUUAUAUCAAAUUCUUUAAAAUCGUUGAUUUCCGAACUAAAUUCCUAAUCCCGAAAAUCCUCAUAUUCUCAUUAAUUUAUUUAAUCAUUAGUAUUUUAUCUCCAUUUUAAAUCAAUUCUUUAAAACUUCAGAUUUACAAAUUAAAUUCCUAAUCCUGAAAAUUCCCAUAUUCACAUUAAAUUAAUCACUAAUAGUUUGUUUAUUUAUCUCAAAAUUUUAUUUUAAACAGUUCUUUAAAAUUUCUGACUUCUGAAUUUAAUUUCCAAUUUCGAAAAUUCCAGUAUUCCCAUUCAUUUAUUCAAUCAUUACUUUCAUCCUUAUUAUUAUUAUUCCAUUUAUUUAUUUGUUUCAAAAUUCCAUUUUUAAACAUUUUUCUUUUGAAAUCCCAAUUUUCGAAUUUAAUUUCCGAUUUCUAGACUUCUAAUUUCUUUCAAGUUUGACAUCCUAAAAUUCCAACUCUUAAAUUUAAUUCUCAAGACUCCAAUCUUCAAAUAACUUUCGAGACUUCAAUUUCCAAAUAAAUCUCAAAAAUCCAAUUUUCUCUCGAACAGUUUUAAUUCCACUCCGAUAUUUAAAUAAUGUUCUAUUUCUUUUAAUUUAUACACAAGCAAGAAUGAUGAAUCUUCAUAAUUUCGAAAUAAUGGGAUUCGUGAGAUUAAUUCAUGCAAUAUGAAUCGGGCUUUGGCGGAGCCCAAAAUAUGUGAUUUCCUUAUGACUGAUUGAUUGAUUUAUUUAUUUAUUUUGUUUGAUUUAUUCUGUUCCUUGACAUGCGCAUAAUUUUAUCUAUUCGUGAUUCACUAAUCCUGUUUCAUGAUAGCGCAUUCGUGACUAGAGGACCAGGUACGUAUCCACUCACAUUUUGUUCAUUCUUUAUACAUGUUUUGAUUCCCAUAUGUGCAUGAUCGCUUCGAGUAUUCAUUGAUUUUCUCAUUGAUUGCCAUGUCAGCUUCAUUUUAUUAGUAGAAACCCGACUUUAGGGACUUAGAGGGGUGCUACGGUCGUUACCGUACCUUCCCGAUAAGUAACCUGACCCCUGAACCCGAUCCGGUUUUUCACAGACCAUCUUUUCCAAAGUAAGGAGUCACACUUAGGGUUUUUCUUUCUCAUUUUGUUUACCCUUUUAAAAAUAAAACAAAAAUAAGUGGCGACUCCAAGUCAAUUUUCUUAAUCAAAUAAAAAUCAAUUUUUCGAAAUGAAAUCGAGCUCGCCAUUCGAGUGGGAAACGCAUGAGCCAAAAUGCGGGGUCCACAAAUAGUUAAUAUUUUUCUAAGUUUGAAAAUCUAAAAUAUUCUUAAUAUAUUUUUUAUAUUUUUAAAUUAUUGUUUGUCUUUCUAAUAUUAAAAAUUAUUUUCAAAAACACUUCACUAUCUAGGAUCUAGACUGAAGGCUGUAUACACCUGAGAAGUGAUGGGAAGAGCAAUGCAGCUACCCCAGUGUAAUUUAGAUAGGAAAACCACCAAUCUGAAUAAGAGCUGUGAAUUUAGAGAGGGAUACUGGGAUAGGGCAAUAUCAUAGCACAGGCAAUUUUCUUUGCUGCUGAGUUUUGUUCACACUGGGCUUUCGCAGCCAUGCAUGGUCUGUUGCAUCAGAGUCCCCACACCAGUUAAUGAUAUUGGAUGGGAUCAACCCCAUUUCAUCAUGGAUGACGCUGCUCAUGAUUUUGAUUGUAUUGGCCGAUUGGAGAAAUAAUGUUUUUAAUAAAAAUAAUAUUAAAUAUUUUAAAUCCUUUUUAAUGAUAAAGACAAAGUUUGACAUGUUUUUUAAAAUAAUUUUGAAAAAGAGAUUUCAAAAAUGGUUCUGGUGUUUUUAGAAAUAAAAUUUCAUUUGAAUACUAAAUUCUAAAAAACAAUUUUUUAUUUUCAAAAAUUAAAAAUAAUACAUUUGAUGAGUUAAUAAAAAUAGUUUUACAAAAUAAGUAAAAAAGAAAACUUGUUUGGAAAAUGUCUUUUUAAAUUGAGUGCUUUCUUUAAUUAACUUGAUUUUAUAAAUAUAAAUCAUUUUUAUAUUUACUCUUCAUUAAAAUUUAAAGUAAUUGUACCAAUUUUUAAAAAUAAUUAUAAAUUAUGUGAAUACAUUUACAGGUAUAUUAGAUGUCUCGAUAUAGGUAUGUUGGUGGGGGCAUUCUAAAGGUGCAACACAUUAUUCAAAUUCGCGUCUUGAUCAUCAGCUCAAGCAAUUUUGAUGGUACAUCAAUUUCCAUGUCACAGUCUGAUAAGGAUGAAACAUGCAAUAUGAUAAUUAAAAAGUUUAAAAAAUUAUAAAAUGUUAUUAAAUUUAUUAAAAAAUAAUUAUGAUUAAAUGAGUUUAAUAAUUAAAUUUAGACUAUAUUAUUAAAUCUACAUGAGGAUACAAUAUCAUCAAAUUGACAUUAUUUGGUAAUAUAAUAAAUACAUAAUUACCAUAUAAAAUAAUAUAUGACCAAUUCUUAUUCAAGUCAUAUAAAGUUUAUAUAAUACACCAUAUAUAUGUUACCAUUACCAUAUAAAUGACACAUCAUGUGAUUGAAUUUGAAUAAUGUCACAGCCACAAUGGUAUCUUUGGAUCCAAGGAAUUGUUUUCAUCUUCAUAUUAUGAGUUUUAAAAGUUCUGUUAUGAGAGAAUCUCAUAUUUUUAGAGAUUUUUCUCUAUUUUUUUUUAGAUUUAUCUUUAUUUUUUUCAAAGAUUUUUCCCUGUUUUUCCCAAAAACAAUAUUAUAUGUUUUUUUUAGAGAGUUUUUUUUUCAAUUUUUUCAAAAGAUUCUCUACUUUUUAAAAAAAUUUCUCUAUUUUGGUUGUUGGUGGUAGAGACAUUCAAAAUAUAGACGAUGAAAGGAGGUAUCAAGAGCACGAAGAAUGCUCUUAAUGAAAAUACAAAGAACAAGUUUUUCUUUGGUUUUCUAAACAAUGCAAAAAAUAGGAGAAACAAGUUUAAAAUUAUGCAUUGUUAAAAUAUUUAAUUUUUAUAUUAAAAAGUUAAAAUAAGUUCAACGAAUUUAAAGUAGCAUAUAAAAAUAAUUUAUUAAUUUUAAAUAUAUUUUUUAUUUUCUUUUGCUUUGCUUUUGUUUUCUAUUUUCUUUUUUCUUUGAAAUUGUCUAGAAACCAAACAUAACCUUAGUAUUUCAUUUAACUGUAAUCAAUAACCGUAAUUCCAGCAAAAAUUGUCCCUAUCUAUGAUCCUAACAAAAACUUUAGUGGUUUUUCCUAAUUUUAUUGAUAAAGCGUAGUUUAGAUAAAUUUUUUAUUUUUUAUUUUUUUAAAAAUAGAACUUUUGUAUAAAAAAUAGAAACUCUUAUAUAAAAGUAUAAACCUACCUUAUGUCCUUAAAAAUUAUUUUAAAAUUUUAAAAGUUGAGGUAAUUCAAUUUUUUUAAUUAAUCUUUAUAAACUAUUACACUUUCAAGGUAAGUUCUUGUAUUUUACGUAAAAAUAAAAAAUAAAAAUAAAAAUUGCAUAUGGAAACAAACAUUAAGUAAUUCAAUAUUUUUAAAUUUAUAAUUUUUCUAUUAUCAUGUAUAAUACAAGAAAGAAAAAUAAAUUUUCAUAAAUUUAUAUUUAAUGUUUUGUACUCAUUUUUCUCUUGAUUUUACAAGAGAUCUUCACUUCUUAUCAUUUUUAGGGAAAAGUGGGUUUUGACUCACUAAUUUGAAAAAAAUAUAGAAAAAAAACUUCAACUUUAAUAAAUCAGUUUUAUUUUCAUCCAUUUAAAAAUAUUUUAAGAUAGAUACACUUUUACAUAAGUCAAAUAAUUAUUUACUUGAAAUAUCCUUUUACUUUAAUAAUAUUAAAAAAAAAAUUUGUCAUUUUAAUUUGAUAAAAGGAUAUAACAAAUAAAUAUAUCUUAAUUUUUUUUAUUAUAUAAUAUGAGAUACAAAUCAUUUUGAAAAAAAUUCUAAGAUUUCAAGUAAUAAAUAAAAUAUUUUUAAUAAAAAUAUUUAAGAUAUAUUUAUUUGGAAUAUACUUUUAUCGAAUUAAAAUGAUAAAUUAAUUUUUUAAUAAUUCUAUUCAAUAUUAUCAAGUAAAAGGGUAUUUUAGGAAAUAAUUAUCUAACUUAUGAAAAAGUGAAUAUAUUUUAAAAUAUUUUUAAAUAAAUGAUGAUAAAAUUGAUUUAUAAAAGUUAAAGUUCUUUAUAUAUAUUUUUUCGAAUUAGUGAGUCAAAACUCACUUUUCCCUAAUUUUUAAUUAUCACUAGUCAUGUUUUCAAUUGGUUAGAGAAAAAUCGCUAAAAUUUUAUUUUAUUUACAUAUUAUUAGAUCCUACAAAUAAAUAAUAUUUUUCAUUUAGCAUUACUCAAUAAAAUCCUAAUUAUCCUAAACCUCAUGCCUUUAACUUUUGGACCAUAAUACACAAUUUCUAAGUCUCAAUGCUAACUUAAAAAUUUUAUUAUCAUUAAUAUUUUAUAUUAUUGUGAUAUGUGUAUGAGUCCCUUUUAAUCUUGUAAAUAUAUUUUAAAAUUGGAAAGACUUCUUCAAUUUAUAGUAUAUAAAAUCUACACAAUUUGGAGCAAAUUAUUAUAAUAAAUAACAUCAAAGCAAGCCAAUCUCUGACCCCAAUUUAUUUCUCACACCUACUACCUUUAUUCUUGUUUCUUCCUUUGUUCUUCAUGUUUAUUUAAUAUUGAUCUUGAAUUAGAAAAACCUUUUUCAUGCUUCUUGAUCUCCUCAGUCAUAAUCAUGUUUACUACCUUUUAAAACACCAUUUUGAAUUUUCCAAACGAACCAUGAUCGAAGGGAUGGUGCCCUUCCAACUCUCAAGCAAUUCACUAAGGAUUAAUAAGCCUUAUAUUUCAUCAUCAAAUUUAAUGUCAAUUGAAUUUAAUUAAUUCAUGAUAUCAUUAAAUUCAUUCAAAUGUUGCAUAAGAUUUUUGUUCUCAAACAUCUUCAAAUCAAUUUUUAUUUUUUUUAAUUAGAUGUACUUUAUUUGUUGUAGAAGAUUGUUCAUACAUGGUGGUUAGGGCAUCAUGAGGGACAUUGUGUAUUCUUCUUCUUUAUAUAUAUAUAUAUAUGUUGAAAACAACUGAUUUUUAUAAGGUUAACCUAAUCGCACCAAGAACUUUGUGAUCAAGCAAAUUCCAUUCCUUUUCAUGCAUCAACUCUAGUUUUUUUCCUAGUGGCAGAUACAAAUCUUUUUGGUAUAGAUAAUCCCCCAUUUCGCAUCUUCUAUUUUGUGUGGAUCCUUCUCUAAUCCCAUUACUUUCACUCAAAUGGUGAUUGGUCGAAUAUAAGUUAUAUAACAAGGUUAGGAUUUGCAAACUUGGGCACUUUGAUACUAAUUAUUAACAUAAUCAUAGAUACAUGAGUAUAAAUAAAUAAAUAAAAAAUUUAACAUGGUUUAACAAUCAAUGUAAUCCUCGUAUUCAUGGAGCACACUAACACUUAAAGAUCUACUAAUCAAAUGAAGAUAAAAAUGUGAUAACGGAGAAGGCUCUCCUUAUCCACGUAAUUGUGACCAUACACUUUUUUUUGUACUCACUCGUUAAUCCCUUAGCUCAAUCCUCAACAUCAUCUACCCGACGUAAUAAGAUUGGUCCAAUCUUCACAAUCCAACAAAACUUACAUUAAAUAACUCAACAAAAAGCCUAAAAAUGGAUGACUAACCACGAACAAAGCCCUUGAUAAGCAAAAAGAAUACCCCAACUGUGUAUUCUUUUUUUUUUUUUUUAGUUGAAAACAAUCGAUUUUUACAAAGUUAACCUAAUUGCACCAAGAACUUUGCGAUGAAGCAAAUUCCAUUCCUUUUCAUGCAUUAACUCUAGCUUCACUCCCAGUGGCAGAUACAAAUAUUUUUGGUAUAAAUAAUCCUCUAUUUCGCAUCUUCUAUUUUGCGUGAAUCCUUCUCUAAUCUCAUUGCUUUCACUUAAAUGGUGGUUGGUUGAACAUAACAAGGCUAGGAUUUGCAAACUUGGGCACUUAGAUACUAAUUAUUAACACAACCAUGAUACAAGAGUAUAAAUAAGAAAAAAACCAAUAGAUUUUAACAUGGUUCAACAACCAAUAUAAUCCUUCAUGGAGCACACUAACACUUAAACUAAUCAAACGAAAAUAAAAAUGUUAUAACGGAGAACACUCUCUUUAUCCACUUAAUUGUGACCGUACACUUUUUUUUGUACUCACUCAUUAAUCCCUUAGCUCAAUCCUCAACAUCAUCUACCCCGUGUAAUAAGACUGGUCCAAUCUUCACGAUCCAACAAAACUUACAUUAAAUAACUUAACAAAAAGCCUCGAAAUGGAUGACUAACCACGAACAAAGCCCUUGAUAAACAAAAAGAACAUUUAUAGACCUUUUUUUGUACUCAUUAUCAAAUUGGUCAGAGAACUCAUCAAACCACACGUUACCUCCUCGUUCGCUUGGCCUCCCUAGAGCUAGCUCAUCAAUGUGAUAUGUAUAUGUGUAGAUUACAUUAUCCAAACAGUGAGUCAGAAAAAAUAAUAAUAAUAAUAACAGAUGAAAAUGUAUCUUCAAAAUUCACUGUAAAGUUCUGCCUUUAAAGACUGAAGUUCAUGGGAUAGGGGAUUGGAUUAUGUUUGGUACGAAAUCUGGGAUGAACCUUGUCUGUUCCCAUCCUUCAACUACUCUAGACUAUACUUCUGGAUCUUUCAACCAUUCAAAGCCCCAACGAGACCUUGAAAGCUGCUUUUUCAGAUGCUUCAGUAACGGGGAAGGUUUUUGGUGACAACACAUGGUGGAGAAAGGAAGAGAAUUAUGAUUGGAAGCUUACAUAACUAGACAUUCCAUUCCCUAAUAUUGCAGCUCCACACCUUAAGCCUUUUCACCCUUUUCUCAACAAGCUGUGAUAAACAGAAGUCAUAUAAACGGUAGGUAAAAUGGAUGAAUGAGCUGGCUAGAGAAGAUCAUCAUGGACUAUUUUAGAUUAUCAUCCAGGAGAAUUUGUCAAAGCACCUUGGAUGCUUCCCAGCCGUGGAACAACAAGGAGGUGGUUCUACCCUGAAAAUUUUGAACCUGAGAAAAAAACUUCAUCAAGGCUCUACUUUCUUUUUGAGAAGAAUAUGUAAAUGAUAGAAAUAAAGAAAAUAAAACCUAAUACAUACAUCACUAAUAAUCAAUGCAAUUUGGAUUUUGUUCGAGUGUUGCAGUUUGGAAAUUAUCAAUUCAGAUUGUCUACUUUCAAGACCUAAGAUGGUUGCACAUGGUGACGGUCUUUAAUCCUCUUUUUUAAAUUAAUGCAAUUUUUCACCAAAAAUUGUUUUGUGCCUGCAUGGAGUUCCACAUACUAGCUUUUUUUUUUUUUUUCUUUCCUUUUUGGGAGAAAGAAAAUGAAAGAACAUGUUAGAUUUUGAGUCCAUUAACUCCUUUAGAAUUGAAUAAAUAAUUUGACUCUUUCUUGACUUUAAUACAACCACUUAGCUUGCCUAACUUUCAUACAUCUAUUUGACUUGAUUUAGGUAGGUGAUUUGUCUUCUUUUUUUACACUAAAAGAGACACAAAUUAAAAAUUAAUCAGACUGGGUUCACUUUCCAAACGAUUGAGGAAACAAUUUUUUCCGGUCUAAUUGUAAAUAAGUACUUAAACUUAGGUUAGUUUUAGCUUUAAAGUUAGACAUAAUCAAUAGGCCUUCCAAGAGAGAACAGGACGAAGUACUCAAAGAACAACUAUUUUCAUUGAAAUAAAAGGAUUGCAACAAUGUCUCAUUUAUCUAUGAUCCAAAAUGCAGCACUUGAACAGGGUAUGUUUAGUAUUAAGAGAUUAUAUUAAAAUAUUAAUCCGAUAUCUUAAAAUUGAAAUUAAGAAAUUGUUAAUGUAUUUAUUUUGAAAUUGAUUCAUAUUUAAUAAAAUUUUUAUAAUAUUAAUAUUAUGUUAAUAUCGAGUAUCUAUUGCUAUUUCAUUUUCUAAUUAAAAUAAUAAUAAAUUAAAAGGAAACAUAGAAAUAGCUCUUAAAAACCAUUAAGGUAGCAUUAAAGUUGCAUGAUAGCAAAAUGAGUAGACUAUUAAUGGAGUUCAACACACAAACAAGCCUGGCAAGCGCCAUGAGCACCGAGCAGUGCUCAUUGCAGCCCUUAUUUAAGCAAACUCAUAGACCAGCGUGCAUUAUUUUACAUAGAUCCACUCGAAGAUGCGUUUAAUUAUUAGUUCUUAACAUCAUCUUCAAACUCGGCAUCAGGGGCCUCAUUAGCAUCAACACAGCACCUCUGGCACCCAGAUCCAUAUCGGUAUGAACGGCAGCAACCAUGGCAGCAACCAUAUUGGCAGCCACCAUGCCCGUGCCCAUGCCCGCCCCCAUAACCACCUUGAUGGCCUCCUCCAUAACCACCUUGAUGCCCUCCUCCAUACCCACCCUGAUACCCGUUUCCGGGGCCUCCAUAGGACUUGCUCUCCUGAACACCCUUGCCUUCUGUGCUUUUCUCUGUAAUACAAACAGAAAAUUAAUAUAUGUCAUAUAAUGCGAACUAUCAAAAGCAUCUAUAAUGAAGUAGGUUGCUCAGAGUUUCUGUAGUGCUUUCAGAUUGGCAAUGUCCAAUUAAUGGUACGUUUCUCGAACUGCUUUUCUGAAGAGGCAAUAGAUGAUGCACAGAUGUGUACAUAUAUUGGAACAAAAAUGCGCCAGAAGAAAGGGAGGAGAGAUAAAAUCACCUGUUUCAUGAACGGAAGCAGAUACUUCAGAUGAGAUCAAGCAAACAAGAGCGAAGACAAGAGCGAAAAGAAAAAGGGAAGCUUUAGAACCAGCCAUUUGCAAGCCUCAGAAAAGAAACAAAGAUUUCUAUCACUGAAAGUUCUAUGUGAGAAGCGGUGACAAGAGCAAUGCAGCUCUUCCCCUAUUUAUAGCCUAAAUGGAGUUGCGGAGAGAGAGAGAGCAGUGGCUGCCCUGUAAAUAUCACAUGCAAUUAUCGUUUUCUUAUGAGUUUCUGAGCAUGUCACCGACUUUGUAGCUAGGGUUCAUGCAUGAGAGCAGUGGCUGCCCUGUAAAUAUCACAUGCAAUUGUCGUUUUCUUCUGAGUUCUGAGCAUAUCACUGACUUUGUAGCUAGGGUUCUUGCAUGAGAGUCCCCACAUGAGUUAAUGAUAUUGGAUAGGAUCGAUUCUACGUCAUCUAUGACGCUUGUCUUCAUCCCUCUUGACUCUAUAGUAUACUAUAACUCCACCCCAUAUUGUUCUUGACGAUUUUCUUUGUUGUCAGUUCACUGCCGCGCAGCAGGAUGGUGGUGUUGCUGCAGAGUUAACCAGGCACUGAGUCUCUCCCUGUCACAUCACCAAG
rnacentral:lncRNA from 1 species